CAUUUUCAGCAAUUGAUUUCAAUUCGCAUUGUGGCAGCCACCCGAGACUUGGAGUUGUUGAUCAUAUAUGCUUUCAUCCAUUGGCCUCUGCAACUUUGGAGGAUGCCGCUCUUAUCGCAAAAUAUCUGGCAGCUGAUGUUGGAUAUAGUCUACAAGGUCUGUACUUCUUUUCACAAAAACAUGUAUUUAAUCCCUCAAAUUUAAUUUAAUUUUUAAUUUUGCACUUUUAAGUGAAAAUUUUAUGUUCUCAAAAUUGGUUUCCAAUGAUUACAAACAUAUUUUAGAGUGAUUUUGAAAAUGGUAGAACAUGAUUCUAACAAUUUCAGAAUUACUCCCGGAUUCUAGGCUGCAAAAAGUGGGAGGAACCAUAAUUUUGGAGGCAUUUCCAUCGAUAUUUUAGAACUGAUAAACCAGCGACAUGCACAUGUGCUAUGAAAUUCAUGGACUUUCUCAACUUUGCAAAAUUUCCUAAAGUCGAAGGCUUUAACUUUAGCAAUUGGUUGUAUUUUGUUUUGCAAACGCAUUGCUUCAAUGUAUUGAAUUCAGAGAGUGCCUCAAUGGUGCUAUCAAAGUUCUGAGUAACCAAAUAUCCUUGUGUCCUGACUUAGGACUUGUAAUUUAAGAAAUAUCCUUGUGCUCUGGCUAGUACUUGGAAUUUCAGAAGCACAAACACUUUAGUUUAGUUUGGCUAGCAUGUCCGUGUCCGACAUACUUAUAACACUUUUUGGGUAAACUAAAAAGACACAUUAGUCAAAAUAGUAAUAACUUUUGGGUGUGAAAUACAUCAAGUUAAAUUCUUUAAGCAUAUAAAUGCAUCAAUUCAUGUACUUUGUAUUUUCUUUUGGUAGAAAAAUGGUAUAUAACUUUUUAGACAAUGUAUAUUUUAAUAAACGUAUCUUUAUCGUGUCGUGUCUUAGAUUUUUAAAAUAUGACGUGACACGAAAAAAUAUGACGUUUCACCAUGUUCGUGUCAUGACAUAAUCUGAGAGUAGUGUUUCAUGGUAUCAACUGGUCUGUUUUAUCAAUAUCUCUCAUAUCAUUUAUAUUAUGGGGUGCUGAUGAUCUAAACCAUAGCCUGCAGUCCCAACAUUUUUAUAUGGAGCGGCUCAUGAAGAGGGGAGGAAACUAGCAGUGAUCAGAAGAGAGCUCGGUUAUUUCAAGCCAAAUUCUGAGGGCUCAAAGUGGGCUGGAGGGUUGAAAUCAGAUUCAUUGCCACUGAAGCCAGAUGACGGUCCAGCUGAAGCAAGUAAAGCAAAAGGGGUUGUGGUGAUUGGAGCAACAAAGUGGGUUGAUAACUACAAUGUCCCAGUUUUCUCUACCAAUAUCAGUGCUGUUCGUAAGAUUGCGAAGCAAGUGAGCGAGCGAGGAGGUGGACUUUCUUCUGUUCAAGCAAUGGCCCUUGCUCAUGAUGAGGGUGUAAUUGAGGUGGCUUGUAAUUUGCUUGAACCAAGUAAAGUGGGAGGAAAAAUGGUUCAGCAGGAAGUUGAACGGCUUGCGGAAAAUGAAGGUUUAGGCGUGGGGGAAGGUUAUUUCACAGACCUCUCGCAAGAGAGUAUUAUUGAAAGGUACCUCGAAUUGUUUUCUUUGUAAUUUUGUGACUUGCAUUUGACUUUUUAUAUUUUAUGUAUCUUAUGCUUUUGAUUUUUAUACCAACACUUGUUGACAUGUUUUGAUCUUCUAAGUAUGUGGUUUUAAAGAUUCCAAGUUUUCUCUCGUUUCUUCUAAUAAUACUAAUACUAAUCAUUGUUGUUUAUUAAACUUAUCAACACAUCCUUAAAAGGUUGAUUGUUCGAAAGAACUUCUCCGAGGGUUCUAACAAUCAAUUUUAUAAUACCUAACUAUCUAUCUAUAGAACAAGUGUCAAGUUGAUUUUUAGGGAGGCAGGUAUAUAUAUAGUAGUUUCAAUCUUAGUUAGAAUUCCUAAGGGGGUAAUUUGGUAGAGAAUUAAGGUUAAUUGUCGACUAAAUCUUAUCAACUAACACUAGUUUUAUGAUUCACGGUUAAACAUUUUUUAAAAUUAGAAUCCAAAUUCUGAAUCUGCCACUAAACACAUAUCUGAAAGCAAUUGUUUUCAAAUUCUCUACCAAAUAGUCUCUUGAAAUUAAGAAUGAGGCUAGCAAAAUCACCUUAGCUUUCAAUUGUUAGUCCUAAAAGAACAUAAGAAAUGUAGGAGAAGAAAAAGGAGGGGAAGAAGAGAGAAACUUGACUGGAUGUCAAAGUAGAAUGAGAGUAUGCCCUAAAGUUAGGAGAAUGGUAUUUAAGCCUAGCGCUGAAGGUAGUGUAAGAAGAGAAAGGGUGAGGAUGACAUAAGUGUAGAGAGUAAUUUUUUGUUCAACUAAACAUGCCUUUAUAUAGGCUUACAAAAUGAAACCAUAGAAUUUCAAUGGUUAAUAAACCAUUAUUAUUUUAACUCUCAUAACUUCUAAAAACUUCCAAAAUGAACACAAUGUAAUAUGAAAACCAAAAUCAAUUUAAUUUAUACAACUCUUCAAAUUCUCAUUAACAAUAUGAACCUUUUACAUUCUAAACCCCCCUCCCAAUUUGUUUGGUAAUUUGGCUCCACAUUCUAUUGGUGUUCCAACUGAACUAGCAUCAUCCAUAUAGAACAUUUUAAGCAUUCUUCUAGCAUAACCCUCUUCAGAUAUAAAAAUCUCAUAUUCACUUUGUUAGACCUCGAUCCAAAGAUAAUAACUCAUGAGACCAAUGUCUGUAAUUUUAAACUCAUUUGUCAUCUCCCUUUUAAAUUCACAAAAAAUGGGAGGAUUGUUAUGUAAAUAUCAAAUUGUAACAUAGAAACAUAUGAUUAGUAUGUUUUCACCAUGCAUUUUGAUAUAUAGGGUCGGUAAUAGUGCCAACAACUUGCACUACAAGGAAUUAAGGGGUUCCCGUGACUCCAUAAUGCAUCAGAAAUAAUAUAGAAAGGGAGAGGUUUUCCCGGUGUUAGAAGCUCCAUCGAGAAAAGGAAGUCGAGAGUACAACGUCGGGGGAGAUUUGUUCGACGCCUCAAAGGGACGACAUCGGGAUUGCCUUCUCUCUGACGCCGUCAAUGCCGAUGUGUGACUGACGCCGUCAUUUAUCGUGCAUUUUCUUUCAUUUUUCGAGCAGUCUCUUCCAUUUGUCAUCACACUCUUCCAUUUGUUGGUCAUGCUUUUCGAAUCUUAUUCUUUGUUCUUCAAUUAAGCGUUAGCAUUUUCAAGGUUAGCCUUUAGUUCGCUCACCUUUAUGGAGUGCAUCACUUGGCCAUAAAAAGAGGAAGAACUGGAAGUAGAACUCAUACGGGACUUGGGCAUGUGGCCCCAACCAAGACCUUUUAAGUAGCCCAAUCGCCUACUCAAAAUGGUCUCACAUAUCUCGUCCUCAUAGAGUGGUUGAGAACCUCGAACACAAUGAAAGAACCUCAAAGUACAAAGAACAAAAACAAACCCAUGUGAGAGCAUUAAACAAUGGAACAAACAAACACAAUGGAAGCAGUUAUACAAGAAUUUGCAACUUGAGUCACGAAGCAAGAAGAUCUGGAACUGUCCUCAAUCGUGCGCGAUGGAGCGAAGUUAGGGUAUGUUCGCAACUUGGGUCGUUUACGAACGUAUGUGUGGAGCGUGGUCUCAAAUAUGUUCGUGAAGUUCGUCGUGCGAGCUUCACACAGUGGUGGGAGAAAUCGGGCAUGGUGGAAGAUUCGCGCAGUGGCGAGACUCGAGAUUCACGCAGUGGUGGGAGAACGUUCGUCUGUCUAAGCUUGGGCUUAGUUGGAGAUUCGCGUGCAGAUGAACAACCAUCGAAGCUUAGGCGUGAUGGACGAGUUGUCGGACGCUUGGGCGUGGUGGGCAUAAUGGAUGGUCGUUUGGAGCUUUCGGUGAAAACGGUGAAGAAGGUAUCGAAGCUUAAGUGUGGUGGGAGAUCUACAGGAAGAAGAUGAAGAAAUCGUGGAGCUUUCGGUGAAGUUUGCGAAGAAAGGUGAAGAAAUCGUGGAUGAGAGAAAAGAUGAGGAAAAAUUUGGGAGAAACAAUUAGAGCUUUUUUAGAAUUUGGGGGAAAAAAGAAUUUUGGAGAAAAAAAGAGUAAAAUGUUUUGUUUUUAGAAAAUGAAGAAAAAAUAUAUUGUAUGUCCACAAAUACAUAUACAUACAAGUGCCAGUUGAGCUAAGCUCAUGUUGGCAGAUGUUUUUUUUUUACUAAAACUGUCAAGAAUAUCAAAACUGCAAACGUCAAGUAUUGCCAAAUUCAUAGUAGUGCGAUAACAUUCAAUUUAUUAAACAAAGAUAAAAAUGGCAUAUGGUCAAAAGUCUAAAAAAAAAAAUAGAAGAAUGUAAGAGUAAUGGCAUGAUAAUUUGAAGGACAAGCUAGUAUUUUCGUCUUACAAUACCAUUUUGUUUAGAGUAGGAUUGAUGAAGGUAAUUAGAGUCUGAUUUCUAGAAACCCUUUUAAAGUAAAUUUAGAAGUAAGCGCAGUUAUGAUGUCCCUACAGAAGAAGAAUGAAUAUAUGUGUACGAUUGGGGUAGAGAUUCAUUAACAUGCCCUCACAAACAAUGGGCUUUCAAAAAUAGAUGAGACUUAAUACUUAAUCAAAACACAGUUGCAUAUGAAAUCUAAUGGAAAAGGUACUAAGUUGUAGAUUUUAGAUAAGCGAAUCAGUGUUGAAGUGAUCAUAGGAGUCGUUGCUGAUGACAUCAAUAAUUUUACUAACACUUUCAUUUCAUCUAUGGUAGCUAUGAGAAAAAAGGUGACAAAAUUUUGAGAGAAAAAAUAAAUAGUUUUGCUUGCUUUUAUUAUGACCUUUUGAGAUCCUCCUUAUAUACACGUACGAUUGGAAUAAUGUUUUUAAAAUAAGUGAUGCAUUAUAAAAAUCAUAUCUAUCUACCGUUUAAGGCAUUGUCAAUGAAGCAUAAACUAUGACAGUGAUUUAUGAGAAGACUUGUUUAUAAUAUUAUUUACACUAAUUUAACUAAUAUUCUCUAUCUAACUUUAAUCCCUAAAUAUCUUUCUUUCAUACGUCUCUAUUUAGACUUCAAAAGAAAUAAAAAAAAAUAUUUAUAGAAGUUUGUGAAAUUUGCUAUUUUUAAUAAUUUUAGAAAAGGAAUUGGGUGGAAAAAAAGAGGAAUAGGAGAUUGAAAUGGAAGGAGAUGACCUUACACUGCAUAAAGCAAAGCAUCACCUUAUCUAUUGUCGUCCAAUGUCCAUUCCAUUUUAUAUUCCCUGUUAUCACAUCACUAUCCACAUUUUCAUUUGUCAUUCAAAUUAUUUUCUUUUCUACUUUCCCCCAAAUUCAUGAAAUUGUUUAUUCCCAUGUGUACCGCAUUCUUCUUCGAUCCAAACAAAUUUUCAAUUAAUUAGCAAACAAAAUUAUCACGAUUGAGGAUAAUAAUUUUGAGAUACAUCCAAGAGCACAACUAUCAAAUAAAAAAAGAUUGUAUUUAUAUUCAAGUCAACAAUAUUAUGUUGAUCUAAAAUAUAUAAAAUUUGGUUAAUCUUUUCACAACAACCCCAUCUCAAUAAUUUUGUCAAACGUCUUGCCCCAUUCAUUUAUCAUAUUUAAAAAGAAAAAUUGUGCCUAAUCACAUUCAUGUACAUCACUUUCUUCUGUAAUUAGCAACAUCGCUAAUGGUGUCUUUCCAAAAUCUGAUGCACUCUCCUUCCUUCAAGUGUAAUCGAGAAUACAAAUUCUUAUAAUUCAAAACAACAUGAAACAAGAAAUUAAAAUAUAGCUAUAGUAUGAGCCACGGGGUUGAAUAUAAAAAUGAAUAAUAAAAACAAAAAUGUUCUUGUUUUUGACCAGACGCAAACCCUGAAUAAGACUGCUACCUGAUCAGCCUCCAUUUUGCUCACUUUAAAGUUUUUAGUUAUCGGCCUCACGGGUCUCUCUUCUCCCAAUUCCCCCAUAUAUCUCCCCUUCUAAAAACCCUUACCGAUCACAAAUCGAAGAAACCAACCCAAGCAUAUACACCCACUUAGCAAUGGCUUUCCAUCUCACCGCCAAGGUAAAAAUGAGUUCUCGUACCCCAAUUUCGUCUCAAUUGCUUUAUGCUAAUUUACGAAUUGGGAAUUGAACACCUUAAUUGUUAAAUAAUAUUCCAGGACAAGAAAAGAAGCUUGGAUCAAAAAGUCCUUUUAUGCUGCAAAUACUACGUUUCUGAAUCGCGCAAUCGUUCUGUACUAGAGGCCAUCGAGGGAGCUGCAAGAGAAGACCCAGAUUCUGUUAUUGUAAACAAAUUCGAAGACGGAGCUUACAACAGAACAAGGUACACCAUCGUCUCUUACGUCGUUCACGACACCACAGGCAACGCCAUUUACAGCCCAUUGCUCCAAACCGUACUGUCUAUGACCCAAGUUGCUUUCUCUCAUAUUAAUCUCGAGUCUCAUUCCGGUACUCACCCUCGGCUUGGAGUCGUAGAUGACAUCGUUUUUCAUCCCCUGGCUCGAGCCUCCCUCCACGAAGCCGCUUGGCUAGCUAAGGCAGUCGCUAAGGAUAUCGCUGCCAUGUUUCAAGGUCUUUUAAUGAAUUACAUACAAUAUUGGGAUUCCAUUGGUGUUGGUGAUUUAUAAGUAUUGGGAUUGUGAUUUUGUGCAGUGCCUGUAUUUCUUUACUCUGCGGCUCACCCAAGUGGGAAAGCGCCGGACGAUUUGAGGCGUGAGCUUGGGUAUUUCCGGCCAAAUUACAAGGGGAAUCAAUGGGCUGGGUGGUCGAUGCCGGAAACUUUGCCGGAGAAUCCUGAUGAAGGUCCAAAUACAGUAUCUCGAGAGCGAGGAAUCACGAUGAUUGGAGCGCGUCCGUGGACGGCAAUGUAUAAUAUUCCAAUUCUGUCGACGGACGUGUCAGCAACACGGAGAAUAGCGAGGAUGGUGAGUGGGAGAGGAGGUGGAUUGCCGACGGUGCAAACGAUAGGGCUUCUUCACGAUGAUGAGACCACGGAGAUAGCUUGUGUUCUGUUGGAGCCGAAUCAGGUUGGAGCAGAUCGAGUUCAGAGACAUGUGGAGAUUGUUGCGGCCCAAUUCGGGUUAGAAGUUGAGAAUGGAUAUUUUACUGAUUACUCACCAGAGAUGAUUGUUGAGAAAUAUUUGAAUUUGAUUUCUGGCACCCAAAGUCUAUCGGGAAAUCGUUUGAACUAACAAUGAUUUGUGUAUUGAGAUUCAGAUUUUGUAAUAAAACAUAAAUUGGAUAUUUCGAUAAAGUUCUAAAUUUCCAAAAUAUAUGUGUGUGUGUGUGUGUGAUAUGUCUGAACUUUUGGCCUUUUCAAAAGCUGUAAUAUUUAUUAUUCGGUGGAAUGAACUUUAGAUAAAAACGUGGUGAUAAUUUUUGUUUGAGUUUUUGAGUAAUAAGGAGGCCAGAAGGUUUCAUUUAACAUUUAAUAUGAUUUUUUGGGAUAGAAAUAGAAUUAUAGAAGGGAAGAGGUGAGACGAUGAGAAAGAGAAUGUUAACAGCCAAUACUUCCUUCACCGAAUAACAGCCUCAUCCAUCUCACACCUCACACAUAACAUCACAAUUUAGACAUUUCUCCCUCUCUUUCUUUUCUUCCUUCCCAAAACAAAAGCAGUUUAGGUGAUCAUCUAUUUUUAUCCAUCAUAUCAAAUUAUUCCAUCAUACUAAUUUUGCUUUAUUUAAAAGCAUUUUAAUUCUUUUUUUAAGUGAGGUGUGAAGAAAUGCAUAAACAUAGUAUUCACAAGCUUGAGAAGCACAUAAUCCAAUUUUUUUUUCUCUCUUUGGUCAACAGAUAGUAUGUCCACCCUAAACACUGUAGUAUAUGUAAUAUCCAUUCAAAUUUUGAAAUGUGGUUCUUUCACACCUAACAUAGAUGUCACACAAUACAUUCUAGCAACGUCAAUGACCAACUUCGCACGAUGAUUUCCAAGCUCUGACAACAUAGUCCUGUGACGAACUACAUAAUCACUUUCAUCCAUUCAAAUUCUUCCUUUGACAACCAUCUACGACUACAAAUUUGGGCAAAAAUUACAUUUGAUAAUUAACUUUGACAACCACCUUCAACUUUAGGCUCCAACAACUACCUCUACCAUAAACUUCAAUGAAAAUCAUCUUUGAUAAUCAACUUCCAAUGACAAGUGACAAUCACCUCUAACAAUUAAUGCCAACAUUCACCAUAGGCAACCAAGAAAGGCAAAGACCCCACUCUAAUGAUCAACUUCUACAACGAUCACAUCUAGCGCCAACUCUACGGGUGUUAAAAAAAUCGGUAACCUAACCAACCAGAAUUACCAACCCAAACCGAGGGAUGAGUUGGGUUAAAUUUUAUGUUGGGUUAGAAAAUUGAAGAAAAAAAAUACUUGAGUCGGUUCCUAGGUCCUACAAAUAAUGGUUGGGUUAACUCAACCCGACUUGGUUAUGUAUAUAAUAUAUAUAAUUCUCUUGUCUGUUUUCAAUCUCGGUUGAACUUGACCCCAAGAUGGCCCAAGUACUUAGCUUCAUUUAGGAGUCAAAACCAAUCCGUUUUAGAGUGUAAUUAAUUAUGCAUGUAACUUAUGUUUUAAUUAAAAUUGUAUAUGCAUAAAGUAUGUCAUAUAGAUUUAAAAUUUCACCACGUGAAAGUAUGUUAUAACUGUUAUAAUAUAUAGUAUUCAUGUUGAUUAAUUAAUAUAUAAAUUAAUUAAAUUAAUUUUAAUUAAAUGUGAUUUGAUGAAAUUAAUUAAUUAAUUAACUAAUGAUUUACCUAACUUAAUUAAAUUUGAUUUAAUUAAAAGUUAAAUAAAUUAAAAUCCAUAUUAAUUAAUUUGUAUAUAUAAUGGUUAUAUAUUUUAUUAUGUUUGUUUGUUAUAGUUUUCGGAGCAAUAUGAACAAGAUAUAUUUCUGGAGAGCUACAAAGCACAUAACUUAGAGUUAAGAGCUGAAAUUUUAAGAUAAAAUACUUAUGACAAUUCUAACCAACUUUAUAGAAGGCAUUUGUGUCAUUUGGGUUAUAAAUUGUAAGUUAUUAGCUUCCAAUGUUGAAAGAAGGAUUUUGGCCAAGAACCCAGUUUCUGGGCAUGACACAGGGAGGCCAAGCAUCAGGAGCAUGCCAGCAGCCAUCUGCCGCCCACCAUCGCACACCAGCCACCCCUGCCACCCAUCAAUGCGCACCAGUUGUCCAUCCUCGUGUGCUAGCCAUGCCAAAAUGUGUUUUUGGACUGUUUUGUUUUUAUAUUUUUGCCAUUUUGAAGUAAUAAUUUGAUAUUUUUAUGAAUAAAGAAAAUUAAAUUGAAUUACUUUUCCAUUAAUUCAAGUCAGGAGGAGAUCAGAUAAAUUUAGAAGUUGAUGGUUUAAGCUACCAUCUAUGAGUGAUAAAAUGAUUCUAAAUAUGAUUUAUAAGCUACCAUUUAAAUAUGCUUUGAAAUGAUUAUUGAGCUAUAGUGAUUAUGAUAUCUUGAUUUGUAAUUAUAUUUAUGAAAAGUACUCGAGUAUGCUUAAUUAGAAAUAUUUUAUCAAAGCAUGUAUUUAUCAAUGAGAUUUGCAAACAAUGAUUUUUAAAAAGAAAACCAUGAUAUUCUAUAUACAGAGUUCUCGAAGGGUCAAUGUGCACAGUCUAGAGUAUGAGGCUUUGCUGACUACUUAGUCAACAACUACCAAGAUUUGACAAGAUAGUAAAACCAAUGGGUGCGCUGCUAUCUUGACCAAGAUUUGGGAGGAUGAUAAGACCAAAUGUGCUUUGCUAUUCUGACCGGAAUUACUAAAUCAUGCAUGGUAGGUUGAGCUAAUUACUACCGUGACUAAGUUUCAUGGAUAUAUAAUAUACAAAGAUAAAAUUGUAUUUGAAAGAUAGAAAGAGUUUAGCACAAGGAAGUUCUUAAGAUUUUAUUUUUAUGUCAAGCAUUAUGAAUGAUUUAUGUAAAACAUUAAAGUAUAUUUGUUUUAAAAAUAUUUUUUACAAAAUUUUCAUUCACUCGGCUUUUUAGCUCACCAUUUUCAAAUGUUUUUUUUAACUUUUUAGAUAGAGGUCGUGAUUCGAAAGCGUGCCGUUGUUUCCAAGUCUUCUAUGCAAAGUAGAUAGUUUUGUUGCUAUGGUCAGUUCUAGAUCCAUCUAUGUCAUGUACAUAAGUUUUGUUUUAGACUAGAUUAGUUAAGAUUUUUUUUUUAGGUUAAUGUGUUGUCAGUAAAGAAAUAGCGUUUAGCCUGAACUUAUUUUGAAUUAAUGUAAAGUUUGUUUCAAGUGUGUUUAUCGUACUAUCCACUGCAUAAGUUUUUAAUUUACUCGAGUUGUUUAGCAUGACAAAAAGGUUCAAAAGUCAGGGUCAAUUGGAGUUAUUCAAAAGGAGAAUGAUGUUAGUUGACUUCACGCCGUCUCUCGAAUCGAUAGUAGAUGAUCCAGUAGGAGGUGUGCCAUUAUUUAUAAAGUUUAUUGAUGAAAUAUUUUGAUAUUUGUGACAAACAAGUAAAUAAAAGUUGAUUAAAGAUAUAUAUAAUUAGUUGAAUACAAGAUUAAAAUAAUAAAAAUGAAAUAAAGUAUUUUGGAAACUUAAUUAAAUCUAUAUUUUUCUGAAAUCUUAAAAAAAAAUAGAUGUUAUGGAUUAGUUAAAUAUAUAUUUUAGAAAUUCGUACGUUUGGUUAAAUAUUGUAUGAUAAAUAAAUUUCAGAUUUUUAGUUAAGAUAUAAGACAAUAUGGAAAUUUAAAAAAUAAAUUAGAUGGAAUUAAAAUAGGAAUAGGAAUAGGAAGUACGUGGAUAACGUAAGAUACCACAGAAUGAGGGGCAAAGUGAGAAUAAGAAACGUGCUCUAAAACUUAUUAAUUCCAAUUUGUUUGCUAUAAUUCCAACCAGGUCCCCAAAUUUUGUGACUCCAUUCAAUUCCACGUCAUUCUGUUCUUCUUACAUGGGUAAUGUAUAAUAUUUGUCAACCUAGUUUGGGCCUGUAUAUAUUAUUUGGGGUGAUCAAUAAACUCAACCCCAAAUUUUGGUUUGAGCAACUCUUUUCAUAACUUGAUUAAUCUUCCAAUUCACUCCUAAGACACUAAGGAAAUGUGUGACAUUAGUUAAAUAAGGAAAUAACAUAGAUAAACAAAUAAUAAAAAAAAAAGAAUUUAUGAAUAGAAGGGGAGGAUUAUCCCCGAGGAGUGGAGAAGAAGAAGAAGAAGGUAGAGAAGGGUAAAAAGUGAUGUGAUGAUUUGACGUGUCAUAACAUUUUAGUUUUUAAAAGUGGGAAAGAAAAAGGGUUAAAGGAGAAAGAAAAGGCAGAGAAAUUGGCGCACGUGACGCUAAUAUCUAUAAUUUUAUUAUUAAAAGAAAGUAACUUCCCGCCAACUUAUGCUAACUGGGCCCCAUGUUGUGAGGUGUUCAUUAUGGAACCACUUCAUUUUCCUCACCUCUUGUCCUUUCCAUUUCUACUGCCCUAAUAUUCUUCCAUUUCUUUGCUCAAUCAUUUUAGUGCCUCGCUCCUUUCCCCCUUCCCAUUGCCUACCAUUUACUUCAUCAUCCCUUACCUUUUAUUAAAUCAUUCACUACUACUUACUUCUUCCAAAACACUUCUGGGUUUUUCCUCAAUAUCUAACUACACCCUACCUACAUCAUCAUUCUAGUUUCGUUUUUGUUUUACCCUUCUACGUUAAAUGAACACAUGCUGGGAAUAUUAUGUACCUUCCAAUUUUUUUAAUUCCCAUUAACCAAUCACGUAUAUAUAUAAUACUUUUAAGCCUUCAAACCAAUUUUGGUUAUGUAUAUGAAAGUCUCACUCAAAGGUGUAAUUCAAGAAUGACUUUAAAUAUAUCACAAUAUUGAUUUUAACCCUUCCAAAAUUACUAAAUUAUUUCCUAAACAAACUACAAUGGAGAGCAUGUUUAUAAGUGAUUUUGACAUGCCUAAAAUCUAGAUUGCCUUUGUCAAAAUUACUUUUAUAGUGAAGGAAAUAGUGAAGGGAAAAAGAGUACAUAUAUAAAUUUUUUUUUUUUUUUUUUUUUGUUAUAGCCACAAUUGUUUUUUUCCAAAACAACAAGAAAAUGUCGACAAAUCUAAUUCUUUAUCAACACAAAACAUGUGGGUGACCUCCAUGAGUUCUCUAUUUGUGGAUAUCUCUAAGCUCCACCAAACCUUCUAUCAAUUCUUUAACCUAAAUCUUUUCAUAGCAUAUCAUUAUUUUAACAUUAUUUUAUCUCACUUAUGAAUAUGAAAAUUGUUAAAACCACAUAAAAUAAUACAAAGUAACAUUAAUUGAAGAGGAAAAUGACAUUAUAAACAUUUUUCAAAGCAUAAUAUUUUGUUUUGGUACAAUGUUAAGUAAGCUUUUGAAUCACAAUGAAAAGUAGUUUUUGAUAUUGGUUUCCUAAACAAGCGUUUAUAUCAUGUUGAUGUCAUUUGAUGAUGAGUAGAAGAAGAGAGAGGGGGUUGUGGGGGAGGAGAUAAAUAAUAUAUGAUGGAGGAUUUGACCAUAUAAGGGAGCCCAUUAAGAGUGACAGAUGUGGAAGAGUUUGAGGCAACUUUAAUUGAUGAUAAAUGAAAAAGAAGAUCAGAGAGAGGAAGAAAAAAGGUAGGGGCAAAGUCAGAGAGUCAUCAAAUGUAUGCCAUGUUGAAGCUGGAUGGCAGCUGCGUAAUUAACAUAGACACUUAUAAUAUGGAGGACACUUCGUUGGGAGGUACCACAAUUAAAGAUGAGAUGCCAUAUCCAUCCCUUUCCAUUUUUAUUCAUAUAUCUCUUCAUAAGUCCUAACCUCUCUAAACCCAUCCAAAUACUGCAAAUAUUCUCUACAGCUUCCUGCACUAAUCAUUUAAUUCAAUACACCAAACUACACUAAUUAAUUAUCUAGAUAUAAAAAAUAAAAAAUUCAUUACAGAAGAAAAUCAAGUUCAAAUAUAUAUACAAUGUUUAUUUCAAAAAUAUAGUUAGAAAAUAUUACACAUUUAUGGUGUUAUAUAAUAUAUACCAUAUAUUGUAAUUUUGGUCUCAUGUCUAUCAAGAUAUAUAUUUCACCUUCUUUGUCACGUGUAUUCAUGUAUAUGUAGUCAUUUUGUAAAGAUAUAUCUCAUAUUAUAUAAUAAUAAUAGUAAUAAUGUUAACGCAGAGUAAUUAAAUUCCUAAAUUGAAGGGAAAAUUAUCAUAUAAUUCAAAUAAUAGUAAUUAAAUCAUAAUUUCAAAAAUUAAUGACAAGUUAUAUACUGUAUUAAUUGCUGCUUAAUUUUUUAAAAAAUAUUUAAUUAAAUUUCUAAUAAAAUUAAAUGAUAAAUUCUUUACGUCUAAUUUGACAAUAAUUACGCUCUCUCCCAAAAUCCAUUUCAACACCUGACUUUGUUGUACUAAAAAGAAAGAUGAAAUCUUAAAAUCAAAACAAUAACACCAACCACCUCUACAAUUAAUAAUUUGACAACUAGCUCUCAUAAUCUUUGCCAAAGUAAUUAUCUUACUUUACUUUGUACUAAUAGAGAGAUAAAAUCUUUAAAUCUCUUAACCAUAAUGUGUAUGUCUAGUAAUUAACAAUUGGAAAAAAAGCUGUUUUGUUCUUCUAUAGAUUUUGAAUUUAGUUUUGUACUUUCAAAAUGUUAUAGCUGAAAAGUUAUUAAGUUUUGAGUUUAUUUUUCAAAAAAAAUAUUUAUGUCAUAUGUGAUAAAAAAUAAGGUUAAAAGAACUGCUCUUCAAAACAAAACUAAAAACUUAAAGCUUUGUUUAAUACUCUUUAAUUUUUUUUAGCUUUUAAAAAUUAAGUCUAUUUUCCUCCCAUUUCUUAUCAUAAUUGGUAUCUUUCUCAAGUAUGAUGGCUGAAUUUUUAGUUCAAUUCCAAAACAUAAAAACUUCUUGAAAGCUACUCUUUUGUUUAGUUUUCAAAUUUUUGGUUAGUUUUUUAAACCAUUAGUAUAAUGUAGAUAAGAAAAAAAGAAAAUUGGAGGUGGAAAUAGUAACGGUUGGAUUCAUUAUUAUUAUUAUUCUCUAAGAAAACAAAAUGAUAACAAAAUAGACAAUAAGGAAGAAACUAGCACUAGUACCGAAAAAAGAGGAUCUCCCAAUGGAUAAAAGUGUAGUCGGAAGAGACAAGAACUCUCGACACAUUUAUACAAAAAGUGUCGUCCGGAGGCCGUAUGAGGUCAUUAGGGAGUUCUCUUUUAAAACCCCCAAAGCUAUUAGUGGUAAAUCGGAAGUUCCCUUCUAAAACUCGUUAGAUCUGCAAAAAAAACGUAAAUAUAUUUAGAACUCUUUCCUCAAAAUGACGAAACCCUUGCACACCCAAACCCUAGAUCUGCUUGCCGUCACUCACCGUCGUUCAAAGCCGCCUCUCCUCGCGGUCAUGUUUUUAUUUAUGGUAUGUUAAAAUCCGCUUGUACAAAAUCUUCUGAUAUUCUACUUUUAUUUUUGUAGAAUUCUGGUAAAAUUGCACCAUUGGAUGAGAUCAUCAAAAUGAAGGAGCAGUAUCGAUUUGGUGUUUUGUUGGAUGAAAGCAACUCUUUUGGCGUACAUGGCUGUACUUGAAGAGGUGUCACAGAACACUGUGGGGGUCGUUUUUUGUAAGUUUAUUAACAAUUUUUUUUGUUUUUCCCGGUAUUGGAUUUAGAUUCUUGAUGGCUACCAUUCUUUCAAAAGUGCAAAGUUUUUCUUAUUUAAUUGUGCAGCGUUUGAGCAGUUCCAGUUAUGUUUUUUCUACUUCAUUGGCUCUAUAUCUAACUAGUGCUGCCAUUACUGCCAUAGAUCUUAUAGAGGACAAGCCCAUGCUAUUAAAAAAGCUCAAAAAAAAAACAUAAACUAUUUUAUGGCAAGGUAUAUUAAUACUCUGAUCUCAUGUCUAGUGUAUUAGAGCUUAAUUUAAUUAUCUACAUAUCAGUUACCCUCCGUUGUUAUGUAAACAUUUAUUACAUCAUGUUUCCAUCUUUCCUCAAAGUAAAAAAUUGAAUGUCUAUCCAAUUUCAAACAAAAACAAGUUUGUAAAUUUUGUUUUCAGAGUUUCUAAAACGUUCCUUGUAUUUUGGAAACACAUUUCAAAUGUAGACAACAUAAGGAUAAAGGGGAUUUUCACUCUCACUUCCCUAUUCAGAAUAUUUUACACUGCGUAGUAUUGAAUAUCAGUCUAGCUGCCACCAUGAUAAGAUAUGCCUUAAUAUUGCCUAUUCGCUACAUGCAACCAUCUAAAAUGCAUCCUUUCUUUUUCAAAAUUUGGAUGUCAUUAUACUUAAUUAAAUCAAUAUUUCUUGGAGAAUCCAGAAUUUUCGUCUAAAUAUUACUUAAAAGCUUUUAGUUAACUACACUAAAUAAUAUUUCAAAACUCUCAAUUUGUUAUAGUAUUUAUUAUUUGCUACCGUUUUUACUAUUGAAAAUUCAUAAAUUUUUUUAUUCUUUGCAAUAGUGUUUAUUGUUUUCUUAUAAAAAUAAAAUAACCUACACACCAAAUACAUACUAUUAUAAUUACUCAAUUUAAAAUAAUCUACGUUUGAAACAAACAUUAUUCUAAUCAAACUACAAUAACUCACUCCUUUGCUCCCAACAUCCCCAAGUGAUCAAGAAUCAUCCAUGGUUGUCUUUGUCACAUGUUAGAUAAAAUCUACGGGUUCGAUACAAAAUGAUUUACAUAUGGAUGGAGAUAACAACUCACUUGGUCGUAGCAUAACUGCAUAUUAGUUUUGAGAUUUUAGACUCUAAUUUCUAAGUUAUUUUCAUAUUUGGAAUUUUUUUGUUGGUGUAUUUUUUAUAGGUGGAUAGAAUGGACAACUCACUUGGCCUUUGAAUUUUACUCAUUACCUUGUGACUUUCUUUCAUUGUAUUAGACAUCACUAGAUGUAUUAUGUAAUGAUUUACAAAAUUUUCAACUAUGAGGUGAAACUUGUGAUAUUUUAAUUGGAAUGAGUACACUAUACUUUGACGUCUUUGUUUACUUUGAAUGAAUGAGAACAGUUUGGUUCAUUAUUUUUAAUUGGGUUCUAAAUUUAAGGUUAGAGAGAUAAAAAAAAAAAAGUAAUUAUGGAAGUAAUUAAAUUUUUUUUUACCAAACUCCUGAUGACCUUUGUCAUUGUCUGAAGAUCAAAGAACUCCCGACAAGUGUAUUAUAGCCUCGAGAGAUCCCCUAACUCCCGACAUCGUAUGUAGGCAUUGAGAGUUAUCAUUAACUCCUGACAGUUGAUGUUCAAGCAUUGAGAGAGGUUCUCUCGAUGGGUAUUUCACAUAAUGAAACUCCCAACGCAUUUUUGGCAAUUUUUUUUACGAUUGUAGGCGUUAGAAGAUCAAACUUUUUUGUAAUGUAGGGGUCAAAAGGACAUCGAUUAGGUGUACCAAGGGGCUAAACAGAGUUUAAUUGUAAUAUAAUUAACAUGACUUUUCAUUCUAGAAGUGAGAUGUUUGAUCUUCAUCCCCACAACUAUUCUAUUAGAGAAAAUAGUAGUCUAAGGCUUUAUAUUGAUCCUCAUAUAACUCUGCACCCAAGAUAAUUGUAAAAUUGUUUACUAUAAAAUCUAAAUAUUUGGUACACAAAAGCUAACAUUAGAGCUAGUGGCGGAUCCAAAAAUUUUAAAUAGGGGGACACCGGACACUAUAUAAUAAACACACUAAAAAAUAUUAUUAAAAACUAUUACGACGUUUCACUAAUACUUCGAUAACAUUUACUACAUUUGUAACAAUAAAGAAUAUCGACAAUUUUCACAUGAUUUUUUGUAAUGCAAAUAUGUGAUUUUAAAAUUAUCAUAAAAAAGAAAAAGAAUAAUACAUUUUAGGUGGGAUAUUGAGAGAGUGGAAGUUUGGAUCACUCACUUUUUUCAUUUUUUUAAAAUUUUUGUUAGAUAAAUGAAGGCUAGAAAAUAAGUUAGGGUUUUAUUUUAGAUAGUCUUUUUCCUCCUUUUAAAAAUUUUUUUUUUUUUUAGGAAAUCAAAUUAUAUUUCUUUUAAGAAAUCAUUAAAAUUAAAGAAGAAAUUUGAUGUUUGAGAAAACAAAAUUAUUAAUAUUUGAAAAAAUAAAAUUGUUGAUGUUUAAAAUAAAAACUAUUUUAUACCAUCGAACAAGAAAUUUCAUAUUUAAGAAAAGAAAAUUGUUGAUAUUUAGAAUAAAAACUAUUUGAACUCACCACCAAACCAAAGGGUAGUGCACAAAUCAUAUCUCUAUUUUAUGUUUACUUGGCCUAAUUUCUCCUUCCUAUGCAUUAUAAUGACUGACCAAUGGGAUCAUAAAUCAUCUUUAUUUUGUUUGAAUGAAUUUAAAAAUAAAUAUAUGAUUUCUUCAAAAUGAAAAUUUUGGGUGGCAAAAAAAAAAAAAAGAAAAUUCAUAUCAAUUUCUUUUGAAAUGGAAAUUAUACAAUUUAUGUAAUCCAAAUCAUAAAACCGAUUUUUUAUUUCCCAAUAGCUAGUCUAGCAUAAGUAAUUAAUUGUUUAAAAAAAAUUAAAUGAAAUUUUGAUCAAAAUCUGGUAAAAAUGGAGAAAAAUCGAAACUCCCCUCAAGUCAUGAGCUGAAAUUUGGAAGCUAUCAAAGUAUUUCACUAUGACAAUUAUCAACUUAGUAUAGGAAAGGGAUAUUUGAUUUGUAGAUGGAAUACCCAAACCCACCUCUUUUAACCAACAUGUUCCUUUCACACUAUUACGAACUAAUUUUAUACACAAAAUAUAUCGUAACAUGUAAGGCAUUUCUCAAAUAUAUAAAAUGAAAAGUAAAAGAAGUGUAGUUGAAAUUUUAAUAAACGAAUUUGAAUUACUUAUCGGUUGAAAAUGAAACCAAAGUUCCAUACCCAAUUAGAUAAGGAGAUAAUUAUGAGUUAUGAGUGAGGACAACUAUCUCCAUUAGAACGGGGACUUUUCAGAGUUAUACAUACUCAAAGCAAAACCAUGAGGGUAAUGCUCAAAACGGAUAAUAUCAUACAAUUGUGGAGAUAUUUAAAGAGUAUGUUGUCCUAACAGUUGGUAUCAGAGUCAUGCCACUAACUUAACCAUGUUGGUUGAAUCCUUAAAUGUAGUAGAGUCUUGAAAUAGGUCCUGGUGAGAUUUGUGGUUGAACUCUAUUGGAUAGGCACAUUGUACUUCAAAGAUAGGAGUUAGCCUAAAUAGAGUUACACCAAUGAAUGAGUACUAUUUGAGGGAAGACUCGAUUGUACUCUCUUCGAAGAAGAAUUGUUAGGAAUGUUGUUGUCUCGAAAGACAAUAGCAUGACCUCUUUUUACACAUUUCCUCUCAAACUUAUAUAUAUAUAUAUAUAUAUGCCUACAUACGUAUAUACAAUACAUUUUUAAUGCUUUAAAUAAUAAAUUAUUUUAUUUGUUGGUAAACUUAGAUGAUAUCAAAUUUUGAGAUUAUAAAAUUUACGCAUAAUUAAUCAAUAGCUUUUUGUGUAUUUUUUUUAUAUCAUCUUGACAUAAAUUAAACCUUUCAGUUCUUAUAAAUUAGUUUUUAAUAAUUAUUCAAAUGUGUUUAUAAAAAAUAGAAUUUAUUGGAGACACGUCAUCCUUUUUACAAAACGAUUCCAAACACAAUAUCAAAUGGACUGAAAACGAUAAUUAAUCUGUUGGAAUAAACCUUAUUUUAUGGUGCUCUAGAAGUAUCUCGUAGGCCAUUCACUUUCAUUACCCAACAAUAUUAUGAGUUUGGUUGACCUACCAUAACUACCACGAAUAUCAAUUAUCUUUUGAAGCUCAUCUUUUAAAAUUUUACACAAACUUUUAUAAAUCAAAAGUUGGCCACAAACCAAGAACGCACAUAGAUACACCCAUAAAUUUCUUUGUAUAAUUAAUUUCAGUAUUAAAACUAACAACAACAUAUACCUAAACCUUUCAACCUUAAACUAAUUAAAAUCAUGAGCUAAACAUCUAUAAAUUAUCUUAAUGUUAUACCUUUUUUUUUUACUAUUUUUUUCAUCUAUGCAAUUUGUUGUAUAUGUCAAGAGCAUCUUAUCUCUCUGAACAGUUCUUCUUUAAAGAAUAUAUUUUUUUCUCGUUGAAGUAUUUUUUUACCUUUAGAGAAAGAAGCUGACAUAUACAUUCAUCACCUUGGUGACUUUUAGGGCUAACCCUUUGAAGGUGGAACAAUAUGUUUCACACAAGUGGUUGUGUGAUGAAGCAAUAAAGUGUUCAUCUCUCUAUGGUUGUCUGUUUGUUUUGUUUUGAAGUACAUGUCGAUGUAUCCACUUUAGUGGGAAAAAAAAGAAUCCUGUUUUGAUAUCAUACUUAUAAGGAUCUAAAUUCUAGUUUUGAGCGGGAUUCUUACGCUUAGUAGCUUAAUGUCACAAUCCGUUAAAUAACAACCUCCCUGUGAGUCUAAGCUAAUAAAUUUGAGUUGAUGUGUAUUUUCAAAUUAAACAAAGAGAUGAAAAUUUUGAUAGUACAGUUCGAAAGAGAUCUCAAGUUUAUUAGGAGAAGCCUAAACUUUUCAGUAUGAGGAAACUAUUUGAGAGUCCCAGUGGAUGAUACUAACAAUAUUGAAUUAGAGGUUGAAACCGUUUUGGGGAUGAGAACCCCUAUUUCUCUAUCACUAAAAUUCUCUGAUUAGUAUGAUUACAACUCGAUCAAAGCUCCUCAGACAAAGAAUGAGUCCUUCAUAACUCAAUGUUUGAACACUAUACAAGAUAGAUAGGAUGAUCAAUUCUUUACAUACAACUCAACACAUGGAUUAUAAAAUUCAAGAAGCUCUCCUUUGCUAAACUUGAAAGAAGCAAAAAAACUAAAUUUAAUCCAUCAUACAUCUUAUCAAAACGAUUUAAAUGGUAAAAUUUUAACAGCUUUCCAAAAAAAACCCUAAUGAUUAUAACAAAAUUACAAAAUUUAAUAUUGCAUAGAAAGGAUUGAAUUAGAAUUAAUUAUUUGAUGUCGUAGAUGGUUGAUGCUAAUAAGUAGAAGUAAUUCAUUUUUAUUGAAACAACAUUCAAACCAAUUUGGUUAGAGUGAAAUAUGGAAUCUAAAAGAAUCUCAGAACCGAAACUGAUUCAAAAUUGAGAAAUACUACAACAAAACGAACAUGAAAAAAAGAAAAAAGAAAAAAAAAAGACCUCAGGCGUAAGCAGUGCUGAAAAAGGAUUUGAGGGUAGAUAGAUUGAGAAUGUUAAGAAGAAAGUGAUUGGUAGUGCAUCUUGGGGUCUUAAAUUGGCUAAGUGCAGCUCCAUUUCCAAUAUAAUGUUCCAAAAUCUUAUUAAAACUCCCUCUUUCCACAAUUCGAAGCUCAAGCGGUCCAAUGGAAUUAGCCUUUCUUGAAACCACGUAGCCAUAGUCAACAAAAGCAGCAUCCAUUUCUGAGCAACACAUUCCCAGAACUUUGUCAUUUACAUCUCCUUUUAAUUCCCAGAAGAUGACGUAGUGGCCUGGUUGGUUCGACAACUCAGCAUAGCUGGUGAAGUCAACUAGUUCGGCUCCACUUAGCUGGCUCAUUAAUUGGGAGCCUCUUUCAACAGCCAAUUGAACGUCUUUCUCAGUGUUUUUGUCUAUGUUUACGGUUAAUACAAGCUUUCUUCUGCAUAUAAAGUUUAGUUUCGGGGUUUUGUUGUGAAAGCCAGCUACUUCUACUACAUCUCCUAAUCUGCAUCUAUAUAGUCCUGCACCGUUCAAUAACAUAUUCAUUCAAUAUUUAACCUUCAAUUAAAUUAAACCCAACAAACAUACAUCUGCUUUUGUUUCUUAUACCUAUCUAUAUAUAUCUAUAUAUUUAUCUACACACACACAAUUUUAUCUUUAGCAUUUCAAUGCAUGUAUUCAAGGAAAUGAUGAAUCUCCCUCUACUGCUUAAUUAUAUAUAAAAAAAAAACCAUUAGGAAUCUUCAAAUAACUUGACAAUCAAAAUUAGUUUUAAUUUUAGAUCAGGUGGAAUUGAAUCUGUAUGUUUUUAUUGGAUUGUAUUCGGGUUGGUCCAACCCCAGUUCAAUCCACCCACAUCACCAGAAGUGGUACAAAUUUGAUAAAUAUAGAAAAAUUUGUAAAACUGAUUGGGCAGGAUUAAAAAUAGUUUGGUGAGAUUAUUUAUUGAUGGAGCAUUUUAGUAAUUUUAUCAUUUACUAGUAAUUUCGUUUAGUAAUGCAUGAUACAUGGAAAUGAGAGUAUGUUACUGUCAAUACCCAUAAUAUAUUAUAUAUAUGUAAAAUGAUAAUUCAUUAAUGCAUGUCGGAAACGUAUAGCAGAAUUACAUAUUUGAAAGCUGUAACAUUUGGAGCAACUUUGAUUUUAAGAACCAAAUGUUUGCAAUAGUUAAAACCAUCAUAUAGUAUAUCCUCUCAUUUUUUUGAAAUUAAAUUUAAACACUACUACUAUCUAUUCUAUCAUCAUGUUUAUAGAAAAAGGGAAGAUUUAACUUUUUAAAAAAUAGUAUUUACUUUUUUUAGAGUUAGGACUAAAAAUUUAUAUAUUUGUGGAACUAAUAAUUUUGUUAGAAAACAAGGAAGAAAGUUUAUGUAAUCAUCCUCUUAAAAGAAAAGUUUAUGUAAUCAUUGUGAUGAAAUCAAAAUUUUAUUUCAAAUAAUGGACCCAAAUAAGGUAGGUAAAACAUUAGGAGGAGAAACAAUUAGGGAUCAAAUCAAUGAUCUAUGAUUACCCUACAAUGAUACAUAUAAUAUGAUAUUUUGUAAUAGUAAUGGUAGACAUAAUGAUAAGGAAUUAGCUAAUUAAACGCAAGCUUUAAUUACCCUUUUCUAGACAGAAAAAAAUAUCCAAUCAAACAUUUAAUUAAUUUGAAAUAAUGAUAAUUUAAUUGGCAUGUUCUUAAUUGAAACCACAUGAAAUCGGAAAAAGGAAAAAAAAUAAAAAAAUAAAAAAAUAAAAAGCAGCAUAGAUCGUAUAUAAAUGAAAAGUGACGGACCUGUAAAAGUAGUAAGAACAAGCUCAUACUGUUGUCCAAUCUUGACUUCAGACAAAGCAAUGGGUUGGCCUUCCAAGAAAUCAUGAAUAGCAGUAUCGGCGGAAGAAGUGGUAGCAUGUUGUUUAAAAAGCGGUAUGAAUUCAAAAUAAGAGAAGGUUGGAAUUACUGCAAAAGUAACAUUUUCAGGUGGUAAAUAUGGGUCCACAUUAACACCAAUCCAACUCUCCGUUGAUCCAUAAUCACCACUAACCAAAGGUAAUCCUCCACCAUAAUGUCUCAAUUUCUUCAAAUACGGCUGCAUCGAACCCGUCAUUAUGGAAUAAACAUAUUUACAGUUAGGCCAUAACUUUGGUAUCAAACCCAACCAACCCUCCUUCAUUAACUCUUCACAAACCCUCCUUAUCUUCCACCCCAACUCCGGCUUCGGACUCAUCACCUUCAAAACAGCUUUACGGAUUUCGGGAAUAUCGAUUCUUGAAGACAGUGUAGCAUGUGAAAGAUCAUGAAUCAUUUCCUCCCAACUCUCUUCCAAUUGGUUAAAUGCUUGUACUAUUGUGUAGGCGAAAGUUGAUGUCACGAAUUCCACUUCCUCCGAAUACAAUAGGCCUAAUAGGAGAUGACAGUAUGUUGAUUGUUUAUAGUCACAUCCCGUAAUCACUUCUUGUGGACUACACGUAAAGGAUUUGGUUUUGAGUUGCUUGAUUUUGAAUUCCUCACUUGCAUAAUAAUGUGUUGUGGCUGUUCCUGUUGUUAUGCCUCCUUUCGUUUUCGUUUGUUUGCUACUGUAAAUGAAUUCUAGGAUCUUCCCUCCAUCCCUUAUGGGAUAAACCCUAAUAAUUUUUUUUUAAUUUUUGUUUUUACAGCAGUCAAAUUACGAAUAAAUAUAUAGUCAAUAAAUGUUGUUUUUGUGUUCUGUUCGUACCUGGAUCUAUAAGCAGCAGCUAAGCGAAAAAUGAGAAGAGUAGUCUGAGCACUAUGGGGAGUAAAGGGAACGUACUUUUGUCUGCCUUCAGUAGUGCCAGAACUGGUAAGGCCAGAUGAAUUGAAUUAAAAAUAAAAUGAAUAAAAAGAAUUGAAUGGGGAGUACCGGGUACGUACCUGAGAGAAAGAGUGGUGAUGGGUUGUUGAGUGAGCAAAGGAGAAGAGUCGCCAUCUGCGAUUCGUUGAAGGAAGGGCUCGAAAUGGGCGUGGGAAGAGAGGGGGAUAGAGGAAGUGAAGAUAGAGUGUAAUGUGAAGUCAUCAGGAAUUUCAUGGAUAUUGACAUCUCCAACCCAUUUUUUUAAGUACUCUACACCAUAAUUCUGUUGGAGAAUCUUACGGAGAGUGCGGGAUUGAGCCAGGGCUGCUUCUGAAGAAACUUGCUCGAACCAACCAAUUAUAUCUUCCUCGCCUUCCAUUUACUCUCUCUGUUUUUUUUUUUACAUUUAUCGAUCUCUUUCACGAAGAGUUUAUAUGUUUUUCUAGUAAAGGGGGUGAAGGGGGCCAGAUUACUUGUUCGAACUUUGAAGGAUCACUAAAAAAUAAAGUAUCUACUACUGCUAAAAGUUGCACCGGGCGAAUUGAAUGUACGACAGAAUACACACCACAAAACAACAUCAUUGUGUUAUCAUCUUAAGAAAGAGAGAGAAAGAGAUUAGUGUGUGUGUAACAAUGGGGGUGGGAAGAGAGAGAAUAUGUGUUUCAGAAUGGAGCCACAUCCAAACAAUAAAGACACCCACCUAUAAGCUAUUAUCUUUUGUUUCAAUCCAAAAAGCCUCAAAGCCUCAAAGCCUAUGAAAUAAAAAAUAAAGAAUAUGAAUUUAAUUAAUGUUUUAGACCUUCCAAAGUAUAUAUAGUCAAUUGUCAAAAUGGAGGUUGGAAUGAAAGUAAAAAAGAAGAUGAAGAAGGAUGAAAGGGAAAUGUAAUAACCCAAAUUGAAUAAAUUUGAGUAUUCCAAAACAAAAUUAAAGUAAAAGGGAAAUGCAUUGAAAGGGUGAGUUUUGAGAGCGGGUAAGGAUAUUAAGAGUAUGGGCAAAUCAAAUUGAAACAGGCAUGGCCUUGUGGGGACCUCUUAAUUUUCUUAUCUCUGCACGUAGUCUGCACUCUACAAUUUCUCUCUUCCAACAACACUAACAAAUAACUUACUUCAUCCACACCAAAACAAAUUACAUUUCUCAUUUCCACCUAUAUUGCUUUACAAUUUACUGCUACAAAUUUCGGAAUUAACAACCUCAAUUUUUUAUCCCUCACACUUUUUUUUUCUCCUUCAAUCCUCCACUGUUAACAAAUUGUAUCAUUUAAUCACACUUUCCAAAAUCUUUCAUAUCAAAAUUGUUUAUUGUCAACAAUACACUACAAAUGCUCUUCUUUAUGUGCCUAUUCCUUUAUUUACCUCACUUUUUCCUCAUUUCCUUAUCCACCAUAUUUAUUUUUUGUUCCAAUCUAAAAAAUGCUUAUAUAUUGAUACUUCUUCAGCGCUGUUAUUUUUUUAGAUCACAACCCAUCUUCUACUAUCAUAUAAUUACUUAUUUCAACAUUUCUCUAUUCUUAAAACAAACUAAUGUUUGGGAUUCAACCAGAUGCAUUUACCGUUAUCCAUAUAUGUUUAUAAACAUCUUUAUAUUGGUAAUGAAAUUUUAAAUUACAUUGUCUUCCAUAAAAAUUUUACAAGAAUCCAAUACAUAAGUUGUAAUAUAAUAAAAUAUAUGUAUGGGUCACCUAAAAUAGUGAAAACUAACACAUAAAUGAAUUGACAUGAUCUCAUUGUCCACGCAUUCUUCAAAUAUCUACAAAUUUGUUGAAAAUGAGCAUUAAUUAACAUUCUUUAAGUAUAUGCCAAUCAGAUUUCAUCUUCUUGAUAAGCACACACAAAUGAACUUUUGAAAAGUAGCCAAGAUAAAAUAGUGUUAAGAUCUAGCUUAAUCAUGCACAUUUCAACGUUUUCGACUUCUCUAUUAUUUUGUAGAAUCUAAUACACGUAAUAUUUUUAAUAAGAACUUCAUCCAAGAUAACUAAUUGGUCAAUACCACCUUGCCACAAUAGCCAACAAUUGUACAAGGGAAGAUAAGAUCAUGGUUGAGUGAACAAAUAACAAAAAAAGUGCAAAACUCUACUAGAUGAUUCAAGCACUCACAGUCUAAGUAAUUGAUAAUAUCAACAGAAACAAGACGUACUAUUCACGGCAUCUUUGGUGAAAACUUGUAAAUAAUUGUGUCAAUUAAGUUGAAAGAAAAUCAAAGUCUCCAAUUGUAUUCAACUUUCAAUUAGAGUUCACAAUGAUAUAAUAUAAUUAAUUAAAACACAAGAUCACAAAAAAAAAAAAAAUUAAAAAAGACUCUCAAAACCAUCUUAUUAAAAGUUAAAAGUAUAGCUAAGUGUCCUUUUACUGUGAAAAAAUCAUAUAAAUUUCCUAAAAAGUGUUAAGUCAUACUUUAACUCUUGAGAUGAUUUGAAAAGUACAUAAAUUUUCAUUUUGACUACAAAAGAGAAAAGCAUAUAAGUGGUACUUUUAACUCUCUAAACAAUCUAGAGUGUAAUUGUCAUUAACUAUGAAAAGCACAUAGCUUCUUACAAAAGGUCUCCAACAUAUUUAAACUCUCAAACCCACCUAAAAUCAUAGCCAUGCCCUUAAACCAUAUAAAACAUUUUUCUUAAAAGAAUUCAUGUGUGUUGCUUCAACUCUCAAAACCUCCCACAUUCAUAAAAUUGUACUCAAGUGUGUCCUUUUGAUAAUGAAAUAUAUAUAUAUAGGAAGUUAUUCGAAAUCUACAUUACCAUUCGAAACAAUCUAAAAAGUACAUAAGUGUCUUUUUGACAAUAAAAAACUAAAAUGUCAAAUGUACAACUAUGAUAGCUCUAAUAUAUCACUUUCCUAUAUCCAUAAAGAUACAUAAAUAUAUUAAGUAAAAAAAUAAACUUCCAACUUUUCCCUAAACAUUCAAGAUGGUGUCAAACUAAAAGAAAAAAAAAAACGAAACAUAACUAUAAAGAGUGGAAUGGAUUGAUCAAUUGCUAUUAUUAUUAACAAAAUUGUGAUAAGAUAUUAAGUAUACAUGGAUAUUACUUAACUAUUGCGCUUUGAAUUGAACAAUCCUAUGUAGUUAUUAAAUAACAAAGAGAACAUUUAAUUCGAAUAUUAGAAUUGAGUUCAAAGUCAUGAAUGUAAAUUCAGAUUUAGUAGAUUCUUAUGUCAAAAAAAGAGUAUCUAGAAGCUAUGGUCACAAAACAAACUUAUAAAUCUUAAUUAAAACACUUAGAAAUCAAUCUACAACUAUAAAUAGAAAGUUUCCAACAUUUUUAAAGUUCUUCAUAGUAGAAUUUUACCAACUGAAUAUCCCCAAACAACUCUAACACCCUGUUGGCUUGUGUUUAAUAAGCUUAACCCCACUUAAUGAAAGUGGAAAGUUAUUAGGGUCCCAAAAGUGAUACCAAGUAAGAGCAUGGUUGUGGUGAAGCAAAUCCCAAAAUUGUUCUGUGAAUGAAACUUUUGUCGCCCUAAAAGCCAACUUAAAAUUAAACAACACACCAUCGUUAAUCCUCAACCUUGUUGAUAUAAAAAUAAGAACAAGUGUGGAAUUGUCUUUCACAUACCAAGAGCAACAAACAAAAGGUAAAAUUUAAUUGAUAAAAAUAGAUACACACCUUUAAUUCAAAUAACACUAUAAAACCGUGUGUUCUCCCCCAAAUCGUGGAACCUACAACUUCUAUGGUUUUUGUUUUUCCAUACAACAUAACCAUAUUUGAGUAAAUUAUCGGGAGGUAAAUUAAGGCAAAAUUAAACUUGUACCUCAACAAAAAUUGCAAUAUAGAGUUGGACUACGAAUUAUAGGAGAAAGAAAACAAGUGAAAUGGAAAUAGUGAAUAAAAUAAAAUCCAACAAUGUAAGGCCCUAAACGCAUACAACCAACGUGAUGAAGGUCUUGUGAUAAAAACAAUGCUCGAAGAGACUCCUGUUAGUAUAAAUGCAAGUUUACGACUGAGUUACGCGAUAAGGAUCCUUACAUGGACAGGGUGCACAACGGUCAAAUGGAGAAGUUAACAUAUUUUACCCAAAUACAGGAUUACUUUAUUACGUACAUCCCAUAGAGACUGGAGUUUUAGUUCAAGUGGGAGUUUGUUGAGAUGUAUGUUCUAAAACUCGUCGAUUGUAAAUAUAAUCCAUUGGUUAUUAAUAAAGUGUUAUUAUUAUAAUUUCAAUAAACAUUAUUGAUUAUAUUAAUAGUUUUGUCUUAAUAACCCAAAUUCAAUAAACUAACAUCCUAAGUUGUUUGAUGAGUUUUGAACAGUAUGUACAGACACAUAGGGAUCAAUAUUUGAGAUCGGUUUCAAGGGUCUAUAGUAUAGGGAUAAGGUUGAGUACUUUAUAUCCUGGUAACUCUAUGAAUAUGACUCACUUUGUAUUUGAUAUAAACACAAUGAUCCAACGCAUUCAUGCAUGUGGCAUACAAGUGAGAGUAUCCUAUGUAAUGAGUUUGCAUAAGAUCGGACCACGAAAUAAUAACAACUAGAUGUAACUUCAUUAAUUAGUUAGGUUUCUAUUUCACUAGGAUGACCUAGGUAUCUUAGUCUUAAUCCAGACUGUAUUAUGAACUUCUGUUCGCAAGGGAUUAUCCUUUGAUUUGUACGGGUGAGAGUGGCUAGAUCGCAAACUUAAUAUAUACUUAUCAUUUUGAGGACAAGACCGAGUGAGGAGCUGAAAACAUAUAUAAUUACACAAGAUGAAAUUCACUCUCUCUCGACUUUAGGGUAAGUAGAAGAGUGUACUCUUAAAUGGUGUCUCUACGACUUAAACAAAGGGCUCUACCCUCUCUAUGGCAUGAAAGAGGUUUCUGUUUAUUGGUUAGACUAUAAAUAGGUUGUUCAUUAGAGGAGCAUUGGUAUUAAAGGGCUAGAAGUAACUUAGGGGUAAAAUGAUAAUUUGAUCCAACUAAUAUUACGAACCCUAGUGAAAGACUAACUUACUGUUAUUGGUCUAUAUACGUGGACAUAAAAAUAUAUCUCUAGUGAGAAGAGUUCAAUUGUGAGUUUUUAGUGGAGUGUACACAUAGUUAAUGAAUAUUAAUUAAUUUGGUUAAUGAGUUUAGUCAAUUAAUCUCAUAUCGUUGUAUCUUCUGAUCUAUAGGUCCAUUAUGUCUCCUUCCCAGCUUGUAAAGGGUAAUGAAAUUUAUUUAUAUUGGUUGUAAUUUGAAAUGUUCAAAUUUACUUUGGGAAUUAGUAUAAUGUAUGGUGAUACAUUAUAAUAUAAAGUUUAUAUGUUAAUCAAAUUUUAUUGUACAAAUUUAAUUUUAGAUAUAAUUCAAAAUUAAUUUAAUGUGAACUUGAUUCAUAUUAAAGUUAUUGGAUACGAGAGAAAUUUAUAUUUGAAGAUAUUUAAUUUAGUUAUUAAUUGAUUGGAGAAUUAAUUAAUAGUUUAGUUAAUAUUAUUUAAUUUAAUUUAAUUAAUAUAUAUUAGAGAAAUAUUCAUUGAAUAAGAUUUUAAUAAAAUAUUCAUUACAUAUAAUUUAAUUAAUUAUUAACUAAUUGAUUAAUGAUUACUUGAUUAGUUGGUUUGAAAUUGUUAUUAAUUUAAUAUUUUUAAAGUUAAUAGAAUCCUAUGAUUUUCUCUUACUCGAGAAAGGAAAGAGGCCUAUAAAUUCCUGAAAAGAGGGUUAUAAAUAUGUCGAAGAAAAACAUGUUUUUUUAACCAAAAUUAAAACAACUGAUUUUGCUUGUAUGUAAAAUAGUUUCUCUCUAGACUUUUUCUCAUCCCAAUUGGUUUCCACAAACCAAUCUAAUCCAGGAGGGUAGGAAGACCUUGGCAAUGUUCCAAUUUGGAGCUUUAGUAGAUUCAGAGACAUUAAAGUAAGUAAGUUUUUCAUUCUCCAAUCUAUAAUUAGUAAGCAUGUUUAGCCUUUAAGUUAUAAUAAGAAAAAUAGUUUAUGUAUUAUUUUGUCAAUGUAUUGGUAUUUUGGGAUUUCCAAAUUAAUUUGAGAAAUGGUACUGUAAAAUCUUUUGCUGUUAUAGGUUUUUAUCCCUUCAUUUGGUUGUUCUUCAAUUAAUUGUUAAGCGCUGUCAAUGUGAGCUUUUAGUUUAGUAAACUCCCUGACAUGCAUCUCUUGAUCAUAUAAUGAAGAUGAGGAACUGCCAACAACCUUUUGAGACUUUGGCCUAGAGCCCCAACCAAGACCUUUUAAGUAGUCCGAUCAUUUACCCAAAACAUCCUCGUAUAUUUUGUCUCCAAAGAGUGGUUGGAAACCCUCUAGGGUGUGCUGUUAGUGGAGUUCUAGCAUUUGAUUUUGCAAGAAAAUGUUUAAUUAAAUCAAACUCGUACAUUAAAUGUACAUAAAAGGACAAAAGUUUUCAUAAACUAACAUGGACAUUCGUGACCGCCUGCAAAACGAACUGGCCACUUCGAGUGUGUGUUUCUCUAAACAAUUUCACUCGGCCAACUGGUUGACCAUGUUGUUUAGUGAGCUCAUGUUGUCGUUGUAGAAAUGACUUGGAUCCCCUGUUAUGGUUGUAGUGUUGCUUCACUCUAGCAACCCUGCUCAUUCUUGAUUGUUUUUACAUGCAAACAAUCAAAAUUUUACAUACAAACAACAAAAAUGAACUAACGUUGAGGAACAUUAAUUUUCAAGACCAUUCAAAGGUAAAAAAAAAUCUUAAAACAAAUGGUUAUUAAAGAUUUUAUUUUUCAAACUUUUCUUUUAGUUAUGAAAUGAGACAUUUUUAAAUAUUUACGAUGUAUAACCAAAUUCUGAAUUCUAUCGCUAAUAGACACGGAUAGACUUCUAUCACUCAUGACUAUUAAUGUCUAUUACUGAUAGCAAUAUUUUGUAAAUUUUGUUAAAAUUAUGAAAAUGUAUUUUUUGAAACAUUUGAAAGCUUAAAAUAUAUUUUUUUUUAAAAAAAAAAAAGAAAAAUGAGUAUAUGAGUUUUGUUUUUCAAAACUUUGGUUAUUUUUUAGGGUAUAAUGAUAAAUUAUUUUAUAAUUUAGCCCUAUUUGUAUUUCUAAAAGUAAAGCUUUCCAAGGAAUAUGAAGGUAAAUACAGAGUGUCAUGCGCCAAGUAAUCAAUAAAAAGGGAAUAAAUGAAUCCAGCAUUAAAAGCUCUCCGGGUGAGUGAUCGUCUAAGAUACACACUACCGUGUCGCUCAUGUCAAAUAAUUAAUAAAGGAACCACAGUCACAAAUAUAUAUGAUUUCCCAAUUAAUGUUGAACAUUGAAAAAUAUUUCACGAUCAAGUCAAUUAUAAUAUAGCCCAUGAAAUUAAAAUUGAUAAAUGAUCCCACUAAAUAAUAUAUCUAAAUCAGAUUCUUCUGGGUAUUCUUUUCCUUCAUCCUUUCUUUGAAGCAGAUAAAAAAAAAAAAAAAGAACAGGCCACUGAGCUAUAAAAUGAACAAAUUCCGACUACAAAUAAGGCAUGUUAAAUUACAAUUAGUGUCUUAGAUGAAAAAAAAAAACGUUGAAAAAAUGGAAGGAAAUAAAUAAAUUAGCGAUAAGAUCGAAGAACAGAUCCACAAAAGGUACAGAUGAGGGCUCUCCAAGAUUUCCAAUAAAAUGGAACAUGACAGAAUCUAACAGCGGUUUUCAUAUCGGCAACGCUGGCUCCUCCACCGCAUCUGGCGCAAAUUCCAGGGGCCGGCCUACUUCGGCGCACCUUCCGCUUCUGAUCCACCAUAAAGCAAAAGAAAACCAUGGUGUGGUGGUCGGAGCUUCGUUGGUUGGGAAUGAAAAGCUUGAGGUCAGUGAACAUAUUUAUAGGGACGUAGAACGCGGGCAGUGUGUAGGUUAAAAUUUUUAAAGCUCCACCGUCCGAUUUAAAUAGGUGAUGGUCCUCGUUAUUAAUAUUGAAUGAAAAUCUGAAAGAAGCUAGGUUGAAGAAUUAAGAGGUCAAUGUUGAUUUACAGCUGGAGUCUUUCAACUAUUGUUGGACGGGGAAAAAUAAAUGUUUGAAAUCUUGACUGUACACGUGGCCAUCCUAAAUAUUCAACUGACAAAUUUUGAUUCUUGGCAGUUGAUUUAUUUUAAUGCUGAUGCCACUUGCCUUGGGUGGCCCUCUUUACUAUCUCUCUUUUCAUUCUUUUUUUCUUAUUAUUAUUAUUUAGUGACUAAUUUUGUAUAAGAAAGAUUUAGAUGAAAGACUUAAAUUUACUAUCAUUUUUCUAGUUUAUUUUCUUAAUUAGGAAUUUAUAAUUAUUAUUAAUAAUUUUCGUAACUUCUUUUGUAUCUUUAUUAUGGUAAUAAAUUGAAAAUAUUGUUUUAACUUCCUUAUCUUUUGAGAAAUGGGCUUGAAGCCCAAAUCGAGUUAAAUCCAAGUCCAGAAAAUACAAGAUGUGGGAAAUGGGAUCCAUUUGGAAAGUGUUCGUAAAGCUGGAUGAUACGAUGACAAGAGAUCCUUCUUCUCUAAAGACGAAUUUUCCAACAUCCCACACCGUCCUCAGCUUCAGAUCUACUUCAUUCUAUUCUACUUCCUCUUCCUGCAUCUCUAAGCUUUGUUAAUGGCGAAACUGGAGCCGCUUGACGGGGUAGCCAAAGAUAACAAUGUGUCUAUAAAGAAGCAGAAGAGAAAUAAUCAUGGGUCUACUUCAUUUUUCGUCUUCGUGGAUUACCUUUUCCUAUCCAUCUUUUUUGGGUUCCUCUGCUUCAUCCUCUUCAAGAUGUUCGGUGUCUGAGAUUCCCCAAAUACAGAGUUUCACAUUCCGUUUUGAAAAUUAGGUUUUCAUUUUCUCUAUUUCGAUUCUACUUUAUCAUGCCCAUUUGAUUCUUGAUACACGUAGGGUAUUGUUUGUGGCCUACUGAUGUUUAUGAUAUUUGGGAGCUGAACAUUGCUUUUUGAUUGAAAACCAAACCCCAAUAUCCAUCAUUGUAGUGUUAAUUUUCCAACCCUUCAAAACUUUGGGAGGACGAAGUUGUUUCUUUGACCUGUCUCAUUUCCAAUUCUGUCAACGUUUUUUCCGAAUGUUAUCUUUUUGGGGUUCCCCAAAUGUUGACCUCAAGUGUCUUACCCUGCUGUUCGUUCCCAUCAAAGUAGCUGUAAAUUUAUUGCUGCAAUCUUAAUUCAGUUCUUUAUGAUUCUUAAUUUCAACAUGAUAGCCAAAUGAAGGAAAUUCAGGUCCGUUAAAAGUACAGAUUUGAUUCUUACACUUACAAGGAGGAAUGAUCUAGAUUAGGCUGUAUCGUUCUGUUUCCUAACUGCUUGAUUUUUUUUUCUUUCUCGAUCUAGUUUGGUUCUCUGAAUUCCCUUGUUUCAAUUGUACCUGCUUUUUUACUCGAUUAAUCAAUAUCAUCAUAAAGAUUCACGUUUGGUGAAUAAUUGCAUUAAAGUAAUGAGCUAGUCUUUGUCCCCCUAGUGGUCCGAAAGACAGUAUCAAUUUUUAUUAGGAUAUCAAUGUUCAACUGUGUUUCUUAAUCCUGAUUGUUCUAGAUGCACCCGAGGGGAUAAUCAUUAAACAAAUACCUUGAUCUAGUCCAUGUUUCAUAAAUAUAAUGCCAUACAUUCGUUGAGAAACUGGCAUCAACAUUGUUUUCUUAACUAGAUUGAUUCUACUUUUAACGAAAAUGAACAUUUUAAAUUUGGAUUAAGCUCUUUUUAUUGAGUGAAGCAUUAAUUAUCAUACAACUGCAAAUUCAUUACUAGACCUCUGCUCCAUUAGGACACUAACUCAUCAAAGCCAGCUACUUAUUUCUCCCUAGAAUCUUAUAUAUUGAUAAAAGAACAUUCAAGUGGCUGAUGAACACUGAAGACUUAUUCUGAUGAUUACUGUUAGAUGAACUCAAGGAUAGGAUGUUUCUUUAACACCACCGAUAUCGGCAGUGAUUCGCACCUCAUAUCCAGGAUUUGGAAUGAAAUUGCCAUCCCCACCUGGAAUAUAUUGACGUCUUGGAGCUGGGUUACUGCCAUAUGAACUCGAAUGCCCUCCUCGUGACAAUGUGAGGCGUCCAAUGCCAGGAAUGAGCACACUGACCCUAUCAUAUCCAAUCAGCCAUUGAGGCUGUUUCUUAUCAUCGUCGCUGCUCAACCUUUCAGGAAAUCACGUGCUGCAGAGCGCAACUGCUUCACCAGUCAUUGCGAGGAUAACAAGGAAGAUAGGGAGCAUAGAAGGUAUGAUUCUGUGAGCCAUUUAUCUGAUAUUGUGAGUAAUGCAAGAGGAGGUUUGUUUUGUGAUGAAGAAACAAGGAGAAGAGAGGUGUUCUUAUAGAUGUAAGGAAGAUGAACUGAGAAGGAGAGCGGUAGAUGAAGUUUUGGCGGUGAAUUAAAACGAGAUAAUUGCUCCAUUUAUUGGAUUUUGGAAUGGUAGGUUGAAAAAUAUAAGUGGUAAAGUAUGAACGGAUGGAGAGAACAAAUGGAAGAAAGGGUUGGAAUCUCUUCAUAUGAACAUUAACUUGAAGUGAUGGAACAAGGUAUCUGGCAUUCCUUGUAAACACUUAAAACCAGGCUACAAAGAGUUUGGUAACGCCUCAACAGCUAUUACGGCUUAUAAAUGUAAUGGGACGUUUCGUCAGAAUGUUAAAAACAUGAAGUAACUUUCUGUUAAUGGAUAAAGGAUAAGCCUCUGUAAAACAGACAGCUGACUAUACCGAAGUGCAAUUCAAACAGUAAUUUUGAGGUUAAACGAAAUUGUUCAAAAUAUAGGAAGCUAUGCAACAAAAAUGAGUUUUAUUUUGAACAUUUUAAUCUUGAAAUUUAAAUCUACUUCAAUAUAAUCAUUUCAUCAAUGGAAAAUGACUCAUUUUAACCACUAUUCCUUAUUCUUAAGCAAUCGAAUGGUAAUACUCUUCUUGGUCGGCCAAACAAAGUCGAGCAUAAUGUUCAUCAGAUUAGUGGUAAUUUCACCUCAAACCCACCUUUGAUUUAGCUACUCAUAAUGGAAAAUAAAAAAAAAAUGGAAGAUGAGAGAAAUAGAUGAAGUGAUUGUCAUUGUUCGUGUGCUCAAUUGCAAUGUAAUUAUUAUUAGACAAGCAGAAAGUUUCUCCUGAUUAUCCCAAGUACAAGUCAAGUAAGAGGUAGUCUCAGUAGCGACCGAUAUCGAACACGAGUUCAAUAAGUAGCAGAUUGUCCCUAAUGAUUGUUCUUUACACAGAAUCCCAGGGUUUAGUUAAGCACAUAUGAUGAGAUGAUGAGAUAAAAUUGAAUGUUUAAAAUUGUAAACCAUAAACUAAACAAGAUCGACAAGAGAUCCGGUGAUGAGAAAUAUAGGGUAUAAUGCAAAGCACGAAAAUGAUGGGUAAUCAAAUAAAUAAGAGGGAGUUGAGAUGAGUAAUCAUUGUUCCUUUGAACUUAAAAAGAAGUACAUAUUCAUGCAUAUAACCUUCAGGACUCCACUUUUUGGUGAGUUAGUCACACAUCCAUGGUGCAAGCUUAGGUUAUUUUGAUUAUAAGCAAAACAUUUAUCUCCAAACACUUUGCUUAUUUAGGGUAACAGACUCCACAAACACUUGACCUCUCAAGAAGUUGUCAAAUUUCUCUUUAUACAAGUUUUCAAAAUGUAUCAAGAGUUGUGGAUUAAUGCCUAAACCAUUCAUAGACACUUGUUUCUCCUUAAGCUCACUGGAAUGAGGGUCAACUCAUCCUAACUUGUUAGAAGAUUAACAACUUAUGGCCAUAAAUUUAAAAGUGAAGGAGAUAGUAGAUAAAGAAGCAUCCACGAUAUGUAUUAACAUGAAAAGAUGAAUUUGUUAAAAGAAAACAGGAAAAACAAAACUACAAGAAAUAGUGAAGAUAGAAGAUGAAUGGAAAGGUUGAAGUUGAUUGUUGUGCUUUGCGCGUUAGCGGUAGUAGUAGCGAACCUCCUCUCUCGAGUCUUCUUCUUCGACGGAUGGUGGUUCUCAAAGAUGACUGUCUCGGAAAGGGGAAAGACUGUUUAUUUAAAAUUCUCUCAAAUUCAGAGAAGGGAUAGUGGAAUCUUUCGUCUUUAUUGGUUAGUGAUGUAAAAUGUUUCUCUCUAAAAUCUCUAUUUCUUCUUUCAAAUGGUGGAUAUAUAUUAGUAGUUUGGAGAAAUAACACAUCUUUUGUCUUGUAUUUGAAAAGUAGAACAAUUUUAGAAAAUUCGUAAUUUUGUUUUUUCUGUCAAUUCGGUCGAGAUCGACCUCAAGAUUCUUAUCGAAUUUUAAAUAACUUUUUAAAGAAAAUAUAUCUCCAUCUGUGUGUCAUCGAGAUAGUGCGUUUGUUAUUAAAAAUUUAAAAAUAAAAUGAUAUAUCAAAUUACCAAAAUACCCUUGUUACAUAGAACGUUACAUAUUCUCCAAAAACACCAACUUUCCCAAACAUUUUGCUAAUUUUGUCCUAGAAGUGAACGAUUUGGCUCCUACAAUUUGAACAACUUUAAGUGAUUUUUCCUGUGCGAAACUUUGUGAACUCAUCUGUCCUCUUAAAUCUUUCAAAGCAAAGCACUUUAACAACUUCAUAGUUUACUAUUUAGUUUUUAGUUUAUGUUUUUAAUUUUUAGUUUUUAGUUUGAAAUAUAAGGCAGAUGGGAUACUUUGUAGUUGGUGGUCUGAUGUAGUUUCUUAAAUGUACAACAUUACUUUCAGUCAAUGCAUGUGGUUUCCUUCAAAGAAUCUUGACCAUUUCUUCAAUCUGAGGCGGUACAAAUGAAGAAUCUUGGCGGAGAUUAAUGAAUUUUUCUUGAGAUUCGUUGAAGGAGUAUGAGAUCUAAUGCAUUUUAAAAAUAAUUUGUAGGGAAAUCUCGAGGACGAUUUCACUCGAGAUGGGACCGAGAUUACCUUACAUAACGCAUGUGAAACCCCUAUCUCGUGGCAUGCCAGACAAUGUUGCUCAAGUUCAAUUGGCGUUUCAUGUGAUUCUCAUAUGAGAUUACCUCAUGAUUAUCCCGAUUUUUAACACAAAAUACUUAUUUUGUUCAAAUUUUUGUGUUUUUUCAUAGAUACCUUUUGUGAUCAAAUUAAAUUCAAAGAAAUUCUUCCUUGCACACAGUUAACGAAUAUUGAUUAAUAUAGUUAAUGAGUUUAGCCAAUUAAUCUCAUAUCAUUGUAGCUUCUGAUUUGUAGGUCCAUUAGGUCCCCUUCCUAGCUCGUAAAGGGUGGUGAGAUUUAUUUAUAUUCGUUGUAAUUUGAAAGGUUCAAAUUUACUUGGAGAAUUAAUAUAAUGUAUGGUGAUACAUUAUAAUAUAAAGUUUAUAUAAGUUUAUAUUUUAAUUAAACUUUAUUAUCUAAAAUUUAUUUUGGAUACGAUUCAAAAUUAAUUUACGAGAGAAUAAAAUAUUUGAAUGAAUUCAAAUAUUCAUUUAAUGUCAAUUAGAUUCAUACUAAAACUAUAUGUUAAAAUUUAAUGUGUAUAUGAUACACAUUAAAACUAUAGGUUAUGAGAGGUAUUUAAUUUAGCAAUUAAUUAAUUAAAUUAGUUAAUAGUUUAGUUUAAUUUGAUUUAAUUAAAUUAAAAUUAUAGGUUAUGUGAGAGAUAAUCAUUUAAAUAUGAUUGAAAUAUUAAUUAAAUAUGAUUUAAUUUAAUUAAUAUUUUUUUAAAAUUAGUUGUGAACGUGGUUUUCCCGUUUCCAUUUAUCUCUCCAACUUCCCUCUUCUUCGGUCUAAAGAAGAGUUUUACACAAAAAAAAAAAAAAAGAUAGAACUGUUAUAGAUUUUUUUUUUUGUUUUUUUGGCUGCAUAUUCUCUCAAAAGAUCUUUUUGAAAAAAAAAUAUUUCCAUUCCAAUUUUAUUUUGGUUCCACCAACUAAAAUCUCACUAAGAGGACAGGAAGGUUUCCAAGUGGUGGUGACUGACAAUGAGGGUAAAGUACGUCUUCUUCUUCCUCUUCUCUAUAAUUUUCUUUUUAAUUAGAAAACAUGUUUAACCUUUAAACAUUAUAGAAAAUUUGUUUCGUUAUUUUCCAAUGUACUUAUAUUUUGGGAUUCCUAAGUUAAUUUGAGAAAUGGUUCCGUAAAACUUUUUGCUGCGAAGGACUCUAAUCCUUUCAGGAACAUCCGUUGCUACUUGUCUGACUUACCUUGGCCUUUCUCGUGGUGCCAUAAUUUUUAUAAUGCACCAAUACAAUAGACUUUCUUACCAACAUGCAACUCUCUGUAUGCAUGACUUUAACUAAGACUCUUUCCAAUAACUUGUGCUUGAUAUCAACUUGUCACGUCCCGCUCCAAAAAACUCUAUGUGAUGCAGUUGAGAUGUUACCGCCUAUACAUUCUACGCGAGAUUCUCCAAGAAGCAAUGCUCAGAACGCCUAGUAAGCGAAAAUAAAGAUAACCAUAAAAAAAAUUUAACGCGAAAUGUGGAUUUGGAUGAAAUGCAUAAAUUUCAUUGAUAUUUCAAGUAAUAAGGUACAUUCAGUACUUUAUACAAACAUCAUUUACAAACCAUUAAACAUAACUUGAAACAACACUUAGACUUUCCUUGCCUAGCUACUACAUGCUAUGCGUGUUGACAGUGACCAUUACCAAAAUGAUGCGUUCUCAAGAGGCACUGUAGGCCGAUCAAGAUUGCAAGUUCAACUCUAGACGUUCUUCGUUACCUGGGGGUGGGGGAGGAUAAAACAAAACAUUAAAAAAGUUAGACGAAAACAUCUGGUGAGUGAGAUCUUUUAUCAACACCUUUAAUAAGCGAAGUUUUCCUUAACGCAAUAUAGACAUUUUGUCAAUCUAAGCGAUAUAAUUAAUAUGUAAGUCAAUCAUUAUAUCUUUGAGUUUAAAACAAUCAUUCAAGGCGUUAGACAUUUUUCAACAUCUCAAUUCAUCAACCAUUCUUAUUCAUCGUAUGAAAAUUUUUCCUUUUAAAUCAUUCAUCAUAAUUUAUAUGGAAAAAAGUUUCUUUUCAAUUCUUUCACUGUAAUGUAUAUAGCAAUGUAUACAUCUCACAUACAACAUAAUCAUCUCUUCGAAUCAUAUCCUGCAUGUUUAAUUACAUCUUUGUAUCAUUUCUCAGCUUGAAGCGUUUACCACACUCUUUUUCUAAGUUGUAGCUAUAUGGAGUCAUCUCGAUGCAUUUAAUAAGUUCCACCAAUUUCUCUACGUAUAAUGCGUCUUCUAGUGUUAGAUCAAACAACAAGCAAAGAACAUACCAUACUAAAUUACAAAGUUGGUAUGAGGCAUCCUACUCAAGAUCACAUAGCAUGAAUAAGACAUGCUAUUCCAUAUCACAAAAAAAGAAUAGAACAUCUUAUCCUAGAUCACAUAACAAUGAUAAGACAUCCCACACCAGAGCACACAAUAAGGGUGAGACCUUACGUCACAUAUGGUACAAAUAUUAUCUUAUUUCAAACUUCAUCAAUUCUCAUGAAUUCUUUAGAAUACAUCAUUUCAUCACAUCAUUCCAGUUCAUAAUAAGUCCAAUUCAUUUAUAAGCUAUAUGCAUUUUACGAAUUGGAAAGCAUAAGAGAAAUCAUAUAGUUCAUGACUUAAUAGAAAUAUAUAUAAAUUCAAACACAUUUUGGAAAUUUUUUUCAUUUUGAAAACAUUUUAUAAGAAGAAUCACUCACAGUCAUAAUAGUGAGUUGCUACACACGAGCUCCUUUGCACUUUUUGAUCGAGUUCAAGCUUGAUUAGAAUCUUCGAGAGACCUUGGAAGUUCUUUCUAAUUUCUCUUAAGUAAGCUCAGGGUAAAAGAAACCUCAUAAGGAUUAUAAUUCAUCUAUUUAUAGACUUUUCUGGUGAAGUUUUCCAUGCAAGAAUGAUUACUGCUCUUGAUGGUGAGAAUUUGUCUAGUUUUAGAAUGCCACUUGUCUAGUUUUAGAAUGCCACAUGUCUCUGUCAUAUCCUUAUCCUGAAUUCAGAUUGGAUGGUAAGAUCAAAUCAAUUGCCGAAUUCCUUACAUGAGAAUGAUAUCAUCACUUUCUGUGGAAGUAGGCUUAUACCGAAACAAGGAUUCUUGUGUAGUAUUUUCUUGUCGCACAAUAGUUUUUAUCACAUAGGCUAUCUCCAUCGCAUGAGUCUUAUUGUGUAAUGGCAGAUCACGAUCAGAGCCUCACAAGUUAUGUUUUCAACUUUCUACUAGAACAAAUCUCCAAAAUGGUAGGUUUAUUGAGUCAACGAUCAAAUUUGGCCACUUACCCAUACAAAUCAAAGGAUUGCACUUAAGCAAAAAUUCAUAACACACUCAAGAUUAAUGUCAAGUCACCUAUGGUCAUUCUAUAAAAUGUUAAUCUCCACACAAUCAACAAUGUUAUAAAGGAAGAUUAAUCACUCAACAGUUCGAUCUUAUACAAACUCUUUACAUAGGAUACCCCCACUCCGCAUGUUUUCACAGGAAUGAUUAAGAUCAUAUUGCUUGUAACACUUACAACUCUUGUACAAUUUACAAAGUGAGUUGUAUCGGUGUAGUGACACUAGAAUAAAACACCCAACUUUAUCCAUAUACUACAUACCAUAUGAAUAUUUGUUGUAAUGCUAUAAUAAAAUGCAAUUGAAAGGGUUAUUUGUUGUAGUGCAUUUAGGUUAUUACUACAUGAUCGACCUAUAUGUCAACCACAUACAAGUUUUAGUUACAUAAAAUAAUCUUGGAUAUUCUUUUAAUGGAUUAUUGCAGAUAUAUAAUAAAUAAAUAUUAUUUCAAAUACAACAAUUUCAAAGAUUUAGGGCAUACAUCCCAACAGAACUAACGUUUUAUUCUUCUAAUUUCUUGUAAUUUGAAUCCCCAAAAUAAUAUGUGCUUUUUCCAAAUCUUUCAUUUGGAAUUAUGUUGUUAGCUAACUUUUAAUGUCAAUAAGAAAACCUAAAAUUUUCCCAAUGAGUAGAGUAUCAUCCACGUAUAAUACAAGAAAAACUAUUGUACCUUUGAUGAUUUUCUUGUAAACACAAGGAUCAUCAACAUUCUGGUCAAAUCAUACACCCUCCUAUGUUUCAUAAAUGCUGUUGUACGGUGUAUUUGUAAUAUUGACCACAAUUAAGUACAAUUGUUCUAUCGUCUUUGUUCCUUUUGUUCUCACUUUACAACAAAAGAGUAGUUUUUGAUAGGGGUGAGAUUGAAUCUGGUCGAGCUGAAUUUUCUUAACAAUAUGACCCAACCCAACAGGUGUAGGGUUUGUAUGGAUAAAAGCUAACUUGAUUGAAUGAUAGUAAGAGAGAGGGAGGAACUAGAGGGUAAUAAGGAAAUAAGGAGAGAGAGAGGUGGUAAUGCAGACCAACAACUAGGUGGGAUUUGGCGCAAAUGAAUGGAACCGUAGGUUCUUUAUAAAUGGCUUGGUUUAACCGAAGAACGGACCCAUUGGUUAGAUUUGGUUCAUUUAAAUCUUAUAAAAAUCGAUCCAAACUAACCAAACCGGACUAGUCCAAUUCCUUACCCCGUAGGCAGUGCCGCAUUAGCUUUUAAACAUAAGAAAACCAGGUAGAACACUGUCAAGUCUUCAGUUUCCAAUUCCAAACCUAUUCUUUCCCAUGGAGAAGAAGACACAGAGCUGUAGAAGAAGCCAAUCCAAUAGCUCGGCUCGCGCAAAGGUAUUUGGGACCAACUCUCUUCACCUAAGUGAGGACGAUUCCACGCGAUUAGUCGGUGGAAUAGUUGAAAAAGGUAUCUCCGACACCGAGCAAAGCACACCCUUUGUCUCACUUCCCCCUCCCAGACCUUCCGUUUUGCCGUUUCCGGUUGCUCGGCAUCGGUCUCACGGUCCGGUAAGAUUAACUUGAUUUUAAGCUAUCCAGAAGGACAGUCUAUAACAGUACAGGGGUUUUUAUUUAUUUAUUUUAUAAAUAAUGUAACGUUAAUAUUGUGUAAUAUGAUUGGAAGAAAGGAAAUGAUAGUGGCAUAGUAGAAUGAAAAUGAGUAGAAUGUUUAACUUUUAUUUUCUAGCAAAUAAUGUUUCUCCAGGAGUAAAUAGAUUAGUUUGGAGAACAUAAGUCACUGGCGGGAAGUUUGGUUUCCUCAUAAUAAUGGAUUUUGAGUCCUAAUGUUAUUAACAAUACAAUCUGUUUUCUCAGCAUUGGGAAUCGUUAACUAGUAAAAAGGGUGGGGAUAGUAUCAAGGCUGACAGGCAGAAGUAUGGGGAAGAAGAUGAAACAAUGAUGGUGGCUGACUCUAUAGCAAAUUUUGCUAAUCCAAUACAGAGGAAAAAGAAAAGUAGCUUAGACUUUGGCCGGUGGAGAGAGGCUGCCUCAGACCACAAUCAUGGUGCAGCAAAAAGAGAGGAAAAGGAGCUUCAAAGCUUAGCAAAAACUGAAAGCCUAAUGCGUUCUGGGGAAGCAAAUAGCUGUACAGAUGUUAUGUCAUGCAGACCCUUCUCGGCCCAUGUGCUUCCUUCUCUUAUGGAAAGUGAACAUAGUUCAUCUGACUUUGUAAAUGAUUCCACUGGAAACAAGACAAACAGCGCUGGUUUUGAAUUGAAGGGGUUGGAUAAACAACAUCUUCCAGAGAAUCUUCAAGAUGUUCGUGAUCAAUGGGGAGAUAUUUCAGAGAGUGAAGUUAACGAGAGUAUGCAACUGGAUGGUACUUCAUUGCGGGAUAUGGGGACAGGGCAUCAUUUGAAUUCCGAAAUGACUCCCCGCUUUCAGUCCAAUAUUAAGGGAGAUGAUGCAUUCUUGACACUGAAACGCCAGAUUGAUGCAGAGAACCUAGCAAGGAUGCAAAAAAUGUCACCAGAAGAGAUUGCUGAAGCACAGGCUGAGAUUGUGGAGAAGAUGAGCCCAGCACUAGUGAAAGCCCUGAAAAUGAGGGGUGUGGGAAAAUUGAAGCAGGGCUCAUCAAAACCCCAUGUGAGCAGUAAUUAUGAGUUGGGUAAUCUACAAAAAGAGAGUACAAUUGAUAGAAGUGGUUCUCUUAACAAAGAGAAUGGUGUAACGUCUGUACAGACAACCUUAAAGGAUACAAAGAGUGGUCUUCAGGAUGUUUCAGUGCAGAAAUUUGAUUCACGUAGCAGUAUAUGGAAUGCAUGGAAUGAAAGGGUUGAAGCUGUAAGGUCGUUAAGGUUUUCCCUGGAAGGCAAUCUAGUUGAAAGCUAUUCUUUCCAACAGUCAGAGAAUGGUGAGACUUAUAGUAUUUUAUGGUCACUUUUUUAGGGGAAGGGUGAUGGGGCCUCUGAUUAUCAGAAUUCCUUGCUACUUUUGUUUAUAUUGUCUAUCUCGUCUUUCAUCUCAAAUUAUGAAGAGCUUCUUUUGGAUGAGUAAGACUUCGGCAUUUACAUUUUUCACUAGUUCCAUAGAAGACUUGAUAGUUACGUCAUGACCAGUUGACAACAACUCCAAUAGUUUAACUAACUCAAGUUAAUUAACACUCCAAGAAAAAAACUAAUGGGUUUUUUGAUAUGAGGCUUUUGAUAGUGGGCAGGGGUACUAAAUCUCUCAGAAUGAAAUGUUUAUGUUUCUUUGUUAGUAGUUGUUCAUUUGAUUCUGUCGAAUAAGUGAGUUAGUGUCGUGAUGUUGAGGGGAUUUGAAUAACCAUGAUGGUAUGUUUCCAAUUUCCUAUCUUCAAAUUUGCAUGAGAAUAAAAGAAGCAGAAGCAUGUAAAAACUCAUACUCAUACCUUCAGAAUGACAGCUUAGUACUAAAUUUUUAAUAGAAAUUAAAACAUUCUUACAAUUGAUUAAUUUGUAAUGCUAGAGAUCCUGCAAGGAUGUAGCAGAUGCUAGGAGUUGAGCUGGGAAAUGCUGCAGAUGAGUUUUUGAAUAGAAAACGAAUUGAUAUUAAUACAGAUUUUUUGGUUGACAAGACAACAAACUUUUCAUUAAAAAUGUGAGAGGUUGGUAUAGAACUCCCUUUAGGAGUAUACUAGGAUUCCUGGCAUGAAAACCAGAAAACUUGUAGACAAAACACAUUCUUGGGGAAUGAAUAGAACACAACCCAUCUAAAGAGAGCUUGCUAAAGAAUAAUGUGAACCUUUUUGUCAAUUGUCACGUGUUUUGAAUAUUUUCGUUUAUUCAUGAAGAGCCAGAAAUUAUUACAUCAUUUUCUUUUUAAUUAGGUUGCUGGGGAUUCUUAUUUUUUUUCUUUUUCGUUUCCAAAGCUUUCAAUCAUCGUUUGAACUUAUAAAAAUGUACUAUGUUUACUAGAUAUGUAUUUUUCUAUGAUGUUGAUUAACUCUAUAUUUUUCCUUUUGCGGGUGAUUAUGCAGUUCAUGGGUACAGCACUGAGAAUGUUGCUUCACGAGAUUUUCUUCGAACUGAGGGGGAUCCAAGUGCUGCAGGUUACACAAUUAAAGAAGCUGUGGCACUGACAAGGAGUGUGGUCAGUUUAGUUGCUUCAUUGUAGUGACAAUUUUUUUCAACCAUAAAAUACUGUUAGUUUUUUUCCACUUUUGGCCUCUUAUUUUUCUUAUUCCUUAUGAAAUAGCUCUUUUUUUUCAUUUAAUUCAAAUCUUCUAGAAGUUUGUUGUUUUGAACUCUUUAAUCCUUCUGUCAUUUUUGUUAGAAUUUAUGGGCUUGUUGUAUGUUGAAAGCCCAAGGGUAUUUAUGUAAAUUAUUUUACCUAGUGUUUUUUUCCUUUUUUAUUAAGGCUUUUGUUGCCUAUUAAUUCUCUGCCUUUGUAUUUUUUGUGUUUCAUAAGAAAAUAAUAAGAAAAGUCUCCAUCGUGGUUUUUCUUCCUAUACAGGUUUCCACCUAUAUCGAUUUGUUAUACUUUUUUUCUUUUUCAAUAAUUUUCACUCUAGCUUCUCAUUGGUGUCAGAUACCAGGUCAACGUGUCCUUGGGUUGCAUCUCAUUUCAAAUGUGCUUGACAAAGCAUUGCUUAAUACACACCUAACACAAGUUGGGUCCACAAUGAUUAAAAAUAGGCGCUCUGUUGAUUACAAUGCAAUUUGGGCUUAUAUUCUUGGCCCUGAACCAGAGCUUGCUUUAUCCCUGAGGUCAGACUCUGAACACUUUUAAUUGACAUUCAUUUAUUGUGCUGUUAGGAACCAAGGUAGUUAUGAGAAUAGGAUAACCAAUGUGGUACUUAAGUGACCUCUCUCCUACCCCAAUAGCUGGCUUUUGCGGUGUGGUUCUUCAAGGUGUUUAAGUACCUAAUGCAUGCUUUAACCUCAUUGGUUGAUCCAUGCUACGCCUGACUGUUGCUGCUAUUCCUUUCAAAUUUGUAUAAUUGAUCCAUGGUUUGUCAUUUAAAUAUUAUGUUACCCUAAGAUUUGGUUACUUCACCUUAACCUCAAUGCUUUACGUUUUUUCCCUUACCUACCUCUAGGAAGUGUUAUGAUUUUCAGUAUCCCAAGUUGCUUGAUUAUUUUUUAUUUUUAUCAACGUAUAGGAUGUGCCUGGACGAUAAUCACAACUCUGUCGUUCUAGCUUGUGCUGAAGUUAUUCAGAGUGUAUUGAGCUGUAAUUUGAACGAGUCCUUCUUUGAUAGCCUAGAGGUACGAUCAUUAUAACAUAGGGCUUUUCCUUUUUAUGUUCUCUCUACUUUUAAUUCUUAGUCUGAGUCUAUUUUCUUCAGAAAACAUCAACUUAUGAAAAAGAUCUCUACACUGCUGCUGUAUUUCGAAGUAAACCAGAGAUCAAUGUUGGUUUCCUCCAAGGUGGAUUUUGGAAGUAUAGUGCUAAACCUUCUAAUAUUCUUCCUAUUACCGAAGGUUUUGGAAAUGUUGAAGAUGGGGAGAAACAUACAAUCCAGGAUGAUAUUGUGGUUGCACAACAAGAUAUUGCAGCAGGUCUGGUUCGAAUGGGAAUUCUUCCUAGGCUCCUCUAUAUUCUAGAGGUAUGCAUUUUCAUUGUCUGGACUUUGUACUCUUUAAUUUGAUUAUUGAGGGCGACUAUGCUGUUUUUUUCCUAGGUUAUGUGAAAAUACUAAUGGAUCAACAGUAUUAAAUUUGCAUGUCUGUUUGAUGAAGAAAGUAAUGACAACCUCAAUGAAUAAUGAACUAUUAUUAGAUUUCCGACUGAAGUCUGUAUAUUGUGUAAACGGUAAAGCAUAGUUAUCUAUGCCAACGCUACAUAUGUGAGAUGGAUAAUAGCUAUUGCAAUUAAUGAAAGGAUCUACCUCAGGGGUUCCAAGCAAACAAACUACUGAUUUUUUAACUCUUAAAUACAUGUUGUAACAACCUGGCUUUUCCAAAGAUGAGUACAAGUGUUGCUCAUGAAUGCUAAAAUAAAUUUUAUUAAAAGUAAUAGAAUAAAAUAUUUUAGAAGAAAAAGAAAGCAUCAAACCAACUUAAAGUAAUAAUUGAAACAAAGUUUUCAUUCUAGGGAUUCCUUAAAAACAUUUAAAAAUUUAUAUAAAAUAUAAAAUAAAUAAGAGUGAAAAUGGUUCUCAAAACAUUCCAAUCGGAAGCUCAACACGACACAGCUCCAUGGCUCAAUAGCAACAACUCAUCUCUUGCCUCACACAUCUUUGCCCUAUGCUGGAAAAAAAUGUGGAUAGGGUGAGUGUUAAAAGUACCCAAUAAGCAACCCUUCGGAUGGGGUCAAACAUGUACAUCUCGCACACAGACAAACAAAGGUGAAAUGUGGGACCUUCUCUUAAGUCUAGCCUUUGUGUGGCAAGUGUGGACAAUUAUCUCAUGUAUCGUGUGACUAACUCUCGGUUGAACGAGUGUGGGUUCGUUGGAGCACUCACUCACGCCAAUAGUAGCCAACACCCAUUGGUGGAGUUUAGGGCUUCCCCAUCAUAAGUCCCCAAAUGGAUAAAUGGGGAAUUUUCAUAAGCACAAUUUAAUGACUUGCUGUCAUGAUGCAAGAGUCAUACAGAAUAUGCAUGAUGUAAGUCUAUUAGAUUUAGUGGACUUGGUCCAAGGAACGAUUUUCCCUAAUAUCCUUUCCUUUUUUAUCAUAUGCUGUAACCUAUUUAUUUUCCCUCAUGUAUCAUUUGUUAACAUGAGAAAUUAAUAAGAAAAGUAAAUCAUGGUUUUUCUCUCGGUACUCGGGUUUCCACGUGACUCGGUGUUGCUUUACUUUAUUGCUUUUAACAAUGGUAUCAAAGAGAGGUAAAGACGAAACCGUAGACACAAGUAUAGGUGAAACCCAAACUGAGUUACGUGGAUUCCACCAUGGAAAAGUUGCUCCACCAGCUUCAGAAGACGCCAACAGUCACAGUGGACCUACCCUCGGAGUCUCUGCGCAGGUCAAUGGCAGAAACCAGUCACAUGCGCUUUAACUUGCCACCCAUGCGCUGCCGAUACCAAGUGCGUACCCUUACACGUCGCUACCCAACACCCCCAUGAACUAAUCGGUCUUCUCCCACCUGUUUUCCCAAGUCCAGUCACAAUACCCUUCUGGUCAGCCAACCUCCAUGUGCAAUCGCUGCCCUUAGUUUGUGGACUGUCAUUGUUUUACGCACCACUGCCCUUUGACUCUUUGUAGAAGCUGAACAUCCAUGGUACCAGAAUCAAUCAAGUUCAUAAUAAAUCAGGGUUUGAAGUUGGUGAAUCCUCGACACAAUCCAAACCAAUUUACUUGCCAAUGUAUUCCAAGAACCCGGUAACUUCGCUCCCUAUCUUGUUGCCAAAUUAUAUAACUAAUUCUCUAGCACCAUCUACAGGGGCUUUUCCAAGAGAGAAGCUGCAUGGUCGAAAUUAUUUUUACUAGUCUCAAUCGAUCAAGAUGUUUCUUGAGAGUCUUCACUAAUUUGGCUUUCUGAUAGGGAAGACUAUCCGUUCCCCUUCCAGUGAUGCCCUGGAACGUUUUUGGAGAGGGGAUAACUCCUUUAUUCGGUUCAUGUUGAUUAGUAGUAUGGAACCUCAAAUAGGCAAGCCUACGCUUUGUGCAACUACUGCAAAGGAUCUAUGGGACACGACUCAAAAACUCUAUUUGCAGCAUCAAAACGCUUCUCGUUUGUAUACACUGAGGAAACAAGUCCAUGAUUGCAAGCAAGGAACUCUGGAUGUAACCUCCUACUUCAAUAAACUCUCUACUUUGGCAAGAGAUGGACUUGUGCAGAGAGACAAAAUGGGAUACUUUGAAUGAUGGAAUACAAUAUGCUAGACUUGAAGAAGAUGAUCAAAUUUAUGACUCCCUUAUAGGUCUCAACUUCAAGUUUGACAUUGUCUGUGGUUGUAUACUUGGACAAAGACCUCUUCCCUGCUUAAUGGAAGUGUGUUAUGAAGUUUGUCUUGAAGAAGACUUUACGAAUGCCAUGAGUGUAUCGACUACUCCUGCAACUGACUCUGCUGCUUUCAGUGCUAGAUCCUCAACCCAUGAUAGUGAGAAGAAUAAUGGGAAACCAAUCCCUAUCCAUGAGCAUUGCAAGAAAUAGUCGUAUACUAAGGAUCAUUGUUGGAAACUCCAUGGUCAUCCCCUCAGGAGGUAAGAAACAUUCCUCCAACGAUAAACAAAAUUCUGGGCGUGCUUAUGUAAGUGAGUUUGUUGGCACUUCUCAACCAUCUAGCCCUACUAUAAACUAGAAUAGUCUACUUCCACUCUAGGAGCCAUUACUUAGUUAGGUAUGCCUCAACCCCUUAGUCUUAUCGGUGUUGAUGGGAAGAAUCCCUGGAUCCUAGACUCGGGGGCUACAAAUCACUUGACCAAUUCCUCUGAGAAUUUGUUUCUUAUAUUUUGUGUGCUGGUAAUGAAAAUUCCGAAUAGCUAAGGAUUCUUUAGGCCCAAUUGUUGGGAAGGGACAAAUCAUCUCUCCAGAACGUUUUGCAUGUGCCUAAGAUUUUCCUAUAAUUUGCUAUCUAUAAGCAAGAUCACUCGUGAGUUGAACUGGAAAGCUACUUUCUUAUCUGAAUCUGUUUCUUUUCAGGACUUGAGCUUGAGGAGAACUAUUGGCACUGUCUGGCGUAGCAUGGGACUGUAAAUGCUUAACAAUGAUACCUUUGGUAGUACUAUUUAUAGGACUAGUUUAUAGUCUUCAUAUUUUACCAUUUUCGAACAAAAUUGUAUGUUGUGGCAUUUUCGGUUGGGUCACCCAAACUUUAAAUAUAUGAAGUAUUUAUUUCUCCAUCUCUUCUCUAAAAUUGAUAUCUUCUCUUUCUCUUGUGAUGUGUGUAUUCGAGCCAAACAUUGGGUCUCUUUCCCUUCACAACCAUAUAAACCAACCCAAGCGUUUACCUUUAUUCAUAGUGAUGUUUGGGGUUCAUCCAAGGUCACCACCUCCUUUGGAAAAUAGUGGUUUUUGACUUUUAUUGAUGAUCAUACCUGUCUUCUUGGGUCUUUCUUAUCACCGAUAAAUUUGAGGUUUCCUCUGUUUUUCAAACUUCUAUCACAUCAUUGAAACGCAGUUCAAUUUAAAAAUUGCGAUUCUUCAGAGUGAUAAUGGUUAGGAGUUCCAAAACCAUACCCUUAGUGAGUAACUAGCCUCCAAGGGAAUUGUUCAACAGAGGUCAUGUGCUUACACUCAACAAAAUGGGGUUGCUGAGCGAAAAAACUAUCACCUUUUGGAAGUGGCUCAUUCCCUUAUGCUAUCUAUUUAUAUCUGUAGGAAGAUGUUCUUAUUGCAGCUUAUCUCAUCAAUAGGAUGCCUACUCUUGUCCUUUACCUUCACUCCCUUAGAUUGUGUCAAGGAGUCAUAUCCCUUUACUCGCCUAACUUCUGAUGUUCCCCUUCGUGUUUUUGGGUGUACAACCUAUGUCCAUAGCUUUGACCCUAAUCAGACCAAAUUUACCCCUCGGGCUCAGACGUGUGUGUUUUGUUGGGUAUCCUUUUCAUCAGCGAGGCUAUAAAUGUUUCCAUCCUUUCCGUAAAUACUUUGCCACUUGAAUGUCACCUUUUGUGAGGAUCGACCUUUCUUUCCCAUUAGCCAUUUUUAGGGGGAGAGUGUGAGUGAAGGUCUAACUGUAACUUUGAGUCUAUUGAACCUACUCCUAGUACCUUACCUGACUCUGAUCUUUAUGCCAUGGUCCUACCCACAGACCAAGUUUCCUGAAAAACUUACUACAGGAGAAAUCUCAGAAAGGAAAUUAAGUCCUCUACUGAUCAACCGGCUCUCGUCCAAAACUCUGAACCUCCUUGAGAUCAAGGUAUGACUAAUCCUAUUGAAUCAUGUGUUGAUAGUAAAAUGAGUGAGAAUGACAGGUCUGGCACUGUUGUUGAUGAGACUAAGGUCAGAGCAAAUACUAAUGGUAAUGAGGCUGAACAGGGUCAUUCAGGUAAUCUUGAUGAGUAUGAUAUUCUUUUGGACAUUCCCAUUGCGCUGAGAAAAGGUACCAAGUUCUGCACGAAAUACCCUAUUUGUAAGUAUGUUUCCUAUGAUAGUCUAUCUACAGUUCAGAGCCUUCACAACCAACCUUUACUCUAAGUGAUAUUGAAAAAUAUUCACAUUGCUUUAGAGUGUUUUUAGUGGAAAAGUGCCCUCAUGGAAGAGAUGAGGGCCUUUGAAAAUAAGACUUGGGAGAUCUGUGCUCUCUUUAAGGGACAUAAAAUUGUGGGAUGUAAAUGAGUGUUCACACUCAAAUACAAGGCAGAUGGAAUCCUUGAUAGACAGGCAAGGUUAGUUACAAAAGGGUUUACUCAAACCUAUGAUGUUGAUUACUUCGAAACUUUUUCCCCAGUUGCUAAACUGAAUACAAUUAGAGUCCCGUUAUUUAUUGCUGUAAACUAAGACGGUCUCUAUAUUAGCUAGAUGUUAAGAAUGCGUUCUUGGAUGGAGACUUGGAGGAGGAAAUCUAUAUGAGCCUCCCUAAGGUUUGACGUCUAGUUUGGUCACCAUGUUUGUAAACUUAAAAAAUCUUUAUAUGGUCCGAAACUGGACGUCAAACCUUGGGGAGGCUCAUAUAGAUUUCCUCAAUGCGAUACAACUCACCUUGCUAUCUUAUGGUUAAAGCGUGCUCCUCUCGGAAAGCGAUAUAACUCACCUUGCUAUCUUAUGGUUAAAGUUAUAUAACUCACCUUCUCUUUUGGUCUCCUGAAUCAAUACUCUAUCUGGAUUAGCUUUCUUCAAAAGAUUUUUAAUAGCCAAUUGUUUCAAAUGGCCCAUGAAUCCUUGGCUCAAUGCGAUAUAACUCACCUUGCUAUCUUAUGGUUAAAGCAUGCUCCUCUUGGAAUCAUUAAACGCCACACUUGGUCUCCUUUCAGGAUCCAAAUGACUAAACAAGCUAAGGUGUUUAUAUCUAGUAAUACUUAUUUAUUCUACUUAGAGUGCUUCACGUUUAAGGACAGCAACCUCUCGGUGUCUAUAGUCCACACUUGUUCGCCUUUCGAGAUACAAAUGAAGGAAGUCCUCUCACAAGGUUGAGAAAACUCUACCUUACGUGUGUAAGCCACGUUCUUACUACUCACCCUUUCGGGUAGUUGGUGACAUACACUAGCCAAAUGUAGAAUGUAGCUCAAGUAACACACUAAGCAGUAUAAAUAUAAAUUACUUAUUGAGAACACAUCAUAAACCUAAACUACAAAUAACACAAAGACAGAUGAAUAGUAGAGGCAUGGAUGGAUUGAAAAGUGUAUAAAGAUACAUUGUAUUAAAGAAUGAAGGCCUUUGGCUAAUGUACAAUAUAACUGAAUACAAUGUAAAAAAUAGUAAAAUGGGGAGAAAGUGAAAUACAAGUUAGGGGGAACAAGGGAAGGACUCUUCUCCUUUCAAACUCUAAGAUUUUGCAUUACAACCUAGUCGGAGAAGAUGAAGAAGUGUUGUACACAUGGUGGUUAGGCUAAUUCUUACCACCAACUCUCUAGGUUUUGGCCCAUGCAAGGUCCCUUGCCCAUACAGGCGUAAUGUCUUGAUGAAGGAGAAGGCUUUAUAUAGGCAACUUUUGGGCAGAAAACUUCAAUUCUUCUGAGCAUGUCAACACUGUCCGUUGAAAGGUGUUUGUUGCGAGUCACAUCAUCUCCAACUCCCACUCUUUGUCCUCUAGUGAACCUUCCUCGCGUGAUGACGUGGUUCCUCACCUGGAGAUGUUAAUAACCGAAUGAGUUCCCAUCGCGUAAUUCUUGUGCGAGAUGUCUCCUUUGCUCACUAGUUUCUUCCUUUCUAUUCAUCCUACUUUUAGACAUGAAAACCAAGUAAAACAGGUGUAAUGCUUGUGUAAAGUAUAUUUCUAAAUACUUAUGUAUUUAUAAUGUAAGUUCCGCAUUCUGAUCAUCUUCUGAUGCGUUUUGACCUCAUUAUUCUAUAUAAGAGGCUAUAAUAACGGGUAUAUCUACAUGUUAUCAACUCUCCAAAAUUUAUAGGUAAAAAGAAAAUUAUGCCAAAACUUCAAUGGGUACAUCCACAAACUCAAAGAAAACCUAUAAAAUAUCAGAAUUACUCACAACCAAAAUUCCAAUAAACCUGAUGGAAACAUUUAGUUUAGUAUCUACAGUGAUUAUGAUAUUACACAUGUUAUUUCACAUUUUUACUUCACAUGUAUAUUGUUGCUGCACAUGCUUUCCAAUACGUGACAAAUUUUAUGGUUUUAGGCAGAUCCUUCAGUAGCUUUAGAAGAAUGCAUCCUUUCGAUACUUGUUGCAAUAGCAAGGCAUUCCCCAAUAUGUGCCCAAGCAAUCAUGAAAUGCGACAGGCUUGUUGAGUUGAUUGUCCAGAGAUUUACAAUGAGCGAGAAAAUAGAUAUUCUCUCCUUAAAGAUUAAAUCGGUUGUUCUUUUGAAGGUACUUUCUAGAGCUUGUUGUGUUCCAAUAUUUUUUUUUAUUUGUAUGUUAAUGAACUGUUUGGCCCUUUUCACUCUCAUCAGCCGUAUGGACUGAGUUUACUUUGCCUCUGUUUUCCACACAACAGGUUUUAGCUCGUUCAGACAGGCAGAACUGUAUUGUAUUUGUGAAAAAUGGUACUUUUCAAACCAUUAUAUGGCAUUUGUAUCACUGUACUUCCUCCAUCGACCAAUGGGUCAAGUCAGGGAAGGAAAAGUGUAAACUUUCAUCAACUUUGAUGGUCGAACAAUUAAGGCUGUGGAAGGUUUGCAUUCAGUAUGGAUAUUGUGUAUCUUACUUCUCUGAUAUUUUCCCUUCCUUGUGCUUAUGGUUGAACCCACCAAAUUUUGAAAAACUUAUAGAGAAUAAUGUCCUGCGUGAAUUUACAACCAUUUCUAUGGAGGCAUACCAUGUUUUAGAGGCUUUGGCAAGAAGACUUCCAAAUUUUUUUUCAGAGAAAUAUUUAGACAGUCGAGAACCAGGACUUGCUGGUAAUGAAUCUGAAGCUUGGUCCUGGAGUUGUGCUGUUCCAAUGGUUGAUUUAGCUAUAAAAUGGUUAGGUUCAAAAAAUGAUCCAUUUAUAUCCAAAUUCUUUUUGUCACGAAAAGGGAUUAAGAAUGACUUUGUGUUUGAAGGAAUAUCACUGGCGCCAUUGUUGUGGGUUUAUUCUGCUAUCUUGAAGAUGCUAUCUCGAGUGGUUGAAAGGAUCAUCCCGCAGGACAUCAUGACCCAGAUUGGAAGUGAUCAGAUUGUGCCUUGGAUACCAGAGUUUAUUCUACAAGUUGGACUUGAGAUAAUUAAGAAUGGCUUUCUAAGCUUUGCAGAUGCAUCGGAUAUGAAUCCCAAAACCAGUCUCUCUGGAGGUAACUCUUUUGUAGAGGAUCUUUGCUUUUGGAGAGAACACGGUGAAUUUGAAAUGUCUCUGGCUUCUGUAUGUUGUCUUCAUGGGUUGAUACUGAGUAUUGUGAAUAUUGACCGUCUGAUUCUGUUAGCUAACACUGAAAGCCAGGCUUAUCCUCCCAAAUAUGUUAAUUCCUCAAGGGAAGGGGAAAUUUUAAGGGUUGGGAUGUUUAAGACGUCCCUCAUGGAACAGAGAAGCAUGCUUGACCUUUUCACUAAGAAAAUUGCUUUGGAGUGUGAUUCUCUGCAGUUAAUAGAGACCUUUGGCAGAGGGGGCCCUGCACCUGGGGUAGGAAUUGGUUGGGGUGUGUCUGGUGGUGGAUAUUGGUCCCUGGCUGUUUUAUUAGCACAAAAUGAUUCAGCAUUUCUCAUGUCCCUCGUUGAAGCAUUUCACACCAUUCCAACUUUAAAUGAACUAACUGCUCAAGAAUCCUUGACUUUCCAAAGCAUAAAUUCUGCCUUGGCUGUAUGCUUGGUUCUUGGGCCAAGAGAUAUAGGAUUGAUUGAGAAAACUAUGGAAUUUUUUAUCCAAGCUCCUAUUUUGUAUAAUUUCAAUCUUUAUAUUCAGAGGUUUAUCCAACUCAAUGGAAAGCUGAAGCAAUUUGGCUGGAAGUACAGUGAAGAUGACUGCUUGAUCUUUUGUAGAACAUUACGUUCUCACUACAAGGAUAGGUGGUUAACGCCAAAGGGAUCCACAUCCGUGAAGAAUAAGAGCAACUUAAGUGACAGAACAUUCAAGAGUGGCAGAGUAUCUUUGGAUACAAUAUACGAAGAGUCAGAUGAGACAAAUAGGAUGGCCCAAGGCUGUAUUUGUUUGACAGUACAGUGGGGUUACCAAAGACUUCCACUUCCUGGGCAUUGGUUUUUCAGUCCAAUUUCAACUAUCUGUGAUAGUAAGCAUGCUGGUCAUCAAAAAUCUGAUGCUCAAAGUAUUAUGCAGGAAUCUAGUGAUUUGCUUGAUGUUGCUAAGAGUGGGCUCUUCUUUAUUUUAGGCAUUGAAGCAUUUUCUGCCUUUCUACCCGAUGAUUUCCCUAAACCUGUCCUGAGUGUGCCACUGAUUUGGAAAUUGCAUUCCUUAUCUGUUGUUUUACUCACUGGUAUUGGAGUCUUGGAUGAUGAGAAGAGUAGAGAUGUUUAUGAGGUUUUGCAAGACCUCUAUGGUCAGCGUAUUAACGAAGCUAUGUCCUGUAGACUUCCUGCAGAUAUCAUGGAGAAUAAUGCAAAACAUUUACUAUCACAACCGGAAAAUAAGAAGAGCAAUAUAGAGUUCCUAAUGUUUCAAUCCGAGAUCCAUGAUAGUUACUCAAUACUUAUUGAAACUCUAGUGGAGCAGUUCUCCUCUGUAUCCUAUGGUGACGUACUAUAUGGUCGGCAAAUUGUACUAUAUCUUCACCAAUGUGUUGAAUCUCAAACACGACUUGCUGCUUGGAAUGCACUAAAUAGUGCUCGCGUUUUUGAACUUCUUCCACCUCUUGAAAAGUGCUUAGCUGACGCCGAAGGGUAUCUACAACCAAUUGAGGUGCAUUCUUUUCACAUGUUUCAAUUUUUGAAUCAAAUUUACUAUCAAACAUUUUUCUGAUACAGAAGUACAUAAAUUACCAUAAUCUUUUUUGGGGGUAUCCCUUUUGUGGGCAGAAUUUGAUGUGCUUUUAUGCUAUCAAAAUGGAUUGUAUGUUCCUGAAAGGUCUCUUAGUUACUGUUACAGUGCUACUGGAACUAGUUUAUGUAUACCCAUAGUAGACAGCAGGAAAAACAAGAACAGAAAAGAAAGGAAAAGAAAGAUAGAAACUCAAUGCUUGCGAUGAACAGCUUAUGAAGUUAGAGAAAUUCUCGUAUGCUUGUUUUUGUUUUCCUUUAUUGGGGAGGGGUUGUAAAGAAGUGUUUGUGAUUCUUUUAUACAUCCUCUUCCGUGAUACUUUUUACGAGUAGUUAAUUAACAAUAAAUGAACUAUCAGAACGUGUAGGGAUUAAUUUUUCGAUAUUUUUCAAAAUUUUCCUCCUUUUUAGUAAGAAUAUUGACAUGCCUUUUGUUGAAUUCAUAAGGGGUGAGCAAGAUAGACCAAAAAACCGAGAGGGGUCGAGAGGGGUUGGUUUCAAAAAGUUUCAAAUCGAGAAUUUCGAAAAUGUAUUUUGAGUGUUAUACCACCGACCAACUGACAAUCACCCCUAAUUCAUAUACUGGUCAAUCUAAUGCAAGAAGUUGGUUCCCUCGCAGGAUAACGAAGCCAUUUUGGAAGCUUAUGUGAAAUCAUGGGUUUCAGGUGCCCUUGACAGAUCUGCAAGUAGAGGUUCAGUAGCCUAUUUACUAUCUCUGCACCACCUCUCAUCCUACAUAUUCCAUUCUUACCCAGUCGACAACUUGUUGCUUCGGAACAAGCUCUCAAGGUCUCUUUUGCGAGACUGCUCCCACAAGCAUCACCACAAGGUACGGAAUUUAGUCUAAAUUUUAAUUGCUUUUAGUUUCAAUUAAUAUCCCUUGCUGUAACACCUACUAUGAUGCCAUUUGAUAACAGUUGUCAGCAUUUCCCAUACCAUUUCACAUAGAUUUAGGAAAUUAACUUAGUAUUGAAUGAUGAGAAUUGAAGGUAUACCAUUGCACAUCGUGAUCUAGUUCUUAAAGAAUUGGCACACUGAUAUCAUUAUUGUGUUAUGUUAGAGUUUCUUAUAGUUUUCCCAUUGAUUCUACAUCAUAUUAGAUGCAUUCUUACUAAAAAAAAAAGCUUAAUCUCAGGAAAUGAUGAUGAAUCUUAUCUUAUAUACCAAACCAUCAACCCAUCUUAUUGCUGGACAAAAGGGUGUUGACACAUCAAUUGGAAGGAGCGAUGUAGAAAAAAGGCUUGAGGUGUUGAAGGAAGCUUGUGAAAAGAAUUCCUCUCUUUUGACAGUAGUUGAAGAGCUCGGUUCUUCUACAAAAGGAAAACUGUCUGCAAUGUGAAGUUUGCAAAUGUGUAAUAUGUAGAGAAGCGAAGAGAUUGUAAUUGAGAAGUGGAGAUUGUGAUGGAAAAUCUAGGUAAUGGAGGAUUGUAGGGGAUGAUAUAUUCCCCAUCUAUCCCUUCUCAAACUUCAAUUAUGGGCAGAAUACAAUUUUGAUCCUUUAAUGGCGAAGUUAUGAGGUUUGUACAUGAAUUUUGUGCAGUUUAAACUGAAAUGGAACCAAAGAAACAUCAUAUCUGUAACCAUGGCCAGCAAGAGCCUUAACUUUUUACCAAAACAGUAGUCAUCACUUCAUUUUGGUAUUGACAUGCAAGUUUAUUUGAUUAAGAAUUUGUAAUACAAUGAAAGGAAUAUAAGUGAUCUGGAUUGAGUUAUAACUUUUAGCAUCGUAGCUUUAGAAAGUUCUUUUAGUUGAACAAAUGCGGGUGAAUUUUCACCACCGAGUUAUUACAAGUGAACUUGAACUAGUUUUAUUAUGAUAUUGAACUUAAAAUGAGAUUUCGUUUAGUUUACAUUGUCAAUACUAUUAAAUGAAUAUUGGUGUGAUAUGUUUAGCGUACUUCGAAUGAUGGAGACAAAUCUAAGAACAAUUUAAUAAGUUUUGUUAUAUAUUAUUGACAAAAAGAUUUAAGGUUUGAAUUUUUAUACACGGAUGUGGUAGAUGAUUGGAAAUAUAAUAUGAUAUAUUAUAUUAAUUUAAGAAAUAAAAUAGGAAAGUGCAAUCUUACUUAAGAGAUAACAAAGGCAUGAUAAGAAAAAUGUACUUUUGUCUCUGAGUAGGAGUAUAGUUUGAUGUUAUUUUUCAAAAUAUUACAUUUUAUCUUGAAUUUAAUUUCUAUUUCAUGGAAGAUUUAAAAUGUUACAAAGUCGAUUCUCAUUUGGUUUGUAGAUUACACAAGUUUUAUUGAUGCUCACCUUAGUUUUAGUUUGAUGUUAGUUUUAUAUUAGUUAAUGAAAAAUUAAAUUAGUUUUCAGUCAUUUUUUUGUCACCCUUAAAAUUAAUAGACAAUCUCUAAGUCAUAUGUAUUUCUAGUUGAUUCAUUAAAAAUUAACCCACAUACCAACAUUGACUAUUAGUUUUGGAAACGAAGUGCCAUUAUCUACAAAUUUAGGGACGAAUGAAAAUUCAACUCGGGUUAACAUUUGAAACCUUAGAAUCAAAUGGAAAAGGUGUUAGAGAUAAAAGGGUAAGAUUUUGAAACAUAUAAAUUAAUAGAAAUUACACAUUCAAACUAUUUGCUUAUAAGCAGCAUAACCUUAGCAUAUGAAGUGAAGAUAAGCAUCAGUAUACGUCCGUCCAGUUACAAAGUGGGAACUAUUAUUGUGAUUAAUAAUGUUAUAAGAAAUUGGAUGAUUAAAGUAAACAACCACAGCAUACGGAAUAGUUAAAAUGAUACAGCCAAAAAGAAGAAAAAAAGAGGGCUCACGAGUUGAGUAAGUUAAUGACCUAUGAAAUAUGGGAAAUUUUCAUUUUUUAUAUCUUUCUUCUGCCAUUUUUCUUUUCAUUUCCAUUGUUUUUUUCUCUUUUUUUUUUUUGCAUUUCUUCUUCUUUUUUCUAAACUGUUAUUUGGUUCGAUCUUGAACAAAAAUUGUUAGAUAAUGGUACACGUUUACAUUUGACUACAACCAAAUCUAACAAAUAUAAACGAUCUUAAAAAAAAUCGUUGGGAUAUUAGUACAUGAUCGUUAGACUUGGUAGCCAAAUCUAAACGAUCGUGUACCAAAUAAUCUUUAAAAAAAUAUCGUUUGGAUUUGGAUAGCCAAAUCUAAACGAUCGUGUAACUAAAUCUCAACGAUCUUUGUACAAUAUCGUAUACCAAAUAUAUUAUGCACGUGAGUAGUCAAUUAAUCGCAUGUUGAUGGGGGCAUUUUUGGUAUUUUUCGUUGUGGAUCUGUGAGCUUUUUUCAUUUUUGAAAUUGUUCUAUACAGUGUAAAUAUUUUGGUACUUUGUUAUAUUUUUAAAAAAAAUCCAUUGGAAGAAUGAGGAAUGGAAGAAAUGCGUUACGAAUAUAAAAAAGAAAAAAAAGCAGUGGUGAUCAAGGGAAAUUCAUUUUUGCACUUGGGCCAAUGAUGCAGUUAGUGAAGUACUAACUAAUGCGUGUCAAUUGCUGGUUGAAAACUAUUUCCAAACCCCCUCUUAGGCAUGUGUUUGACCUAAGUGCAAGCGAAACAGUAAGUUUACUUAGAUGACUAAUGAUCGAACAUAGGAAAUUGAUUCAAGACAUUAGUUCUAGGACUUACUUAUCAUUUAGCGGUAUAAAAGAAUUAAAGAAUAACAAAUGUAAAUAAUGUGAGACUAAACUAAACUAUUAAACUAAGCCUCAAGAGUUUGUAAAGAGGGAAUAAGAUAACAGAAUGGUAAUACAGACAAACUUGUAUCAUAGAAAUGAAGGAAGGAAUGUCUAUGCAUUAUCAUGCAGUUAAGUUGUGCAAUAACCCUAAUUCGAUAUAACUUACUAAACCAUACUUCUGAUUAAAGCUUGUUUCUCUUGAAGUCAUUAUACGCCACACAUGGUCACUUUCUAGGAUCCAUAAGACUAAACAUGAUUAGGUAAGAUAUAUCUAGAAGAGAUCACUAAUAAACCAUAGAGGAUUUCAUGAUUAAGAACAACAACCUCUUGGUGCCCACUAUCCACACUUGUUCUCCUUUCGAGACAAAUGCUGGAAAUGAUCUCGCGAAGGAAGAUGAAACUCUUCCUUGUGCGCUUUAGUUAGGUCCUUGCUACUUUCCUCUUGAGUAGUUGGCAACUUACUCUAGCUAGUCGAUGAGAAUAGCUCGACUAACAUGAUAAGACUUAUAAGAAAAAUUUCUUAUCAAGAACUUGUCACACAUCUAAAUUAUAAAUAACACAUAGAUUGAAGGAGAAUGAAGACAUGAUGGAUUAGAAAGGUAUAAACAUGUAAUAUAUGUAAAGAAUAUAUAGGCCUUCGACCAUUGUACGAUAUGAACAAUAUAAAUAUUACACAAAGAACACAAAAAUGGAAGACAAAAUAAUGGGAAAGAAUACAAGGGUUCGUAGAUAAGUUGUUUCCCUAAGUACUGAAUCCAAAUCUUGAACAAGGGGCUCCACCGUCUCAUUGACCCGACAGGGAUUUGGUUUAUAGGUCGAAUCUUAAAUCAAUUGUUCAAUAGUGGAUUACUGGGACUUGAGGAGCAAGAUGUAAUCUUGAGGUAAAAUGGUACUUUGACCCCAUCUGAGGUUACAAACAACAUGUGAAGGAUCAACUUACUAAUCAUGGUUACAUAAACAAAUAUAUCUACAGUGAUGGGAGUGCAACUACAAGACUUUAGUGGAAUGACCCAUUAAUUAAUAAAUGUUGAUUAGCUUGACCUAAAGGGUUUAACUAGUUAAUCUCGAAUCGUUGGAGCUCAUGGUCUAUAGGUCCAGUUCCAAAUAUUUGAAAUAAGGUUAAUCCUUCACUAGUAGUAGUGGCACGAAAUUCAUAUAUCCUUUCUCAUUGAUCUAAAAGAAUAACUCUCAACGAGAGACAAGAGAGAGAAAAAAAAAAAAGAAAAAACCUUUGUUGUUUCUCUGUCGAUCAAAUUAGGAUGGAAACCAAAGGGAACAAACAUUUGAGUUAAAAAAAUAUAUUUGAGUUGAAAAAACAGCAUCAUCAAUGAACCAAAUGUAAAUCGAAUUAUUUAGAUGGAUCUAAAAAAUAGUUAAAUUUAACUCCAUCCAACCCAAAAAAACGAAAGAUUAUCGAGAUGAGAGAUAUUUUUGUAGUUUAAAAAUGGAACUAUAUAUAAACUUCAUAAUUCCUAGACUAAAAUUGAAAUUUAUAACCAAAUUUAUAAAAGGAUUCUACUUUUUUUAUUUUGCUCUUGAAGAAAGGAAGGCUAUUUGGAGAUUGUGAUUGUGUUAUCAUUGAUGAUAUUCUACGCAUUCCCAAUACAUAAAAAGGUUUAAAAUGUGGACAGCCACAGCCCACAACUCCCCUUUAUAAACUAUCAUUUUCUUCCCUUUUACAUCAUUCUUUUUACCCAACUUAAAGCCUCCUCAUAGCCUAUCAUAAUUUAUUUUAUUGCCCUUUACUUAUUGUAUUUACAAACCCUAGUAUAUAUCGCAUCUAACUCUUUCUUUUGUAUCACUAAAUAUUACUUUACUUUGACAUUACCAUCUCUCUAAUUUCUAUUUUAUGUACUCAUGUUUGAGAUUUUCUUUUUUUCUUUUUGUAUUCCUAAAUAUUAUUAUAGGAUUUGGUAGGCAUCCAAUUUCUAAUUGAUAAAAGUAAUGUUUUAAUUUUUAGAAAAGCAAAAAAUAUCUUCCAUUCUCAAAACAAAUAUACCUUGGUUGACAUCAAAUAUGUUGUUAUUCCUCAAAAAAAUUCAAAAGCCUAUUUGUUGGGUUCUCAAAACCAUUGUCUUACAAGCAAAUUCGAUACAAUUGUGGUGUGAAUCGUUCUUGUUGGUUGUUUACCAAGAUUAACACAACUCCCCCUUCAGACAUACGCUUGUCAGACAAAGGAUUGGAAUUAAAGAAGUUUGACAUUCAAAUUCAUGUUUAGAUACUUGGAAUAAAAUGUUACAAAGAUUAUCAGAUUGUUAGGAAAAUUAUUGUCACAAUAAACAGAAAAACAUACAUAAAUUUUAGAUCUGGGUCCAACGAAUUCACGUUGUUUCCUCUUUAAGACAAGUUUACUCACUCUAGUGCUUGAGUAUUGAGAGUAAUUGACUUCCAGGAUAGAACAUAUGACAUUCUUCUAAGUGUAGCAUCCCGUAUAGAAGAUUAAAGAAUGAAACCUUGUAGAUCAGCUGUCGAAUGUCAAGAUUGUGGAUAUGGAGAGAAAUUAGUUUUUAGAAGACAAAAGAUUAUUGAUAUGAGUUUUCUCUCAACCAAAAUGACUUAUUUAUAAACUUAUUUGUGGUCAUUCGAAAAGUCUUGUCCUUUCUAUAAUUUAGUUAUUAAUACUUUUCAUGAAGAGAUGCAUCCACUCAUAAUGCAUCUAUUCAUGAAGAAUCACAAAUAAUAACCAUUUAUUUCAAAAUAAAAUUCCUUGAAUCAAGAAACUAAACUCAUGGGUUUGGAAUAUGUUUUUUUUUAUUGAAUGUCAUAUGUUUUAGAAAAAAAUUCACUUCAACCUUUUAUCAGUGAUCAUUGAUGACUGUUGAUAACAAAUGUUGGCUGACUUUACAAUCAACCAUUGAUGAUCGAUCGUGAACGAUCGACGGUCAUGACAAUCGAUUGUCUUGACCAUUGGCUCCAGAUCACUUUGAUCUUCGCCUUUAGAUGAUCUUGACCGUUGGUGAUCAAUCAUCAUGAUUGUUGGUGACAUACAACUUUGGACUUCAUUGUCGUCGAAUGAACAUCUUAAUCGUCGGUUAAUAAUAAUUAUUGUUAAUAAUCGACCAUCGUGCCUAUUAACAAACGUUCGUAAUGAUGGUCAAUGACCAAUAGUUGUGACCAAUUGUCAUGAUGGUUGUCUGUCUUCACCAAUGCUUCAUAAACUUUUUCUCUUGAGUUUGAAUAGUAAACACUAUUCAAGCCCAUGAAUUACCUUUUUUUUCUAAUUCAAUAUAUAAAAUUUGCUCGCCAACUUCGAACAUCGCCCCUGGUGAUCAUUGUUGACCAACCAUUUGGUGUCAUUUUUGACAACUUCGCUCUAAACUUCCAAACACCAACUUCGACGACACCACCAAACUUGAAAAAUUAAUAAAAAUGAUUUUUUAAUUUUUUUUUUUCUGAUUCAUUCCAAAUACACCUUUGAUCUAAUCACAACUAUAUGUUUUAAAAUACACAUUUUCUUAUUCUUCUAUUUUAUUUUCUUAAUCAUAAUUAUUAUUAGAUCAACUUUUUUUAUUUAUCUCUCUUUUCUCUUAUUUGUUUUAAAUUAAUCAUUCUUUCAUUUUAGAAGAUUUUGUUUAUGUUUUUUAUAUUUUUAGCAGGUGACAUAAACCAUCUUCUUUUUCUUUCUUACUGCUCAUCUUCUAGAAUAUUAAGAUCGUUUAAAUAUUACUUUGAUAUGAUUUAAAUAAUCGCUUACUUAGUCAAUACAAUCAUUUAGCAUCGUUAACAUGAUCGUUUAGGUUUGAAGCAUUUUUUUCAUCAUUAAAAAGAACAAUAUGAUUGUCUAUUAUUUUCUACAUGAUCGCAUAUAAAUGAUUGUAUAGAAAAAUAAUUACACGCGAGCGUGUGGCCAGUGUUGAUACUACUUACACGAUCGUGUUUCAUUUCCUACACUAUCACAUAUCAUGAUUGUUUAGAAUAAUAAUUAUACACGUGCGUGUGGCUGAUUAAUCUCUUGUUGAUUGAGGCAAUUUUUUGUAUUUUUCAUUGGGGGCAUGUGUACUUUUUGUGUUUUCAAAAUUGUUCUAUAUAGUGUAUGAGUGUGUUUGAAUUGAUUUUUGAACUGUUUAAUUUUUAAAACAAUUAAUUUUAAGAUAUAUUGAGGUGUUUGACAUAGGUUUAAAAUAAUUUUUAGAAAAAUGAAAUUAUGAAAUAAAUCAUUUUAGAGAAAACACAUUCAACAAAAUUUUAGAAUAAAUGUUUAUUUGGUGUUUAAUGAGAAAUCCCUCCCAAAUAUUUAUUUUUCUUCCUCUAUUUUUCAAUUCCUUUUUAUUAUCUAUUUUUUACUCGUUGUUCCUUUGUUCUUUGUUUUUUUAAAUACUUUGAAUAUUUUUUCAAUGUGUGUUCAUAUACAUUUAAAUAUAAGAAUUUGCAAAUGUUCAUCUCUCAGUCAAAUCUACUUCGCCUUAAUAUUUGUGAAAGAAAUCAUGAGGACGUCAAUGAAGAGCAUGAUCGUUUAGUUCGUGAAAUGAAGAUGAAUGAAAAACGUUAUUAAAUUACACUUUUUUUUUUGUUUAGUUAAUAUUAUAUUGUCUCGAAAAAACUAUUUAUCUUUAUUUAUACUUUGUUGUUGGAAAUCAAUUAUUUUUGUUGAUGGUUAUGUAUUUACAUCUCAAGAUAUUUGAGCUUUUAAAAUGGAAUUGUCCAAAAAACCAUUAACACAGAAAAAUGAAAUUCACGUUUAGUUUCAAGUAAGUAAAAAAUUAAUAAUUUCAAGAUAACGUGCUAUUAAUUUUAAAAUAUAUUUAUGAAAAAAGAUUUAAAAUGUAUGUAUUUCUUUAUAAAAUUAAUUCACAAUGUUUAAUAGUUUUUUAUGGUAAUUUGAGGUAAGUAUAAAGAUUAUUAGUAUAGGAUAAACCAAACACAAUUUUGGAAUAACCAUUUAUAAAGAGGUGAAAUUAAAUAUAUAAGUAUUUAGAUUUUAAACUCAUUUUAUAAAAAAAAAUUAAAAUUAAUUCUUAAAAACAUUUUCUUUGAAAGAAAAAUUUAUUAUUUAUAGAUAAUUUAUAGAUAAUUUAUUAAAAAUGAUAUAUUAAUAUUUGUUAGUAUAAAUGUGAAAAACAUAUUCAUAAUGGGUUGGGUGAAACUUAUUGUUAUUUAGAAAUAAACACAUAUAUUAAAAUGAAACAAAUCUGAAAUGAGAAAACAAUAUUUGAUUCCUUUUGUAUUUCUGUAGUGAGAUUGAGACAUUCCAUCACCGCCCCCUCCUCCCUCUUAUCUCUCCUUUAUCGCUUUCCUUUUCUUUAAUUAAACAAAAAUGUCAAUUUGCUUUUGUUUUUAUUAGGUUUCUUUUUACAUUUUCUCUGAAAACGAAUUGUUUUUCUUUUAUGAGGUUGUGUGUGUCCUUUUCUUUAUUAUUUCUCAAAUUGAAUAUGAAUCAAGCUGUCACUACUUCAUUGGACCUAAUUUUUCUUCCCUUUAACGGGCCGCGGCGUAGUUUUCUCACUCAUCAACACAGCUUUGACCCCAUAUAUAACUUCCCUCCUACCGUUUCAUUGCACGCUCCAUAUCAUCUCUUGCUUUCACUUCUCAUUGUGAACCAAUAAAAUCACACCCUUUUUUACUGCCACGUGUAUCGUUCUAUAUACCCCCUUUUUCUUUUUGUUACAAAACUUCUUCAUUAUUGAAUUAUCUUUAAUGACUUUUUGUUUUAACAAGUAUCAGAUUAGGUAAAUGUAGUUUAAGAUGCAAAGCUGGUUUAUGAAUCCUACAUCCAUACUCCAGCUGUAUUAAAAAAGAAAGUAUUAGAUCACAAAAAUAGUUCUAUUAUUUCAUGUAUUUAUUACAUGAUUAGUAAAGCCAACACACUUGUUACAUGAUAUUAAUCAACAUCAUGCUAAAAAAGAUGUGUGUGGUAACCACACAACUAACUCCACUCUUGUGUUUGUAUGGUAAUUUCAAUUAUCAACUUUAUGCUUAAUGCUAUAUUAGGAGUCUAAUUUGAUAGAGUUUCAAUAUGAAUGUAUGGAAGACCAUAUACUAUAAAUAAUUUACAAAUUCAAUAUAUAUAUAUAUAUAUAAUUAUAAUUAUAUUAUUUUUCAAAAACUAAAUGUUUAUGCAUAGAGGCAUACACGUUUUUAUAAAGUUGACAGGUUUUGGAAAAUCUCUACAAAAUGAACUAAUAAAGCAUAUAAGCUUACAAAAAUAAAUUAUGAACAUAGAAAUUUUAUGAGAAAAGUAGAUUUAUAAACUAAAUUCUAUAAAUUAAAAAUUAAAAAAUCAAAUAAUUAGAGAGCAGUACUGUUGAUGAAUUUUUUUUAAUUUGUCUUUAUUGCAAAAUAUUCAUCCAAAUGUGAGGUUGCAAAAGGAGAGAAGAAAAACAAAUAGUUUGCAUGUUGCAAUCCAAAUGUCAUCUUAGACAAGAUGGGUACAAGAUUUGUUGUAAUCUUCACCCACAUGCAACCAUCUUAGACAAGAUCGUUAGGUGAGAUGGAAUGUAAUAAUGAUAUUAUAUUUGUAUUUUUAAUUAAAAAAUCUUUAUGAUCAUCUCAUAAAAGAAUCAAAUGGUUCCUUUUAUAUUUAAUUUUUAACAUUAUCUUCCCUUAAUGACAAAUGUUUCCAUAAUUAAAAACUCAUAUUUAAUUACCAAUGUUUCUCUUGGUAAUUAAGGUAAUUAAAAACUUAUUUUAAUCUUGCAUUAAACUAAUUAUAUCUAUCUUUAAAGAACUUUUAUUUACUUGCUUUUUAGAAAUAUCAAAAUAUUUUGUAAAUAUUUGGUUGUUAUAUUAGAUUCACUUUCAUUUAUCUAAAAUAUAAAAAGAAUUUUUGCAAUCCAUCUAAACGAUCAUAUUUCUUACAUAACAUUCAAACUCUUAGCAAAGUUUUUUCUUUUUCCCCAUUUUUAUACUAGAAGAUUGUAGAUAGAAGAGAAAAGAAGAUUUUGAAACCAUGAUUUUGCAGAAAAUGGCAAAAAAAAAAAAGUUUCAAUUAGAUUGUAGACAGAAGAGAAGAGAAGGUUUUCAAGCCAUGGUUUUGCAUAAAACAAUGAAUGACAGAGAGGCAGAGUUUUGCGUCGUUUUUCGAUGGUUUGUAGUAUACGUUGAUCGUGAAAAACUUCAAACUACUGAUUAUUACAAUGAAAUACAAAAUUCUUAUUAUAUAUAAUUACGAAAUUAAAUGCCACUUAACGAUAUAGAAACAUAUCAUAGGGCCCACGUAAGUCAAAACCUUUUCACCAUUAUGGCAUCAAUCAGGUAGCAAUGUCAUAAUAUCGAGUGUGUAUGGGGUCCAAUUAAUAUGUGAAAAAUAAACAAACAUAAGUACACAAUAAAAAAUAAGUACACAACAUUCGCAUAAUACUUUAUACUAUAUGAGUGUGCAUCAGUCGAUCAAACAUUUGUUGAUACGUCAACAACAUAUUUGUUGAUUGUUCUAAUUCAGGUAGGAUGCCCCUCCAUUUAAUGUGUGAAAAAAAAUUAAUAAUAAGUCAUGGAGAUUGCAAAUUUUAUUAAAAAAAUAAUAUAAAUAAAAUAAUAUAAAUAAAAUAAUAUAAAUAAAAUAAUACCUAAAACUCAGUGGUCAAGCAACUAAAACUUGUAAUGUGGUUGCUACUCAAUUCAGUGCUAAGACUUAAGAGUUUCUAUUGUAAUUAAUGCAAUUGCGAUACAUCACUAAGUCAGGUCUUUGUGCAUAUUGAGCUCACCAUAACUCUUUGUAGAGCGUGCUACAUUUGAGGCGAUGGAUCACAGGGUAUGAUUAUAGCAUGCAAAAUGCUCACAAUGUGCCUCUUCAUCGCGUGAUUCUUAAAUCUUUGUUGAGUACAAAUUUUUCUACUGCUUGCCCAAGUGCAAGCGAAAUAGUAGGUUUACCUAGGUGAUCCAGGGUCGAAUAUAGAAAAUUGUUUUAGAUAUUAGUUCUAGGUUCUACUAUUUAUUUAGACAAGUUGAAAGAAUUAAAGAAUAACAAAUGUAAGAAUUAACUAACUACACAACGAAAGUCUGUAAUGCAACGUGAAGAGAAAGAAAAUACAGUGUAUCUAACUUGUAUUAGGGAAAAGAAGACAAGAAUGUCUACGCGAUAUCUUAUGAAAAAGUUGUGAGAUAUCCGUGACGCGACAUAACUUACUAAGACACAUUUGUGAUUAAGGCAUGCUUCUUUCAAAUGCAUAUCUGCCACACAUGACUACUUUUCAGAGAUCUAUAUGACCAAGUACGACUAGGUGAGCUAUGUCUAGAAGAAACAACUUAUGCAUCUUAUAGUAUUUCGUAUUUAAGGACAGUUACCUCUCAGUAACCACUGUCCACAUUUGCUAUCCUUUUGGGAUCCAAAUGUUAGAAAUACUUUCGCAGGGAGGUAGAGUUCCUCUCCAUGUGUGUUAAUUAGAUUCUAGCUACUUUGCCCUCUUGGGUAGUUAGCAACUUAUAUUGGCUAAGCAUUCACAAAAGUACAAUCAACAUGUUAAGAUUCAUAAGCGACUCUUCUUAUCAUGAACUAUUACCUACUCUAAUAAUGGAUAACACGUUGACUUGCAGAAGGUGAAGGAAAAUGGAUUGAAUGACUAUAUUUACAUGAACUUAACAAAGAAUUGUAAGUAUAGGUUUAUACAGAAUAUGUACAAUAUGAGGUAUACAAUAUGAACGAAAACACAAAAUGGAAAGAAGAGAAAAUUGAUUGCUAUUAUAAGUUAGAUGAUCAACAAAUACUAAUCUUUCUUUAUCACUGUUGCAUAUUAUUCAGGUAGCUUUCUCAAGCUCUCUCUCUCUAGACAUACUUUCUUCGACCUAUUCGGGCCCCCCCCUUUCUCUUGGUGGAGAUGAAGUGCUUGUAUAGGCUACUUUUCGGAGAGAAAAUUCAGCUCUUUUGAUUGUGUCAGCGUUGUCAUCGAGCCCUGUGAGGUCACAUCAUUCCAACUACCAUUAUUGUCUUCUUCUGAGCUUUCAUUGCAUGAUGUUUAGGUUCAUCGUUUGUAGUUGUUAGUUGCCAAGCUUGAUCCAUCUCAUUGUCUUUGCGCUAGAUGUCAUGUAUGAGUUACUCCUUUCUUCUUUUUCCACUUGUCCUACGUUUAAACAUGAUAACCGCCUAAAAUAGAAACGAGAUUUAUAUAAGCCAUAUUUCUAUAUAUUUAUGCGUUUACAACAUAAGUUAUGUGUUCUAAUCAUCUCCUUAUGCGUUUUAACCUCAUUAUUCUAAUAAAAAGGGUUAUAAUAACGGUUGUUUCCAUACAUUAUCAUAAUGCAACUUGUGGUGCUAUAAUAGAAAAUCUGUCAUAUACCCAUACUUGCAUUAGUAUUAGUGGCUUGGCUAUUUCUAAGGAUUGUGCAAUGGCUCGACACAAUUUUCUGUAAAGCCAUGCAAGGCAUGCAUUGGCCUAAGAGUACGUACUAUCCUAGUUGAAAUCGCUUAAAAGCAAAAGGAAACAUACAAUGUAUUGGUUGUGUUUAUUAUGCUCAUUCAGACUCAAACUCAAUGUGUGAAGUGUGUUGAGUUAUAAUUUGGUCUUGGUGAUAUGUCACUGAGUAUGUUUAUAGCAUGUGAGAUGUCCACUAUGUCUCUUUGUAUCGCAUGAUUCUUAAGUUCGUAUGGCGUACAAGUUUUCCUACUGCUUGCCCAAGUACAAGCGAUAUAGUAGGUUUACAUGGAUGAUCCAGGGUUGAACACAUGAACUUGAUAUCAAAUCUUAAUUCUAGAGUUUAUGUUUCAAUUAGGCGGUAUAAAAGAAUUAAUUAAAUAAGCAUGGAAGAAACAAAAUUAGAACUAAAACUUCUUGUAUACACCUAGAGAAUCUGAAAAGGGGUAGAGAUCAAUACCAGAUGAAGAUGUGAACUAACUUGUAUCUGAGAAAAAGUGAAGGAAUGUCUAUGCAUUACAACGCGAUUAAGCAAUGUGAUAGGCUUGACGCGAUAUAACUUACUCAACCAGCUUAUGAUUAAGGCAUGUUCCUCUCAGAGUCAUUAAACGCUACACAUAGUCACCUAUCAGAAUCUCACAUGAUUAAGCCUGGUUAGACAAGAUGUAUCUAGAAGAGUUUGCUUGUAAGAUGUAUAGAACUUCACGAUUGAGGUCAACAAUCUCUCGAUGCUUAGUGCCCACACUUGUUCACCUUUCGGGAUACAAAUGUUGAAAGUUAUCUUGCAAGAGAAAAGGAUACUCUUCUUUACGCGCGUUAGCUAUGUCCUUACUACUUAUCAUCUCAUGUAGUUGGUGACUUACACUGGUCAAGUGGUGAGAAUAGCUCAACUAACGAGAUAAGACUUAUAUGCAACACUUCUUAUCAAGAACAUAUCACAAACCUAAACUACAAAUAACACAUUGACUGAUGGAAAGUAAAGAAAUGAUGGAUUGAGCACGUAUAAACAUGUAAUAUAUAACAAAGAAUAUCAGACUUUGGCCAUCGUAUAAUAUGAAUAGUGUAUAUAUUACAAAUGAAUACAAAAAUGGGAGAUAAAGAGAAGAGAAAUGAGUACAAGUUAGGGGAAAUAAAAAGUGAACUUCUCUCCAUUCAGGCACUAAGCUCCCACUCAGAGUAUGACCGAAGAAGAAGGAAACUGCUAUUUACAAAUGGCUUUAAGACUAUUCCUUUUCGUUCUCCAGGCUGGGACUCCUUCAAAGCCCAAUAAUGACUCAUUCCAGUGUCCUCUAAUUUUUGAUCCAUUUAGGCCUAAUUUUCUUGGUGAAGAAGGAGACUUUUUAUAGGUAGAUUUCGCUGAAAAACCUCUAUUCUUCUGAGCACGUAAGUGUCGAUUGCAGCCUUGCAAAGUCACAUCAGCUUCAACUACCAUUCUUGUCUUCUAAUGAGUUUUUCUCGCAUGAUGAUGUGGUUCCUCACUUAGAAAUUGUAUUUGCUAGAUACGUUCUUAUCGUGUAACGCUUGCACGAGUUCCUCUCUGUGAUUCAUUAGUUCUUUCCUUCUUAUUGAUCCUACGUUGAGACACUGAAAACGGGGUAAAAGCAGGCAUGGGUACUUAUGUAAAGUAUAUUUCUAAGAAAUUAUGCUAUUUCAACAUAAACUAGCAUUUUUUUUUAUAAAUAUCUCUUCCUUAUUUUGGCCUUAUUAUUCUAAUAAAAGAGUCUAUAAUAACUUGUAUUUUUACAAGUUAUCAUGUAUUAGGGUGUAUUUUACUUGUCGACAAACAAAAAGUCUCCAAUGAGUUGCAUAAUCGCUAGAGCAUAUUUAUGAAGUUUACAACGUUAGCAUCUAGUGGCAAUUUUGUGAAUUGUUCGGUCAACCAUGGAAGACUCAACCUUUGACCUUUCAUAUCAGACGGUAAAACUUUCAAGAAAUCUUCACACACUUGUUUCUAGUUAUACAUUAACUGUGGGACCCAUAUUUGAGAAAGGGAGGCCUGUUGAAGAAGAAAGGCUCUGAGGAGUGAGAUGAUCUUUCUAAAAUGAAAAGAUUCAUCAUUUUAAAGAUAAAAUUUGAAGGGAAGGAUGUCACGUUGAGAGAAGGUGAUGAAGAAAAAGUUGGUGCGACGAAAGAGUUCUAUCGUAAGAAGAGUUAAGUAAAGCGAAGAGAAGUUAGAAAAGAAGUGGGCGGUUGUAGCCUUUCGCAAGGAAGAAGGUGAAAAAAAAAGAGUUUAGGUUCCUGAGAAGAUAAGGCGAGGAAGAGUUGGGCUUCUCGAGAUGAUAAGUUUUGCGUCUUGAGGGAAUGUCAAAUCGAAAGAUGAUCAUUGGCUUAUGUGUCGAGCUUGGUUUGGCUACAUAGUGUGGUAAGGUGGUAAAGUGACACAUCUAAUUUUGUAAUUCAGAACUGGCAGGCAAAGAAAGUAACAAGCCCAAAGAAUUAUUAUAAAUAAGGGUGAAGACCUAAGAGAUGUGCUGUUAUUUGGAAGUUUCGUUGAGAAAGCGUAAGUAUUUGAGUCACUGCUAGCGUGAGUGACCUUCUUAAACUAAACAAUCCUGCAUGGGUGAUUGUAAGCUAAUAUUUUGUGAACGUUUUCUUAAUAGAUUCUUUCUAAGUCUAUGUUAUGUGUAACACAUUUUGUAUCUCUUUGUGCUAUUAUUAUUGUUGUUAUGGUUUUAAAAGAGAAAACUAUUACUUCUUAAACUAAACACUCCUGCGUGGGUGAUUGUAAGCUAAUGUAACAAAUGUGUUCAAACCAUUAGCCUUAUUCUUAUCAAGUGAGCAAUGUUUAUACGGUGUGCGCAUAAUGUGAAUGGUGUCGUGUGGGUGACUGAUGCAACAAAAAAAAAAAAAAAAAGAAUCAGAAAACUUCUCAGCUGUUGUGGAUGGAGUGAACAUCAUAGUAACUCAAUCGCAAGAUACUGACAAGAGUGAAUCGCGACAGGCUUGACGAGAAGAAAGAUUCAUGUUCUUAGUGGAAAGGAAUAAAAGAAGCUAAUGCGAGAUUUUUGUGAUUUAUGAAAUGAGAUGUUGGAAAAUGCAUUUAAGAAAUGAAACGUUUUGUGCUUAAUUUGUAUUUCCAAAAAAGUUUUCUAAAAUCCUCACUCACUAUGUAUUUAACUUACGUAUUUAAGUUUUGCUUCCAUAGAAAAUUAGGCGUUGAGGCCAAGUAAGAAAAUGAAAGAUGGAUUAUAACGUAGGAAAGCUGACCAUGUUAUUCGUCUUUGGAUGAUUUAAAGUUAUUAUGUCCAAAGAUAGCAACAUCCCAAUUUUGUAUGUGAGAUGAGUCUUUUCUUUGAAAUGGGUUGCUAAUCGAUCAAGGAGAACGUCACACCCUACCCCAUAGACACCCUUGCUUUUCAUGGAAGAUGUGAUAUGACUUAAUUAUCUCUGACGCAUUAAAUGCCAAAGACACUUAAUCUUAAGGUCCUUAAGCUCUGCUCAAUUGCCCAACCUUAUACUUGAUUUUAACUCUUACAACUACUCUUUAAGCGAUAUAAACAACCUUAGACAAAAUGUAUUCAAACAAACUUUUAUUAAACUUCAACCAUGCUAAAUCAACUCUUUAUAGGUUACACACUUUCAAAACUUAAAACUUAAGCUAAAACGUUUGAUAGCUCUUCUUGUCUGGCAAACCUUUAAACUUUUCUUACUUGGCCUUAACACCUGAUUCUUGGAAGAUAAAGCUUUAAAACGUAAGUCAACAUACUUAGUGAGGUUUUAAGAAAUACAUUUAUGCAAAAUACCUUUUGUAAACAUCAUUUUGCUUAAUAAUCACACCAAUUCAACAUUUCACACACACACUAGUCAACCAUCAUUCCUUUUGUCAAGGAUCCUGAAUCAUUAUCUAUGCUAAGUCUCUUUACUUUGGAUUUAGACUACUAUAACAACAACAUAUGAGAAUAUACAAAUUUGUCCUUGUUGCUCAGGUUGAAGCGCAAGCACAUCAUUAUACAUUUUCCCACCUCAUCUCAUCAUUUAGAUUUUGAACAUCGUUUCUCAAUUAUUAUAAUCACAUAAACAUGCUUUAAACAUAACAAAGUAUGAUAUAAACUUUACUUGAAAAUCUCUUUAGAAACAUAGAUAUUGAAAUUAUUAUUUCAAAACCAGUAAACACUUUACUAAGAAGGCUUGAAGUCAUUAAAUACUUUGAAGAAAACACUCACUAAACUAGAGAACUUAAACCUGAAAUGCUCUUCUUCUUCUUUUUCUUCUUGUGUACACACUUUAAUAGCACUUCAGUCCUUUAGCUUUCUUUUCAAUUUUGUGGGGUAACAAUAACUAUAGUUUGACCUCAACCUCUAUUUAUACUACUCCUCAAACAAGCUUAGCCACCCUUAAACUCUUAUUAGCUCACCAACUCCUACUUUUAAUGGUGCACGUGUAAGCUUAAGGUUUAACUUAGUCAUGCUUAGCUGAAUCUCUACCGUGGCCCAUUAAGCAUACUUUUAGGAAAUUUCUAGGAAGUUUUCUUACUUUUUCUCGCAUAGCUCCUUAGCUUCCUACCUAACACCAUCUCGCGAAAAUCCUUUUUCGCACAGUCUUGCCACUUAACCUCUCUCGUAAACUACCUUAAUUAUCAACUUCUUAUCAUGUAGACUUCUCAAAACGUCUUUUCUUUAAACACUUAGUUAAAAUUAUUCUUUAACUUAAGUAUAGGUCUUACAGUGAAAGAUAAGAAAGGGGUUCUUAUACCCCCAAACACCUUGACACAAAGAGUAGCAUCUCCGUGGAGGAAGGAAGACUCGAAGCUUAGAACUUAGGUUUUAUUUAAGUGGCUUGUGAGGAAGAAAAUGUAAUUGUAAAGUGUUAAAUCAAGUAAUAAAAUUAGAUUUUUGUUUUUCUAUCUUUUCGCUAUGUUGUGUUUAUGUCCCUAUAGUUAUUAUUGCUUAGUAGCUUUAGUAAAGUGUUGAAGACUAGGUGAUAGAGCUAAGUUGGUCAUUCUAGUGUUUUUCGCUGUAAUGAGUUGUAAAGAUCUUUCGAGUUCAAAGUGAAACUCUAUGAUGGAGACUAGUUGAGAAUUCGGCUUACUAGCCGUUUAAUUCGUUAUCUCACGGAGAGGUAUGCGUUAGGUGUCUAGUCAGCAUGCCUCCCUUUGGUUGCAUGAAAUGGCUAGUGGGGUAGAAAGUGACAUUAAUGAUUCCAUAACAGGCUCUUCAUCCAUUGGUAACCCCAACUGGAUCUCAAUGUCCUGCAAUGUGAUAGUGCAUGUUCCCCACAAGGCAUAUGAAAUGUGUGGGUCUUCGGUCUCCAACACUCUACUAAAGCAGUAAUGGGGUGCCAAUCCAGCUGCAUGAAUCCAAUAUGAGAAACCCCCACUACAAGAAAUGACACAUACGAUAGCUAACGAAAAAGUCUAUUAUAGACUUUUUAUAGCCUUUUUCGAAAGUCCCGACAACCCAUGUUAUUAAAAGUCUGAGACUUUUUAUAGCGUCUUUUCGAAGUUAUAACGAGUGCUACCGUAGAGUAUGAAGAUAUAGCUUAUAUAUGUUGCUAUAAAAAUAUUUGAUAGCGUUUUUCAUUAGAGCUAUGAUAAGUUUAUAUAUCUUAAAUAAUGUGCUAUCUUUGACAUAUAAUAGCAUUUUUUCGACGCUAUAAUAUAGUAUUUAUAGCUAUAAUAUAAUAUUUACAGCUGUAAUAUUUAGCUAUAAUAUUGUAUUUGCGGGUGUAAUAUUAAGCUAUAAUAGUGUUAUUUAAUCGUUUUCAAUUAUUAUAAUAAUCUUUUGCUAGCAUUUUAUUUUUAGCUAUAUCAAUCUUUCUAUAACUUUAAGUUAUGGCUACGAAAGAGGAAAUUUUUUUCUGAAAAAUAAUUAAUUAACUUUUGAUAAAUUUUAGUUAAAUGACUCAAAUUUAGUUAAAUCUACCGCACAUAAAUACUUCAUAGCACAAUGAAUAUUAAUAACUUACAUUCAUAAUAUAUUAAAAUUACAAAAUAAAGUAUUUAAUAAUUUACUUAUUUAAAGUUUCAGUUUAAAAGAUACAUAAAGUAAAUAAAUAUUUUGUAAAUGUAACAACAACACAAAUUAACCCUAAAAAAAAAAUCAAUAUAAGUGUUCACAAUUAUAUUAUAGCUAGGUAUGAGCUAACUGCCAUCAUUAGUUCUUUAGUCCUCAGAUUAAGACACCAUUUCAUUCACCUACAUAAAUUUGUAAAAACAAAUAUCAAUGAAUGAUUAUGUAGACACUAAUAAUAGUGGAUAUUAAAAAUCGUAAUAACAAAAAUGUCUUGUGACAGAUACAUCAAAGCCUUGUAUGCUAUGCUACUCUAUAUCAUCUAGAUAGCUCCACUUUCUUUCUUUCAUAAUUUGUCUAUCAUGUUGUGCUAAUUUCAAGUUCUUCAAACCCCAUGAACAUACCUGAAUUUUAAGAUACUAUAGAAUCAGUUCAAAACUGAAGGUGAAGGAAAAAAAGAAUACAAAGAUAAUAAUCAGAAAAUGAGUAAAUCUACACAAGCACAACAUAUCAAGGAUGAUGUAUAACAAGAAAAUUUUAUAUAGUGUGCAGAACCAACCUUUUUCAAGACAUUAUAUAGUGUGCAGAAAAUACAAACACAAAUAUGUUGGCUUCAAGUUACACAAAAAUAGAAUAAAUACCAAUGUUAACAAGAAAAGAAAACUUUAUAGAUUAAACAAAAAGAAAGCUUACCACAAAGAUUGUAGUCGACUGAGAAGCUCCUACGCAAUUCUUUAACACACUACAAGAAAUUGAGAUUUUACCAUGACGCACAACAAGCGUUACUAAAAUGAGAAAAAAGCUAAAAGUAUUAGCAACGCAGUGUCAUAACCCUUUCCCACAACAUAAAUAUGGACUUGCCACCACACUUGGUCAGCAAAUAGAAUCAGAAGUGAACCCACACCUAAUCCAGUUGCAACAUCAGAAUCUAGAAUUACUUGAUUGAGCGAUCGUGGCCUGCCAAAGAAUAAUCGACUUUUAGGAAUAAGAUACACGCAUUAUGAGCCCUAACACUUUCUUCUUCACAUCAAAAUAACAUUAGGGUCAGAAUCACAAGCCCUAAUAUCAUAAAAUUUUAUUUUUCUUGUGAUUAGAAACUUAACAUAUCAAGUUGUUCAUAGAUGGUUCAAAUUAGAAACAUAAUACAAGAACACAAAAAUGGGAUUCCUAAGUCCUAAAAACUACUUCAGGGGACAGGGUGAAGAAACAAAAAAUCUAAUUUGUUUGCUAAAAAUUUCCUCUAUUUAAUCACAAUAUGAAGACCUAAACCAUUUCUAUACAAAAUCCACCUACAUAUAACUUAACCCAAAAAUCAACAAGCCAUUUCAGCACAACCAGUAUGAGAAUCACAAAUCCUUUCAAAUUUCCAAUAAUACUUCUUAUCAGAAAAACAACAUUCAUCAAAUAAUAAAAAUGAUCAUGAUCAAAGCAACAAAUACAUAUACCAACAACAAGUGCAAAAGCAAUGAGAUCAAAGAUAAACACUACAAUCAAAACCAACAUACCCAUGAUUCAAAGAUCUAGCAACCUCAAGAAAAUCUUAUACAAAUAGAAUAAAUUCCUGUAAUUACAACAAGAAACACAAGAAUGGAAACAACAAAAAAAACUUUGAAACCGUCAAACAAACAGAAACUUCAAAAUUCAGAGAGAGAGAAAAACCUUACAUUGUUUGGUACUUGGCUUCAUCUCACAUAAAUUUGUCGGUGUGGUCGUCUGCAAGAAAACAUAAUGGGUUUGCCGAUGUGGUCGUGGUCGUCUGCAAGAAAAGAAAAUCGGGAAGGGGGUUAUUGCCAAAAAAAAAACAAAAUCAUUCAAAAAUAUGCACGUGCACUUUAAUUUUAAGUUUAAAAGUUUACAAAACAAUACAUAGUUGUAUGAAACAAUGCAAUGUCCAAUUUAUAAAACAAAAAUGCAAAAAUCGUAAAAUCAAAUAAUUACACAAUUUACAUAUCAAUUAUACUGUAAAUUUAGGCCAUAAAAUUUACAAAUCAAUACACUAAAAUUUAAGUCCUAAAAUGUACAUCAAACCCUAAAAUAUACAUCAAGCCAUAAAAUCAAACAAUUAAAUUUCCACACUGUAUACAAAAUUAUACACUUAACCUAGUCGUGAACCAUGGUUUCACCAUAGUAUUUUUUACAAAAUAACAUUAUUAAAACAAAUUGUUUAUGAAUAACAAAAAUUCAUCUUAAAAAGUAGAAAAUAAUUAUACCUUGACACUCCUAAACAAUCAAAUGGUAGGACGAUGACGAACACAAAUAUGAGAUUGACGACCAAUUUGAUGGACAACUCACAGGAGUUGUGGACGAGGUCUACGACUUCAAUGCCUUGUCGAGUACUUUGUCCACAACUUCACGAGUCUAUUCUCGACAAGAGUUUCUCUCAUACCCUACUUUUUAUAUUAAUUUUUAAAAAUAAAAUAGAAAAGGUAUGACUAACAUAUGUAAGAUUUUUUUUAAUGGAAAAGUAUUAAAUAUUUAAAAAGCAUAAAAACAAAAAAAUGGAAGGGAAUAAAAAAAUGAUAGGAAGAAAAGGGUAUUUUAAGCAAUAAUAGUUAAUUUGUUUCUCUUUCCUCUCUCCCCUCACAAGAAUCUCGAUCCAUGUUUGUUCACUCUUCUCUCAUUUCCCAGAAAACCCUGACAUUAUUUAUUUUUCCUUUUACUUUAAAUAUUUUCUCCUUUUCUCUCUCCCCCUCUCUCUUCUUCCUCUCAAGUCCAUGAGCUACCAUUACUUUUUCUCCCUUUUCCUCAUACAUGGAAAAUGUAAUCAUCACUCCCAAUGUUAAAACAUCUUUAUAAAAUUAGAAAAAGGAAAAUAUAAUAACAUUCUUUCCUUAUAAAUUAUUUAUGACAAGAAAAGAAAAAAGGAAAAAAAGAAAAAAAGCAGCAUUCUAAUUGUCUCUUUUCCAGCGCCACGUUCAAAGAGUCCGUUCAUUUGCAACUUCUCUCUCCUUCGUUUGUCUCUCCUCUACUAGAAACGUCUCAACAACAGGCUCUUUAUUUUAAUGGCGGAACCACAACACGCGUCAACAAUCUUCUCCCAUUCAUCCUUCCAACUUUUCAACUCUCAAUACCCAUUCCCUCAUUCCCCGUUACAUUUAUUAUUUAUUACUUUCCUUUUUCCUCUCCCCAAUAUUUGCACUUCAUCAUUCCUAUAUAGUCCUUACAAAAUCUCCGUCCCAUGGAUUUCUCUCUCAAGUCUUUCAAAUCUCAUCCUUCUUACAAAUAUGUUAGGAAGCUUUCUGGGGCAGAUGCUACUCAAGACCACGAACACCUUCCUAUUCUUUCUGAUCACCAACACUCCAUAAUGGCAGUUUCCGAUUCAUCUGAUCGGAAAGAGGUUAUCGUCAAGGUCGAUGAGGCUGAUGCUUCCACUUUAAGAGCUACGGACUUGGUAAACGGAAGUGGCACGAUUUGGCGGGAGUCCAGCUAUGAUUUCUGGAAUGAUAGUGAUAAUAGACGGAAUUAUGGCGAGGGUGGUGCUAAAACUACUGAUGAUUUUGAGUUUAGGCAACAUAGGAAGGAUGUGGAAGAUCCGCCCUCCAAGCUUAUCGGGCAGUUUCUUCACAAACAGAAGGCGUCGGGAGAGAUGUCUUUAGAUAUGGAUAUGGAAAUGCUGGAACUACCACAGGAUAAGACUCCGCUUUCUACGGUGGCGGAAUCUCCGAUGCGACGGAGUUCGAGAGAGUUGAAGGUUUCCUUCGAGUCUAUUUCAGAAAUAUCUGAAAACGAUUCCAUGAGAAGACGGCACAGAGACUCGCCACUCGAUGAAGAACAUAGAGGUCAGCAACCGCGGCAGUGUGAUCGUCGUGCGCAUGGCAGCAAUGGUGAAGAUGAUGGUGCUGCUGAGGUAUUGAGAUGCUCAUCCAAUUCUUUCUUUCAAAGAGAUGUAUCGUUCCAGAGGAAAUCUAGCUUGCUUAGGGCUAAAACUAAGUCUAGAUUACUGGAUCCACCCGAACACCAAGACCGGAGGUCAGGACGUGUACCAAAAUCAGGACAAGUUCGCUCUGGUUUAAUCUCAAAAGCCUUAGAUGAGGAAGACGAUGAUCCAUUCUUGGAAGAAGAUCUUCCUGAUGAGUAUAAGAAGGCCAAUUUAGGUGUUCUGACUCUGUUACAAUGGGCGAGUUUGAUUCUGAUAAUAGCAGCAUUGGUUUGCACUUUAACAAUUCGUUACUGGAGGAGAAAGAAACUAUGGAAGCUUGAAGUAUGGAAAUGGGAGGUUAUGAUUCUUGUUCUAAUAUGUGGCAGACUUGUUUCUGGUUGGGGGAUUAGGGUAAUCGUCUUCUUUAUUGAAAGAAACUUUCUACUUCGUAAGAGGGUUCUAUACUUUGUUUAUGGAGUCAGAAAGGCGGUCCAGAAUUGUCUUUGGUUAGGUCUAGUUUUAAUUGCUUGGAACUUCCUGUUUGAUGACAAAGUUCAAAGAGAGGUAAAGAGCAAUGCCUUAGAAUAUGUGACCAAAGUAUUGGUAUGUCUUCUUGUAAGCACUUUGGUUUGGCUAGUAAAAACACUGAUGGUGAAGGUUUUGGCCUCUUCUUUCCAUGUGAGUACAUAUUUUGAUAGGAUUCAAGAUGCAUUGUUUAACCAAUAUGUAAUUGAGACACUGUCAGGUCCUCCAUUGAUAGAGAUUCAAAAGAAUGAGGAAGAAGAAGAGAGGCUUGCUGAAGAGGUUAUAAAGUUACAGAAUGCAGGGGCUACCAUCCCUCCUGAUUUAAAGGCAACUGCCUUUUCUACAGCUCAAAAGGGUGGGAGGGUGAUAGGUAGUGGAGGGUUGCAAAAAAGUCCUCGUGGAAGAAGUGGCAAGUUAUCUAGGACACUGUCGAAAAAGGGCGGCGAUGAGGGUAUAACAAUUGAUCACUUGCAUAAGCUUAGUCCUAAGAAUGUGUCUGCUUGGAAUAUGAAGAGAUUGAUGAACAUUGUUAGACAUGGGACCCUUUCAACUUUAGAUGAACAGAUUAAAGAUACAGCUCAUGAGGACGAAUCAACCACAGAGAUUAAGAGUGAAUAUGAGGCAAAAGUUGCUGCGAAGAAGAUUUUUCUGAACGUGGCUAGAAAUGGUUCUAAGUAAGUUAAUUCAUUUCUUACAUCCCUUUAUUGUUUAAAUUGACUAUCUAAAGUGUUUCAAGUGGUUUUUGCAGGGUCAUGAGGCCUUUUCAUGAAACUUCUUGUUUUUUUUACUGUACUGUGAAGGAAUUUUCAAACAAGUACAAUGCUUUUUCUAAAAAUCAUGGGGGAAAAGAUUCCUUAUCAAGACGAUUGAAAAGCUAAGGAAAAAAACAUUUUUACUAUUACUACCAGACAACUGGAUAAAUUGUGUUUUAUGAAAGAAUGUUCUUUUAAAAUUGUGCUUGCUUUCGAUAAAGUGGCUACUUCAAAAUUAUAUUCUCUAGACAAAUUUAUCAUAAAUUUGGAAUUAAUUUGAAACCAACCCAUUUUACAUGGUUCUACUUUUAACAUGGUACAUGCGACAAGUUGGUCAACCAAGCUGCCUUGAGUGUGACUAAUGCUUUAAAUUCCUUCAUUAGCUUUUGUUUCAUGGUAACCAGUUCAUGAUUAAAGGGAAUGCAGUUAUAUUUUUCCAUCCACACCUAGAUAUAUCAACUGUGGUUUUAGAAAUGCUAUUGCUAACAAACAUAUUGAAAUACCUUUUUUGAAUACGUUUCGUCUCUUGUGUUUUUAUAAGUAAUUAGGUUCUUAAAUCAUGUUUUAUUUAUUUAUUUUUAUUACUGACUUUUACUCAAUUCUUAAUUUCAUCCAUUUGUUAGAUAUAUCUACCUAGAGGACUUGAUGCGUUUCAUGGAAAAAGAUGAGGCUUCAAAAACCAUGGGUCUCUUUGAAGGAGCAUGUGAGAGUAGAAAAAUAAGCAAAUCAUCCUUGAAAAACUGGGUGGUAAGAUCUAUCUUGUAAAAAUCUUAAAUUAAAUACAUUAGUCUUCCCACUCCACAUUUUAAUGUUGCAAAUUCUAUGGUUAUUUAUUGCAGCAUUAGUCGCCACAAUAGGGGUGUGUCUUGGUUAAUCAAUAAUUAGUUUUGAUCUAAAUGAUAUUAUUCAUAUAAUUGUUGCAGGUUAAUGCCUUUAGAGAACGAAGGGCUCUAGCUUUGACAUUGAACGAUACCAAAACAGCAGUGAACAAACUUCACCGCAUGGUGAAUAUUUUAGUUUCUGUCAUUAUUCUGGUUAUUUGGCUAUUGAUUCUGGGUAUUGCCACUAGCAAGUUUCUCCUAUUUGUGACCUCUCAACUCGUCCUUGUUGCAUUUGUAUUUGGAAAUACUUGCAAGACUGUUUUUGAAUCAAUCAUCUUCUUAUUCGUGAUGCAUCCAUUUGACGUCGGAGACCGAUGUGAAAUUGAUGGUGUGCAGGUAAUUCUUCUCCCCAAGUAAUUUUACUAGUGCAUUCCCGUAUGAUAUUCUUUGUUCUAAACUGUAGCUCCCUGAAUUUCAGAUGAUUGUUGAAGAAAUGAACAUUUUGACUACUAUUUUUCUAAGAUACGACAACCAGAAGAUCAUAUUUCCGAACAGCGUUCUCGCAACAAAGGCUAUCCACAACUUCUAUCGUAGUCCUGACAUGGGAGAUGGUAUAGAAUUCUGUCUUCACAUAUCUACUCCACCUGAGAAAAUAGCUAUCAUGAGACAAAGAAUAAUAAGGUAUGUAGUUACUAGUCUUGAAUUACCAAUUACCGAAUGGCUCAAAACUUACGCUGAUAGGUUAACGCAAAUUUAUAUUAGGUUCGUCAAACUAAUUCAAACGCACUCUCAUUUCUUUGACGUCUCCAUCCUUAUUUUAUUAUUAUUUUGUUUAUGUCUUUCCAGUUACAUUGAGGGCAAGAAAGAGCAUUGGUGUCCUGCGCCAAUGAUUGUCCUAAAGGAUGUAGAAGAGUUAAAUAGAAUGAGAAUAGCAAUAUGGCUUACUCAUAGAAUGAACCAUCAAGACAUGGGGGAGAGGUGGACAAGGAGAGCUCUUUUGGUCGAAGAACUUGUUAAAAUUUUCCAAGAGCUCGAUUUGCAAUACCGUCUCCUACCACUUGAUAUCAAUGUUCGCUCCUUGCCUCCUGUGAACUCUACUAAUCUUCCUCAAAGGUAAUUGGACAACCUCUGCAAAAGUUGAGUGAGGCAGACAAGGAAAUCAGGACACCGUAAGCUCCUCUUGAGAAAGAGGAUAUGCUUUUGUAUCUAUGUUUAUUGAGUUGAUAGGUCAUGUAAAAUGUUUUUGGGCAUUCUCAACUUCAAUAGUUUGGGAGAGUUGGAUUGGGAGGUUAAACAUACACACCGUGUGGUUUACCAAUAAUUUAAGAGGUUUUUACCUCUUUAUUCUCUUUGUUCGCAUCAACUUACAUUUGUAAAAAAAACUUACAUUUAUCGUUUUGUUAUUCGUGUUGACUCAUACACUCUAUCGUUAUUAUCAAUUCAACACAAAUCUUUGUUUUUAUUGCUUAUCAAAUGUUUUCUUAGAUAUUGUAUAUUGGGAUUCAAUUUACAACGUUCUAAUUUGGUUUAAUAGCACACAUUUCAUUAGAUAUAGGCAUAAUAGUUUUCAAUCAAUAGAGUUAUAGUAUAUCUUCAUAGGAAGGUAAAUUUUACUAUGUUUUUAUGGUUUUUCUUGUUCUCCUCCAUGAAAAAGGCAUACUACCCUUUUAUGUUCAAAUAUUGAAAAUUUGAAUUCAACAUGAACGAAAGACGAUUUUUUUUUUUCUUUCUUUCUAAGUGUACCUUCUCUUCCAAACUUUUAUCUUUACAUUUUGUGCAUUCUUGAAUUUUGAAAAUGCGGGGACAAAACAAUCCUAUUUCUUUAGGAACCUUCAACAAGUGAUAGAUUCAAAAAUUUUAUAUAAGAUCACUAAAGAAUAAACAUACUAAAAAAUAUUUUAAAAAGUAUUAAUAACUUUAAAUAUUAAUUAAUUUAAUACGUAUUACAAUGGUCCUCUACUAGUUUUCAUGUAAGUUUAUUAUUUAACUUAUCUAAUAAAUCUUUUUCAGUAUAAGCUAUAAGACGAUCGUUCAUCCAUUGAUCUCUCAUUCAAGUAUGCAAUCGAGUCUUCGUAUUAUUCAUAGCAGAAAAUGUUCUCUAUAGAUUAACUACUGCAACCACUAAAAUCAAUGCCAAUGUGAGCAACUGAUAAAAUGGGUAGACCUUAUGUAUUUUCGUAAUGACAAUUUUCACGGCAAGAUCACCAAUCCUUUUAAGUUCAGCAAACUCUUAACGCAUAUCAAUAAUGUAAUUUUGAAGUUGAUCCUAAAGCAUAGAGAGUACAAUAGCUGAAAAAUUUAUUGGAUAAAACUGAGCAAGUCGACUAAGUUUAAUAUAUCAAAAGCAACAAAUGAAUUUCUCAUAUUUAAACAAGCCACACAGAGAAGCAAUUUAUUACUUGUUUCAAUAAAACGAUUAUUCAACUCUUGAAGUUGCAUAUCAAUGACAACAGAGGAGACUUCAACACGAUAAUGAUGCAAAUUUGUAAUUGGUUGAGAUUUUUGACUUUGCCGUUCUAGAACUAAAAACAUAGCAUCCAUUUUAAGAACUUCAAUGUCAUGACUAUUGCAAAAUUUAAAAACUCUUUCCAAUAAUGAAUCUCAACUAGACUUUCUAGUUGAUUGUAGUGUACCUUUACAACAGUUGACUAAAUUCAUUGCAUUCACAAUAUCCUAAUAUUUUCUUUGUAAGGAUUGAGACAAGUCAUUUGUGAUUCCCAAUAUAUUUUUCAUGAGAUGCAUGUUGAAAACAAAGUCAAAUGACAAGAUUGAAUUCAUUAGGAAUCUGAAAGAGAACAUUGAAACUAAACUCGUUAAAGUGUUAUAAUAUGAUCCUCGUCGAGUAUGUCCUAGUCUUUUAAUCAUUAUCUCUUGAUUAAUCCUCGUCAAGUUGAUAUUUCACCACUAUUGAAAGCUUAAAAAAUUUUCAUGCUAUGUUUCUCUAGUAGAAUAUAUCGACUUUUUGCUGAUACUCCAAUAACAUUCACUAUAUUUGUAGCAAUAAAUAAAAGACUAGCAAUUUCCACAUGUUUUUUUUGCCGUAUUUAUAAGAGCUAAUUGAAGUUGAUGAGCAAAACAAUAAAUGUAAAAAACACAUUCAUUUUCUUUUAAAAUAAGUUCUUUCAAGCUAUGAAACUCAUCUUGCAUAUUACUUGCUUCAUCAUAUUCUUGUCCUCGCAAAUUAGCAAUACUUAACCCAUGUUAAGAAAAAAAAAAAAAACCACCAAUAGCUUCUUUAAGUGAUAGGGCACUUGUAUUAUUGACAUAUAUGGAUUCCAAAAAAUCAUUCAAUCACAUGACCUUUAUCCACGCAUCGUAAUACAACUGACAUUUGCUCCUUUGAAGAUAUAUCUUUUGAUUCGUCUAUCAAGAUAGACAAUUGUAUGUCACUCAUAUCUCUUAUAACUAUAUUAACAAUUUAUGUUGCAAUACAGUUCACUAUAUCUUUUUUAUUAUCUGGUACAAUCAAUUUCAAACUACUUGGAGCAUUUUUCAAAGUCACAGUUUCAAUAUCCUUGUUAUGAUUGCACAACCAUCGCAAUAGUUUAGGAAAGUUACCUUGAUUCUUCGAAUCAUCAAUCUCAUCAUGUCCAUGGAAUGCAAGACCUUGCCUAUAAAAAAUCGAUAAAAAUCAAUUGUGCGCCUAAUUGAGUUCGAUACUCAGCUCGUGCUUGGUUAGACAUCCUAUUUAAAAAGUCUCAAUAUGUUGCUUUUGUUUUAAAAAAGCCUCACAAUUUCUCCAAGCUUAAUUGUGUGCACUGUUAAGGAUUACCAACAUGAGUUUUCAAUCUCUCUUUUUUCUUCCAAUUGAAAAAUUUUUCACUAACAAAAUAUUUUCCUCCUUAUUUUUCACUUACAUCUGAUUUGAACUGAUGGAAAACAUACAAGCACACCAUAAAUACGGGACAAAAUAAUUACUCUAAUUGAUCUAACUAAUUUGAGAUUAACAUGCAUAACAACUACCCUAAUAAAAUGAAAUUAUGAUUUAUAGAAAAACUUACUUUUGAAGUCUCUUGAUCCUCAUAUCGCUUCACGAACACGAAUCCGGGACCACCACUAAAGUUAACCCACUAUUCUCGAGACUUAGAAUCACAUUGUAGAAGAAAAUUGAGAGAGGAAUGGAAAUUGAAGGUGAAGUUUAAGGAUUGAGAUUUUUAGAGAAAAAUAGUUUAAAACAUUUUGUAAUUCAAAAUUACAAAAAAUGAUACAAACCUUUUCACAAUUUGAAAAAAAAAACUAUUUAUAAGAAAAUUACAUGCAAAAAUGCAUGCAAUUGUUUAUAAAUCUCAACCCCUAGCAUUCCACUAACCAUUAGUGGAACUUAAUGGGUUAGGUGUCUACAUCUCAUGUAGCCACAUAGUGGAAUUAUCGAACAAGAUGUUGGAUUUUUCCACUAACUUAGUCCAAGGGCAAUAUGGUCAUUUGACGUUUUCAAUCAAAGUCAAACUUUGACCUUUUCAAGUAAAAAAAUCAACAUUUUGACCUCUUACCAUUUUGUUCUUCUUGACUAAUUUCAACAUUCUAAGCGUGAAUUUGCAUUCAUUUUUUCGAAACUCAAAUCAUAUUUAAAUAUAAAGCCGAUCAAAGUUUGAUUUUUCAAAGUCAAAAGUCAAUAUUUUGACUUUUUAUAAAUUUGACCAUUUUCAUCAAUUUCGAGCUUCCGAUUAUGAAUAAGUAUUCAUAUUUUAAUAUUUAAAUCUCAUUUAAACACAAAGUUUUAGAUAAAACUUAUAACUGAUGGCUAUAUCACAUAUAUUCGUUGCUUUCUCUCUCUUUACCUAAUUUGAACAAUUCAAAUUAUUCCAACAUAUUGUUCUAAGUUAAUUCUAUAUGAGCUAACAUGGAAACUUAAUGGACCUAUAGAUCAUGGGCUCCAACAACCGGAGAUUAACUGGCUAAAUCUUUUUAGACUGAGCUAAUCAACAUUCGUUAACUAACAGAUCAUUCCACUAAAGUCUCGUAUUUGCAUUUCUCUCAUUAUAGAUAUUUUUCUGUCCAUUUGAUAUAACCAUGCUCAAUAGGUUAAUCUUUCACAGGGUGUUCAUAACCUUGAUUGGAUUAAAAUGUCGUUUUACUUCCGAGACUACAUCUUGCUCCUUAAGUCCCACUUAUCCACUAUUGAACAAUUGCUUGAAGAUCCAACUUAUAAAUCGAAUCCCUCUGGGGCCAAUGAGAGGGUGAGGCCCUUUGUUCAAAACUUUGAUUUAGUCUUUAAGAGAAUAACCUAUCUACUAACUCUAAAGCGGUAGGUAGGAGUGAAUUCCAUCUUCCACGUUAUUUUUCUAGCCAUCCAUCUGGUCUUUCUCCUGAAAUGGAAGGCUUAUUGGGCCAACGUCGCUGAGUUGCCAUCACUUAUGCAGAUCUAAGGAUAAUUCCAUGUGAAUAGAAGUUCAUAGUUAGCUUAGAAUUAAGAUUAAGUUAUCUAGGUCAUUAAUAAACGAAAUAGUCAAUUUUAUACAGUCAACGGUGUUAUAACUUAAAAAUGACUACUUCAUGGUUCCAGUCUUAUAUAAACUCUUUACAUAGGAUACCCCCACUUUCACUUUCAUGUCUCUACAUGAACGCGAUUCAAGAUCACAUCUUUUAUACUAACUACAAAGCGAGCCAUACGUAUAAUGUCCCCAAAAUAAGGCACCCAUCCUUAUUCAUACACUAUAGACCAUUUGGACUAUAAUCUCGAACUUGAUCCACAUUUAUGUAUCUACAUAAAGUUUAAGUCUACACUAGAUAGCCUCGGGACAUUAGUUUAUUGGAUUCAAGACUAUAAUAUUCCAUUUUCCAUAUUAAGUCUCAAAUAACCACUUUAUUGAAUAGAAUAUAAUUUUAAACUACAAAUUAUAAAUUUUAACACCUAAAUUCCAACAAUGUUGCAUGUUAAUUUCUAAACUGUUUAGAUGCAAGUAGGGUAAUCUUGAUCUUGUUUUCUGUUGUGCAUGUCUACCUCUUUCCAUCAUGUGGUAUCAGAGCAUGCUAGUUUACCCAAUUGGAUAUGGUGGAUGUUUCAAUUUAUUAGAUAAAUUGUGAUUGAACUAAAAUUGAUAUAUUAUGGUUUUGGCCCUAAAUUAAGUGUAUUUGAAAUUAGCUCAGUUUUUGUCAUCUUAUAUGCAUGAUAAAGGGUUUGUAAUUUUUCUUAAGUCAUUAUAGUUGUAAUUGAGCUGUAAUUGAUUCAACCGGGAGAAAGAAAAUGCUAGAAUUUUGGUGAAAGCUGAGCACAUGCAAAAAAUUAGGCUUCCAGACCCAAAACCCUACCCCGAACCAAUUAUGCAUUCGACCCAUGUCCGUUGCCUGGCCCAGUUGGCCAAAAACUGUUGCACACUACGCACUCGCAAGGCUCUUAUCAUUUAUAAAAAAUAAUGAUAUGUUUUUAGCAUUGAUAAAUUUUUAUCACUUAUAAAAGUAUAUAUUUAAUAAUGUCCUAUCACUCAUAGAUUUGUGAUAGAAGAAUAUUGAUGAUAGAGGUAUAUCAAUAAUAGUGGUAUGUCAACAAUAGUUUGCUAUCACUGAUAAAUUAAUAUAUUUAUUUGAUAGAAUCAUUUUUGUGAUACAAAAUAUUUAUGAUGAUAGUGUGAAGUCCAUCAACUUGAAAUUUCAUGUCCCAAACAUAUUUUGGUGACUUGAAUGGUUCUGUAUACAUUUUAUAAAUUUUGCUACAUCUAUAGUUAGUUUUAGCCUAGACUAUGUUUUGCAAUAUUUUAGCAUUAUUUUGUGACAUAUGCAAAUGAGGCCUUUUGUUAAAAUCUUGAAAAGGAAUUGGGCCUUUAAUCAUUGGGCCCAUACAAUAAAUAACAAACUUUAUUCAUAAAAGAAAAACAAAAUAUAGAAUAGAGGCAAGUACGAGUUGUUUAUUUAAUUCGAGGUGGUGGUUUGGGGCAUAGGGUUUCCCGUUCGUCCACUUUGCCGUCUUCAACGCGACUGUCUUCCGUUUCGGAAUGGCACUUUAGAAACCGAAUGUCCGUCCUUUGUUCGUCCUCGGAAAUUUAGGAACUUCUUCACUCCACUAAAAGAGGUAUUUUCUGGCUUCUCCUCCCAAAAUUCAGAUUCUCUUUACCAUCAAAAUAGGGUUUGCUUUGUUCUUGAUUGUGAAAUCAAAAGUGGGCCUCUUCUGUUGACUUCUCUUGUGUGUAGUCAGCGACCACUAGAAUAAAUGCAUUUUCUCUUGUUUUUCUUUUCCUCCUUUUUCCUGAAGCUUGCGGUUGAGCUAAGGGAUUUGUACAGUACGGUCUUGGGUUGGAACGAGGGUUUGAAGAAAGACAAGUGGGGUUUUGAUUUGGCAUGCCAGGCCUGGAUAUUCUCUAAUUUUACUAUUUAUAUAAUGACCCAUUUCUCUAUAUUAUAGACGCCGUCUUUUGCUGGAAUCUAUUUCCAUUUUUAAAGGCGUUCUUAGAAUCUAAUCGUUUCGCGCUAUUUUUGCAUUUUUUAAGAAUUCAAGUGUACGGAUCUACUAUUACAUGUUUAGGUAAAUGGAAAACGCAAAUGGGUGGUGUCUCUUUUACUGUUUUGAGGACCUAAGUGACUUCAUGAGUGUGUCCUGUUGCCCGAGUGUUAAUGCCAACUUCAACUUCGUCAUAGAGAAAUUAUAGCUGGGAUGGGUCUGGGAUCAGCUUGUUUGCUUCUAUACUCGUCGCACCAGUUAUGUUUGUGGAAAACAUGUUGGAAUUUAUAUUUGCUUUGUUUGUUUUUCGAAGUGCUGAAGUUGCGGUUUACAUAAUUUAAUUUAGGAAUCACUUACUAUGGAGUACGGCUAGCGAAUGUAAAAUCAAACAUUUGUGUUCGUAGAAACUUUGUUCGUAUAAGUAUUUGUCCAAAUUAGGGCCCGUCACCAUUUGAUGAUACGUGUAUGUUUUCAAUGAGCAUUGGGUGGGAGCAAUGGACUUUCCUCCAAUUGGGCAUGAAUGACUUAGAUUUGUUGUAAUUAUCCGUACCGCCAGUAGUAGAAACUCGGAAUAGUACAAGUGAACAGUUUGGAACUUGAGUUAUUUCAUAGCAUCACACCCUAUACAUUUGAGCUCAUAAUGGUGCCUUGUAAUUCAUAAGUUCCUCUGCAGCUGAAGAAUUAGUGUGUUGUUGGGCCCAUUAUAGAAAUUGAACAAUGAAACUUCUUGAGCUUUUCGUACACGUUUGUUUGUUUAACACACACAAGUGCUCUGUAGCCAUGAUGGGCCUUGAGAAUUCUGUCUACGGAUUUUGCUUUCUUUAUAAAUUUGGUUGUUUAUAGUACACAUGAAAAUUUGAAUAAUCUUUUAAUGCUGACAGGUUUUUUGUGGCCUAUCCAAUUUGUUCAGUCCAAUCGAAACAAUUCUUGGAUGCCUAAAUUAGAAAAACUACAAACAAGACGGCCUGGUUCUUUAUCUGUGGCUGAGACUCUUGCUAAAUGGAAAGAUUACAAUGAUCACCUUGAUUCAUGUACUGAUGAGCCAAAACUUACUCGUAGAGUUCCAGCCAAGGGAUCGAAGAAGGGCUGCAUGAAAGGUAAGGGAGGGCCAGAGAAUAUGCGAUGUAAUUACAGAGGAGUUAGGCAAAGGACAUGGGGGAAGUGGGUUGCAGAAAUUCGAGCACCGAAUAGAGGAAGUCGGCUCUGGUUGGGUACAUUUCCAACUGCGAUUGAUGCUGCACUUGCUUAUGAUGAAGCUGCAAGGGCCAUGUAUGGCACUUUAGCUCGCCUCAAUUUUCCCAAUGUCUCAAUUCCAACCUUGCUAAAAGGAAAAGAAUUAUCAAGGAAGGAUUCUCGUGAUGAAAUCAAAAGGCCUUCACUCUCUUUUUUAGGAUCAACUUCACUUAGUCUGAGUUCUGAAUCAACAAUAACAUCAGAUCUGUCUGAGGAUUGUGCAGUUGAAGAUGUCUAGCCAGCUAUAACCUUUGAUCAUUGUAAAGUUUGUGAAUUGGGGAAUCGAAACCAGGGACCGAUUUUUUAAAAAAAUUAAUGUAAUUGCCCUUCUGUGCACGAAUCUGGAAAUAGGGUUGAUUGUAAUAUUAUUUUUCCUUGUUUAUCACAAGUACAAUAGAUGAAAUUCACUGGAAAUUUUCUAAUUGAAACAUUCUUCGUGAGAGGUUAGAUGUAUUCAAGUAUAGUUUGAAAUCUGUUACAUGUCUGAUGUCUAAUCGUCCAUGUAGGUGUUUUGUGUUUAAUUUGUUUUAGUGGUUGAUAUUUCAAUACCAAGCAGUCCAUCAAAUUUUACUCUGAGGCCAAGAAUUGGAGCAUAUGUGGGAAGACGAUUUCAUACUGGAGAUAAGCUUCUUGGCACUCAACUGUGCCAGUGAGUUUAUAUGCUAUGAUUAAGAAAGAAAUCACUUCAAGAUAAAAAAUAUGUAUUAAAAAAAAAUAAAAAAAAAUAAAAAAAAAUAAACUCACUUAGAACAUGUUUCUGGGGUGGGGGUGGGUGGGAUAUUGUCGUUGUGCAAGAAAUUGAUGAAUAUCUGGAGAUUGGGAACCUUUGGCUAAUAUGCAGCUUGCGUCCACAAAGCCAGACAGUGUGGGGUUCGUAGUUAAUAUAAUGAUUAACUUAGUUCAACUGAAAUCUCUGUACCAUAUGAAGUUGUCCUAAGUAUUAUCUUCUCAACUUGUUUGUUUGCACAUGGGCUAACUGACAUGUUUGAGAUUCUAAAAUAACUCAGAUAUUUUUUAUUGUUUAAAAUAAACUUUAAUAGUGUAGAAAAUGCUGUUUUGAAGUGUAGAUUUUGAGUAAUUAGAGUAGUAAAAUGGUUUUUAACCGUCCUAAAAAUCACUGGAGCUUGUAUGUCAACAUUUUCAGCUUAUUUCCGUGCUUAAAAAUCACUGGAGCUUGCAAGUGCUCAACCUAAGGGCAAAUGACUGAUUUAUACAAUAAAGGUGUUUUGCCCAAGGUGUUGUGAGGUUCUUUGAUCCAAACCAAACAACUUCAUGUGCCUCCUUAUUUCAACUUACAUUUUACCACUCAUAUCUCCCAUGUCUAACCAAUCUCAAUAGACUUCAACCCAAUAACUAAUAUUAGGAUCAAAUCAACGUUUUCAAUUGUGUUUGGUGACAUAUUAAAAAAUUAGGUCUACAUAUUUAUAAAUCAUAAAACUAGUCUUAUCCACUCAGAUUUAGUUGACAAUUAGCUAAUACAAUUUAUGUUUAAAAAUUCGUUAAAUUGCAAUUUAAAUUCAAUAUUUGGAGAAAGUUAGAGUUUAAUCUAUAGUUUGAUAAAAUCUUAUAUAGAGUCUAUAUUACAUUAAAAAAUAAAUUUAAUUUAUAACGUGACAUUAUUUUUUAAAAAUGUUUUUAUAUGUAUAUAAUAUAGGAUAAUUUUUAUAAAUAUAACAAAACACUAAAAUAUUUAAGAUUUGCGUAACAAAAUCAAAAAGUCGCUUAAACCGGUCAUUUUCUUUAAAUAUUUCCGGUUUAUCUUGCUAUUUUCCUUUUUCUUACUAUCAUAUUUCUUCUCUUCCUUUGCAAUUUUUCUUUCUUUUAUAUAUUUUUAAAUAACAAUCCUCUUGCAUUUUUAUCGCGUACCAAAUAUAAAUUGGUACACGAUCUAAACAAAAAUCAUUCGAUAUUUGUUUAGACUUGGUGUACCAAAUCUAACAAAUAAAUCGUUCGAAUCUUGGUAUACGAUCGUUUAAAUUUAGUAAAGAAUCUUGAAAAUCGAACAAAAAUGUAGAGUAAUAAAAAAAAAGAAAAGUAAGAUGUUCUAAAAUGAGGCCUAGAAUCCAAUGACAGAAACAUUAAAUACAAAUUAAGGCAGGCCACUAAAUUUGAUAGUUACAGAAGAUAAAAGGCAAAGAAGACGUAAGCCAUUAAGUUUUGUAGGAGAAAACUUUUAAGAUUAAAAUAGUAGUACUGUAUCAAAUAAUAUUCAACCAUACAAUAACGAACGUACCUAGUACAUUAAAGUAGAAGAAUUUUCAUUUCAUACUUUGACCUCUGCAGAUCAUAGUUUCUAAUUAAAAACAUAUUGUCAAAAGAAAAAAAGAAGAAGACUUCCAAGGAGGGAUGCAGUAAGCUUGCAGUGUUGGAGAAUUGACCUGCUCUCUCCGUUUAUGUACUAUGUCUCUAUAUAUUGAAAGCUUACAUAAAUGUCUCACCUGUUGGCACUUGGCAAGUUCCAUUUCACUGUUUCUACAAUUUAUUUCAACUCCAUUAUUAUUUACAACUACACCCACUUUUUAGGUGUUAAAUUUAGAUUAAUUAUCAUAACUUUGAUUAAAAAACCACCAAUUAAACCUUGAAUAAAUUAAUUUCAAAGCUGAGACCUUUCUAAAUCACCAACUCUUCUUUAUUAACGAACCCCAUAAAUUUAUUGCCACUAUCAGCCCAUCUACCACCUAGAACAAAAAGCAAGCAUUUUGAUCACCCCCUUUGACUUUAAAACAAACUGCUAAAAGUAUAUUUUGUUUUACCUUUCCAUAUUAUAAUCUUGAGAGAAACAAAAGAGUUCAGUUCAGCUAUCAAUUUCUCUCUAUAUAUAACCCUUUCCCAUUUCAUCCCGCUGUCCACUGCUAGCAGCUUUUUCCCUCUCCCAAGUUUACAUUUUCAAAAGAAAAAAAAUUCCAAUUCCAAUUCCAAUUCCAAUUCAGAUUCAAAAUCUAUGGCAGCUGUGGUUCGACUUGCUUUGAUGUCUCUGAUUCUUGCUGGGAUGUUUUUUAUUCAACUAACGGCUGCGAAUGUCAAGGAGGCACCAAUGGUAGACACUGCGUUGUUUUUCGGGUCUAAAAUUGGAAAGGAAGAGGCAGUUCAAGGGCCGGUAGUGGCUGAAGGUCCUGCAAUCAGACGGCUGGGCAAGCAUCAUUUUCACACCUCGGUUGCCGGCGGUCGGGUGCUCAUCGGUAGCCUUGCUACUGCUGUGUUUGCUAUUGUGUUUUGCUACAUAAGGGUGACUAGAAAGCCUAACCAUGUCAACUAGUCGAACUCUUAGUUUCUGUUUCCACUUUUUCUUUACUGAUUAUGAGUACGUGUGAGAGUGAUUCUUGAAUGUUUUAUAAUCAUUUUUUGUGUCAUAAAGUGUUCUAAACCUAUAGUUUUUGAAUGAAUAGAAGCAAGUGUUAAGAGUGAUCUUGAGCAUACUUAAAGAGAUCAUUUUAACUAUUUAAAAAUCACUCUAAAAGCUAUUCUUUUUUCCUCUGUCUAUAUAUUAAUAUUAAUUGAUUAAUAGUAUUCGAUUGACUUCUUUUCUUCAUGCAAGAUUGCCAUUUUUUAUUUCAUCCUAUAUAAAUUCCCAGAAAAGCAGACAAAGAGUUUGAGUCGUUCUAUUAUGCAAUACUCAUCUAUGGAAAAUAUAUUUUCCUCCAUUAUAUUGUAAUUUAUGUUACUAACGCUAUUUUGUUUAUGAGUAUUGAAUAAUAAUUAAGAAAAAAAAAAAAAGAGAACACUCAACACCGAAGAAAAUUUCAUUGGUUUCUCAUUAUCUUCUUAAUACCAAAAGCAUAAAUAUAAUGGUUGAGAAUAUGCAUAUAAUAAAUCUCUAUAACAUGAUAUCAUUUCUUGGUUAUUACUUUGGUCAAUUUCAUCUUUAUUUGAAUAAGCAUCGUAUACAAAUAUAAUAACUUCGAAUUUAGAGGUUCAUCCUCCCAUCCUUCCAUCAUCCCACGUAUUAUUUCAUUCAGAUUUUUAAUUAAAUUGAAAAAAAAUGGAUUAGAUAAAAUUAAAAUUUGGGAAUAAGUGACAAUGUUGUUAGUUUUUUUUGUAGGACCUUGUGAGCUUUCGACUACAACCUCUAGGACGUUAAUGUGUUAUUAUCAUAAUUUGGCCCAACUCAUUAAUGUCUUUGAUUCAUUUAAAUCAAUUAUAAACCAUGUAGGGAUUCUAUGGCACCCCAAUGUGAUCUUUGUAGGGUAAAUUGCACGUAUAUAUAUAUAUAUAUUUAUAUAUAUAUAGCCUAUUAAAGGUUACAUAUUAAUGAAAUAAUCAUGAAGAACAUAUAAAACACAAAUUUUAGUGUUCAUUAAUUGUUAUUAUUAAUCACCAGUAUAGUACUCAAGUAUAAUCCAUUACAAACCACUUUUGGUCCUAAAUCGAUAAAUAAUAAUUAAAAAAAAAAAUACAUGAACUCAAUAACUUACCCACAAAAAAGUAUAUUCCAUGUCCAAAUUGUUACAAAAACUGAAAUUAUGGAUCUUGUUACAAAUAAUGAUUACUUACUAAAAUUGUAACAGUCUAAAUUUAAAUUCAUUUUCAUCUAGAAUAUAUAUUUCUUUCAUUUGAAUUUGAAGCAACAACUUCGACCCGACCCGACCCAAGUUUGAAACGACACUAAUAAACUUAUAACGACACAACUCUUUAUAUUAAACUGAGGAGAUUAUUUGAAAUAAAUAACAAUUUUUGCAUUUAAAAAAAAGAAAAAAAACUAAACCUUUAAUAAAUGAUGUCGAACAUACAUCCAUAAAUCAUGAUCUGACAAAGUAAGAAAAAUACUAUAUAAUAUAAUCCUAAUUUGGGCUUUAUCUAAAUUUUAAAGAAAAUAAUAUAAAAUAAUUAAAUACAUUGAAUAAAACAGUUAAAGUCAAAUACUUAAAAUAUAAAACAUAAAAAAGAAGCAAAACUAAAUCCCUAUAUGACAUAUCAUGAGCCUUCCUGUCUCUCACCAACCUUUUUUGGCUUGAAAUAUUAAACAUAGAAAAGAAACAAGUAUAAGCAUAUACUUAGUAUGAACCUUGAACCUUAGAAGAAAACUUAAGUACUUUGAAGUGAUGAGAAGUUUAAGUAUUAAAGGUAUUUAAAGAUAAAAAGUGUCAUAAAAUAUAUGUCGUAGUUAUUGGAAAAGAGGAAAAUUUUGGCUAAGUGUUGAGACUUAAGAGUAAGGUGUUUAGAGGUUAUGUUGAUGUUAUGUAGGUGGUCAAAACAAUGGAAAUAACCUCUAAAUGAGUGUCACUAGGCGUUUUGGAGGUUAUCUUGCUUGUGCUUUGGGUGGUUAAAAGAAGGAAGAAAAUCUCUAAAGAGGUUAGUAGGUGUUUAGGCUUGGCAAAGUGACUGAGGCAUGCAGGAAAGUCAUUAGGUGAGAAGAGAACCUAGAACCUUAGAGUGUAUGUCACACCCUGUCUCUCACAACAUCCUUGCUUAGUAUGCGAGACGCGACGCGACUUGAGUAUCUUGAUAUGAUGCACGCCAACACACUCAUCUUGAGGUUCUUAAGCUUUGCUUACUCGCCUGACUUCUUACUUUAGACUUAAGAAAUAUACUUUAGGCGAUAUAAACAACUUAACAAACAGAAAUAAACCAACUCAUACUUUCUUAAUCUUUGUCCAAAAGCUUGCAACGACUCUACAUACAAACAAAUAAAAACAACAAAUUUAAACUUAUGCUAAAACGCCUUGGCAUUGGCAGGCUUCUCGCUUAGCAAGCCCUUCCAACCUUCCUUACCUUGGCUUAAAUGUCUGCUUCUUAGAAGAUGAGAUUUAAAACUAUCAGUCUACAAAACUCAGUGAGGUCUUAAGAAAAUCUUUUGACAAUACCUUUACAAAUAUCAUUCAAUAUGAGAUAGAAAUAUUAUUUCGCAUAGUACAUCAUUUCACAUAACAUACAUUAGUUACCAAACAUUUCUUUUGCCGAGGAUCCCAAAUUGUUCUCUAUGCUAGGUCACAUAACUUCGCAUUUAGACUACUGUAACAACAACAUCUGAGAGCAAAUAGAUUCAUCUUUGUUGUUCAGGCUGCUAAGUUUAAUAUGCUCCUUUCAACAUAUUAACUAAUAUCUCAUCACUGUAUAGCCACGUACACCCCACGAUGGUUAUUACUAUUUAUGUGCACAUAAAAGUUUACUUAUUUAAAAGGAAGUAAUUAAUGGUUUAAACACCAUUUUAUAAUAAUAAUACAUUGAAACACAAUAAACAUCCUUUAGAACAUAAGCAUUUUUCAUAUAAAUUUCGUUUAGAAAACUUUUAAACUGAAAUAAUGGAUUCAAAUCAUCAAAUAAUUAAAAGAAAACUGGAAAUCUUUUGAACACUUUAAAGAAAAACACUCAAAAACUUAGCCUUAAACCCAAAAUUCUUCUCUUCUUAUUCUCACAUAGUAAUUAAGCAGCACUUUUGCUCUCAAGUCAUUUAGAAACAAUGUCUUAAAUGCCCCUACUAAGUGAAACAAUUGAAUCUUAAAUAUAAUUAUUCAAGAAACCACAAAUACCCUAUAAUUAAAAUCAAUCUGCCAAUACACAAUGAAUAACUAUCAUUGUCAAAGCUCCACAUAAUUUCUACCGCCGUUUCAUAUCUUCUUCAAAUUGUGCGAGUUUAGGCAUAAACGAAAUGUUGUAUAUAUAUUUGUCAUUAUUAUAAGGGAGGUUGCUCCAAUCUUGUCAAGCAACAAAAUAGCGAAUUUAGUUAAGAUUUACCAAUUUUAGAUGUUGUUUGCAAAAUAUCUUGUUUCAUCUUUUGAGCUAUGCAUAUGAAUUAUUAUAUACUAGAGAAUGAUACUAUAUCUUGAUGACCAUUUUUUUUUAUCCUUUUGUGUGUCCAAAAUCUGUCGUCUAUAACAUACAUCAUUCAUACUCGACAUAUACUAUAUUUGGAAAAUCUUAAUUCUAUUAGUUACAUUAUAAAGUUUGGUUAGUUAAACAACUUUAAUUAUGAUUGAAUGACACUAUUAAGGAAAUUGUUUUUAUUGUUAGUUUUGCAACAAAUACAUCUAAAUGUUAAGUCCUUUGUAUUAGAAAAAUAUAUGUUUAUAUGAGCAAAUAAAUAUUAAUAUUUGAAUACGUAAUCUUGUUAUAAAACAGAUAAUUUAUCACACUAUUUAAAAGCAUAAAUUACAAUGUAAUUGUGUCAGCAACAUAUGUUAUACAUUCUGUCAAAUAUUGUGGAAGUAAUUUGAAAAGAAUAAUAUUGUCACGUAGUAUGGACAAAUACAUAGUAAAUCUACACAAAAUCAACGUAAUCGAACCUGGUCAAUUUAAUCCAUAAAUAGAAUUUUGUUAAAUAAAGAAAAAAAAAAUAAAAAAUAAAACAAAUGGAACAAAUUAAAUAUAUUCAAAUUGAUACUUUUCUUAAACAAAUAUUUUUAGGUAGAUUAAUGAGAUAUAUUUAUUUACUAACCAUAAAAAUAUUUGUAAGGAGCUCAACCAAAUAUUUUGGAUUAAAUCAAAUUUAUUAAUUGUUUUUGUUAAUAAAUAAAUAAAUUUGAAAAUGGUCAAAAACAAAUUAAAACUAAAAAAAUAAUUUUCUAUAUGAAAGCAAAUGGGUUGUUAUGAAAAAAAUAGGGAAACCAAUAAAAUUUCAAUUACAAGAUUUUUAAUAAAAGAAGUGAAUAAUUUUAAAAAAGUUUAAAAGGUAGUUCUAAAAUUUUGAAUUUAUGUUUUGAUAGGAUAUAAUGGUUGAAAAGAAUUUAAAAUGGAUAUAAAAUGUAAAUUGAAAUUUAGAUAAGAAUAAAUAUUAUAUAGAAGUUGAUGAAAUGGUGAAUGCUACAAAUAGGGUUAAAUGGAGUUUGUUAUCCAAUAUUUUGCAUUGUGGCUGUUAUGUCUAAGAAAAGGAAAAAAAGUAGGGGAGGAUGGGAAUUUCAAAACUCAAACAUCUACUUCCACUGGUAUAUAUAUAGAGAGAAAGAAGUUGGAAAAGAAGUUGGAAAGGAAGUUGGAAGAAGUGUGGAAUUAUUAGGAAUGUGACGAGUGAAAGAAAAAUAACGAACUGAAACCACAUCCUCGAUUGGCUGAGAUUCAGUAAUGCUUUGAAAAGUUCAAACCCUACAAAUCUUACUCCUCCACUCCCUCCUUAAUUAAUCAAAUUAAUAACUAAUUAACCCAAUUCCAAUUCCAAUUCCCAUGGAGACCAGAUCCGCCCGAAGACGGAGGCUCUCUAUUACCAACUCCCAUCUCCACAAUGAUACCUCCCUCGCCCUUGCCGUCGACUACAUCAGCCACCUCCCCGACGCCCUCCUCCACCACAUCCUCUCUUCACUCCCCAUCAAAACCGCUGCCCAAUCCGCCACUCUCUCCUCCCGUUGGCGCUUUCUCUGGUUUACUCUCCCCGACCUCGACUUCUCAACAACCUCUUCUAUUUCCGACCUGAUCAUCACUCGCAUUCUCAACUCCCGACCCCACCAUUCCAACGUCCGCCUCCUCCGCUUCUCCGCCACUUUAACCUUCUCCCGUCUCAACGCCCUCUUCCGCACCGCCAUUCGCCACCAAAUUCAACAACUCCACCUCCACGUCGCCACCAACGAUUACUUCAACUUCCCCCGCUGUGUAAUCUCCAGUGAUUCCUUGAGAGUUUUCAAUCUCCGAUCCACCCAUCCCGGUUUCCGUCUCCCUCCCCCUUCCCUCAUGGUAAGUGGCUUCCGAUCCUUGAAUUCCCUGUCCCUGGCUCGUAUGGUGUUUCAUGAUCGACCCUCAUUGGUGGACUUGUUCACCGAAACGUCUUUCCCUGUUCUUAAGAAACUCAAUUUAGAGAGGUGUUUUGGGCUUGAGCAUUUGAGUGUUAAGUGUCCUGUUCUCGAGGAUUUUAGUCUCCAGUUGUGUUUCCAGCUUCAGGGGUUUGAUGUUUUCGGAGCCAAAUUACAGAGUAUCAAAGUUUCUAAUUGUUUUGAUGCUUACACUACUCUUACUUGGGUUAAAAUUGUUGCUCCCAAUCUCAAUACUCUGCAUUGGAUUUACAAUGCUUUAACUGAUGAAAUUAAUAUCCAUAAUUUUACGUCUACUCUCAAUCAAGCGUCUCUGAGUCUACUUCCUCAACAUUUUGUUACCAACAAACUUCACUCUGUUUCAGCUCUUCUCUCUGCUAUUUCCCCUGCUCAUUCUUUAGCGCUUGAUAGUUUGUGCGUUGAUGUAAGUUCCAUUUUGUUCAUCUAUUAUACUUCUUCAGUUUGUUCUUUAUUAAAAUAUUUUAUUCAAUUCAAAUAUGGAUUGCAGAUUGUAUCAAGCCCUACUUACUUCGCACAUUAUUUCCCUCCAUUGAACAAUGUAAACUGUUUGGAACUGAGUACAGCCUUCCGAAAGCAGAAUGGUCCAGGGUUAGCUAAUAUAUUCAGAUCCUGUUCUCUUCUUCAUACGCUUACUAUCAAAAUCGUCGACGGUGGCAACAUUGGAAGGAAGGUAAUAAUUAAUAUUAUUAUUCAUUAAUUAAGUUCAAACAUAAUUAUCAUUUGUCGUUCAUUGUUUUUCUUAUUAUUGUUUGUGUUUAGGAUUGGCGUAGGGAUAAAUGGGAAAGGAGUGCAUCGGAGGAAGAACAAUUUUGGGAAACCCAAAUUGAGCCACUCGAAUCUUUUCUUCUUCAUCUUAAGAUUGUGAAAAUUGAAGGGUUUAUGGACUGCUUGAGUGAGGUCAGCCUCACUCGAUUUUUGCUAAAGCAUGGCUCUGCAUUGCAACAACUCACUCUCUUGACCACGAAAACAAAACAUAGAGAUUCUCUUAUUAGACGACGAGAAAUUAAGUCUCAAAUCAUGGCUUUCCCUCGUGCUUCUUCUCUUGUUAAACUUCAAUAUUGUUGACAACCACACAUUUGUUUUAACAUGUUCAUGACCUUUAUAAAAAAAAAAAAAAAAAAAAAAAAACUCACAAUUUUAUUCAUUCUUUUCUUUACGUCUAUAUUGAAUGACUUUCAUUUCUUUUGAGUACUUACAGAAUCAUUUCAAACCAGUCUUUUAACUUAGUUCUUGGUGGACCAUUCAAUUUGACGGGGAACUUAAUUAAGACAUUGACUAAAAUGAUUGAACACGACACACAAAUUCAAAAGCUUUAUGGAAGCCACAUGAUUGAUAACAUAGUCCAUGAGUUUGUUAAAAGUCCCAUUCUCAGAAAUCUUUUAUCUCCAAAGGACCAAUUGAUUUAACUGAGACUCUUCCAAUUGGUUUAAUAGUUUGACUUUGCGGGCAGAUCUCGGGCAUAAUCCUUCUCAUUCUAUUGGAACAGAUUGACCUACUUCAAAAGGUCUCCUCUACCCGGGUGAAUUGGGACCUCCGAUUGGUGAACCAGUCCUAUGAGUGGGUUGAGACCACCUUUAAGUAGGCCUGCCCCAGGCCCGAAGGUUGGAGUUUACGGCCUCUGCCUCCUUUGAUUCACAUCCUUCCUCCCACGAAUACAAAAGGACUUGGGAGUGAAAAUGAGUUCUAUCCUAUACAUUUUUUUCAUUAGUUCUUUUGCUUGUCUUUUAAUUAGAUAGGGAAAACCGAGAAACUAUGAUUUUGCUUCUUCCAUUGUUGGACAACGUUUUUCAAACACCAAAGGAGGAAUAGUACUGGUGGUUUCCUUUAGGCUAAUUUCCCAAUUUAUCACAUAGUGGCUUCGAAUUGUGUGAAGGAAAGUUUGCAAAAAAAAAAAACAAAAACAAAAAAUUUAUAAUAAUAGAGUUCAUGUCACCUAAUUACAAAAAUAACAAAUUUAAAACUCGAUUACGUUUGAAUUACUGUCAUCGGAGAAAAUCACCAUAUGACAUUAGGUUUUUAGAAGCUUUCGUUACAUCCUUCUGAAGCUCAACUUGAUCUACCUUGUCGGAAUGAUCUAUGUGAAGAAACCCUUUUCCUGUAUACGAAGUUGAAUUGCAGGGCAUUGUUCUUGAAUCCCUUGCCUGCUCGAUACCAAUAAAGCCCUACAAAAUCAUAUCAUAAAAGAUCUAUAAAUAUAAGAAAACGAAUUAAUUAAAAAAGCACUUAUUUAGAAAGUGUACCUGCAUAUGUACGUUGGGACAACGAGCUUGCAUUCUUGUUCUUAUUGGACAUACACAAGAUUAACCAGAUGUGAUUUCAGAAGUGGAUGUAUGGGGAAAUCCAUGAAUAAUGUUCCUAUCAAGAGGCAAAAAUUCAAAACAUGCCACGGAAGGGAAAUGAGGGUAUGUAAGUAAGAGACUUGAUUUGGAUUACGCAAGGGGUUUAGAUUAGUACUAAAGUGGCACUCUGAAGAAGCAUAGGUGAAAGAAACGAUAGGGGGAGGGAAUUAGUACUCUAAAGUUGGUAUGUAUUGUGACACACAGGUACCUGUCGCAUGUCACAAACAACAUCAAUAUAAUAUGCUUUUGGUCACAACGUCCUAAUUGUAUUAUAUCUCCCCAACUUUCUUUUCUAGACUCAUAGUCCAUAAAAUCAGCAAGCAAUGGAUCAGGUUUGAGAAUGAUGAUCACAGAUUGUUUGACCAAUGGGUCAGAGAUUUGAAGGUCAUUCAUAUAGGGUUCCUGCAUGUUCUGAUAUCAUUGCCCAAAAGCUUCUGUGCAUUUCCUUUGCCUUUAUCCAAUCCUUCAAUAAAUUGGUUCAUCACAGCCAUCACAAGGGAAGUAAAAUUAAGUAAUCUUCUCUUCAUAUCUUCUUUGGACAUGUUAAUUGUUAAUUAGGCAUUCCAACAUCACACUUUUUAAUUUUUAUGCUUGUUUAUGAUAUAUAUUUAAUAAUUUAUUCAAGUUAUUCCACAGGAAUUAGCACCAAAUUAAUGACUAAACUAAUUUAACCUAUUGUUGUAUAUAUUUUUAAGUGCUAACUUUACACACACGUUACUCAAGAUUUUUUUCUAAUUACCUUUCAAUUAAUACGAUUUUCUUUUCCAGUUUAACAUAGGAAGCAUUUUUCUGUUUAUUUUUUGUUCUUCUGAUGCAUCCAUGGUUAUAUUUUAAGCAUAUAGGUGUUAAGGGGUUAUUUGAAAAAAGGAUAUAUUUUAAAAAAGAAUUAGGAAAAAGGGGUGAUAUGAAAAGUAUUUAGGAAAAUGGGGUGGAAAUUUUGGCAAGGGAAACUCUUUUUUUUUUUUUUUUAAUUUAACUGUAUUCUCUCUCCGUUAAUUGCGUUUAUUCUUUCUUUUUUUUAUAUAUAUCUUUCCAUUAUUUCUCUCUCUCUACCCCGUUAUUUCUUUUUCCUUUUAUAUCUUUCCAGUGUUACUUAAUAACUUUUAUUUUAUUUAUUUAUUAUUGUUAUUUUUUGUUUUAAAUAAAUCCAGCCUUUUCUUUUCUAUUUUUCUACUAUUACUUAAUAAAUUCUUAAUUAUUAUUCGUUGUUUCAACCUAAUUUUCAAAAUCAAUACUCAACAUUCUCGGUUGAUCAUUUUAUCAAUACUCUCAUGAUGUCAACAUCGACGAGAUUCGACUUCUUUCCGACUAACCAUGACACGUUAAACAUGGAGGAAUAUAUUCGACUUCUUUCCGACUAACCAUGACACGUUAAACAUAGAGGAAUAUCAAACCUCACAAUUUCAUAUAAGAUGGGACAAUCAACAAAUAUAAGAGAUCGUGAUGAUCGUGGACACUACGUGAAUAUCUUAUUUGAAUUUAAUAAGUAAUAUUUAAUCAGUAUUUUAUUCAAAUCUUAUUUGAAUUAAUAUCUCUUCGGUAUCUUAUAGAUUUAUAUUGAUAUAAUUAAUUAAAUCAUAUUUAAUUAAUAUUUAUAGAUUUAUAUUGAUAUAAUUAAUUAAAUUAUAUUUAUAUUAAUAUUUCAUUCAAAUCCGAAGAAAUAUUUCUUUAAUAUCUUAUAGAUUUAUACUAAUAUAAUUAUUUCAUUCAAAUCUUAUUUAAAUGAAUAUCUCUCUAAUAUUUUAUAGAUUUAAUUAAUUAAAACUAAACUAUUAAUUAAUUCUUCAACUAAUUAAUAGCUAAAUUAAACAUCUUAUAUUUAACUUAAAUUAAAUUUGAAUCAUAUUCAAAUAUAAGUUUAUGUCAUAACCAAUAAUUUUAAUAUCAAUCCAAUUCACAUUCACAUUAAAUUAAUGUUUAAACUCAUUCAAAUAUUUUCUCUAUCAUAAAUUAAUUUUGAAUUAUACCCAAAAUUAAAUUUAUAGAAUAAAGUUUGAUAAACUUUAUAUUAUAAUGUAUCACUAUACAUUAUACUAAUUCUCAAAAUAAAUUUUAAAUUUUAAAUUACAACCAAUAUAAAUAAAUCUCAUUACCCUUUACGAACUAGGAAGGGGAUCUAAUAGAGCUAGAGAUAAGAAACUAUGACAAUCUGAGAUUAAUGGGCUAAAGAGGUAUUUUAAAAAAUAGCAAAAUAAAUUAAAAUAUUUACAAGGUAUAACAAAAUUUUGAAUUCUAUCACUAAUAGUUUUCUAUCACUAUAGCAUAUCAAUGACAGAAUUUGUUAUAGAUUGUAGGUAUUUUGUAAAAUUUGCUCUUUUUAAAAAUUCUUUUUGGCUAAACUCAUUAACCACAUUAAUCAAUAUUCGUUAACUGUGUGUACAUUUUACUAAAGACUGAUAGUUAAACUCUUUUCAUUGUAGAUAUAUUUAUGUAUCCAUGGAUAUAGACCAAUAAUAGUAAGUCAGUCCUUCACGAGUGUUCGUAACACUAGCUGGAUCAAUUUACCUUUUUGCCCCCAGGUUACCUCUAAUCCUUAAAUAUCAAUGCUUCUCUAAUGAACAACUUGUUUAUGGUCCUACCAUUAAACAUAAACCUUUAUCGUGCUAUAGAGAAUGUAUGACCCUUUGUUCAACUUUGGAUACACCAUUUAAGGGACACUCAUCUACUUACCCUAAAAUAGGGAAUGAGUGAAUUUCAUCUUGUGUAAUUAUGUUUCCAGCUCUCCACUCGGUUUUGUCCUCAAAAUGAUAAGCUUAUUAAGUUGGCGAUCUGGCCACUCUCACCCGUACAAAUCAAAGGACAAUCCCUCGCGAAUAGGAGUUCAUAAUACACGUAGGAUUAAGACUAAGUUACCUAUGUUAUUCUAGUGAAAUAGAAACCUAACUAGUUAACAGAGUUAUAUCUAGUGGUUAUUAUUUCGUAGUCCGAUCUUAUGUAAUCUUAUUGCAUAUGAUACUCUCACUCACAUAUCAACUACAUGAACGCAUUGGAUAAUUGAGUUUGUAUCAAAUACAAAGUGAGUCGCAUCCAUAGUAUCACCAAGAUAAGGUAUCUAACAUUAUCCCUAUACUAGAAACCCUUUAAACUGAUCUCUAACAUUGAUCUUUGUGUGUCUCUACAUACCGUUCAAGACUCACUAACAGAGCUUAAGAUGUUAGUUUAUUGAAUUUGGGUUAUUAAGACAAAACUAAUAAUAUAGUCAAUAACAAUUAUUACAAUAAUAACACUUUAUUAAUAAAUGUAAAUGAAUUAUAUUUUAAAUCUACGAGUUUUUGGACAUAAAUCGCAACAGAUUGGAUUAUAUGUUUAUGGAUUGUUAUGAUUGAUGUUGCAUGUCAUGUUUAUGUUGACUUCUACAUUGUUCUUCGUGUAUGUUAAUUUUUGCUAUUAGAAUGUGUACCUACAUGAUUAUUGAAUGGUAGUUAAAAAAUAGUUUAAAAAGGGAGAACGUUGUAAGGUUUGCAAAAUUCUAAAAACAAACUAGCUAAUACAUUUUUUUUCUAAAAAUAAGCAUAUUAAUUCAUCCAUGUAUUCAUUGUUUUCAAUCCAGGUGAGGGCUAAAAGCACUUAUGAUCCAUUAGACUACAGACUACGAGCUCUCCACCACUACUUUUCAAAACCCUAUUUUAUUUCAUUUUCUUUGAAUGUUGAAAGACGGAAAAGUCCUCCAAAGAUGCAUAAAGGAUGGGCAGCCUGGCUACGCCUGCCGACACUCGCCCAAUAAGUUUCAUAUUUUGGUGUUGUUUUUUCUCCCCUCUUUUAUUACUGAAAAAUAAUACACUAAUAAGUUGUAAUUCCACUUUUCAACUUCUAAAGUAAAAGUUUAAGUAUUUUAACUUUUAAACUUAUACACUGCUACGAAUUGUAUUGAUUAUACAGUACGAGGGACCAUUGUUAUUGUUAUUAUGGAAAGUUUGAUCAUGGAACUUCAACUACCACCCUGCUUUGAACAGUAUUCAUAAUUUACCUUUAAAAAUAUGUUGAAACGUUUGAUUUGCAAAAAGACAUUGUAAGAAUGUGUCUAAAACUUACCAAGCACCAAAACAAAAUGUUGAAAUAUUAUUAUAAUCAAUGUUUGGAUGCAGAUUAUUAUAGUCUAUUUUGAUAAUCUACAUUUGAAGUGCAUACUACUAUAAUUAGUGUUAUUAUAAGCUGUGUUUGGAGUGCGCAUUAUUAUAACCUUAUUUUUUCACAUACAUGAAAUACACAUUUUUCUUAAAUUGAUUUUAUUAAAUAAUUUUAAUUAUGUUAUUCAUUUAAUAAAUUUAGCCUCAACAAAUAUUGUUCACUAUUCUUUUUCUUUUUCAUGCAUAUAUAUAUAUGGUACAUGAAAUAAAAAGAUGUUUUCAAAUAAUUUUAUUUCAUCUAUUAAUUGGGAUGUUCAUUUCAUAAAUUUAGCUUUAAUCUUACUUUUCAACUACUAUGUUUUUUUCAUACAUAUAUGAUACAGAAAAAAGCUUUGGACUUACAAAAUUCACAUCAUGAAUUAAGCUUCCAUUUUACUUUUUCACUAAUUUUUGUUUUGAUGCAUAUAUAUUUUUCAUGAAAUACAAAAUUUUUCUUCAAAUUAUUUUCAUUAAAUUGUUAAAUGACUUCUACACGGUAGCCGUCCUCGGUUUUACGUUGUACAUUUAACCAUUCUGCAAUAGCCUUCAAUUCGUCCUUCACAAAUUUUAUUGCAUUUCGAAUGAUGUGUCGACAGAAGAGAGGGGUUAUAAUGUAAUAUCAUGGCUUCUUAUAAUCAAAUAUUUUUAAGUUGGUAAUCAUUAAAGUUUAUUGAAAAAAAUGUUCAUUUUGAAAGGUGUAUAGAUUAAAAUAGAAUAAAUUCAACGUUUUGAGCAAAAAUAAGAUUUGAAUCGAUUAAUUAAUGUAACAAUUAAAUUUAAAGUUUAUCGAUAUUUAAAAUUGAAAAUUUUAAAAUGCACGUAGUUAGAUAAAGAAUUAGAGAGUUCAAUCAGGGUUAUAUUUUGUAAAUAGUUUGAAUAUUUUGUUAUUUUUAAAAAUGUCUCAUAUUAUUUUUUGAAAAGUCAAGAUAUAAUUUAGUGUGUUUGGAUUGUAUUUUCAAGUGAUUAAAUUAAAAAAUAAAUUAUUUUGAGAAAAGUUCAUGUGUUUGACAACUACCUAAAAUAGAUUUUUAAAAACUAAUUUUAUAGUACAAGUUAAUUAAUCUACCAAAUUUGUAUCAAACACUUAGACGAACAACUUCGAUUAUCCUUACCAACCCAUCUCUAACAAUUGUCUCCAUCAACUCUCAUCGGCCAACAUUCGAUUACCAUCUCAAACAACCAUCAUUAGUAAACCUCCAACAACUGUUCUUCAGAUCGUCACCAACCAUUUUUUUGUCUACCGUUUUUCCACACCUUCUUUUGGCUAACCUCUGACAACUGCUUUUUCACAAUUGUAACUAGCCAAACUUCGAAUUGGUCAUUUUCUCGUGAUUGCCACAAGACAACUAUCGACCACCAUCAACUAUUGUCUGCGAACCUCUCGUCACCAUUUUUCAAGCUACUACUUUUUUGUGAACUGCUAAUAAUCAACUUUCAUAUACUAUUUUUCCGCAACCGUUGUUGGCUGACCUCUGACAAUUUCUAUUCAACAACCAUUGUUGAUCAAUUGUUUGACGUUGCUACUAGCUAACCUUCGUCAGCUGCUUUUGGACAAUCGUGUUGCAUAACUUUUUUCGAACGUUUUCAAUGACUGUUGCUGACCAACUUUUGUCGAUCAUUGUUCGAUGAUAGUUGUCGGUAAACUUUCGUCGACCAUUUUUCGAUGACCCUUGCUGGAUAGCUUUCAUCAACUAUUUUCAAUGACUAUUGCUGGUGGACUUUCAUCUACAAUUUUUUGAAUAUAAUAGUUGUUGGCCAGUUAUCAAAGAUAGUUUGUGGUGAUUGUUGGUUGUCGACUUUUGUAGAUCUUUGUUCGUGAUCGUUGUCGACCAACUUUUGUAGAUUGUUUUUCAGUUAUCGUUGACGGUGAACUUGUGUUGACCAAUUUGGUAACUGUUGUCGACCAACUUUCAUUGAUGUCCAACUAUCGGUAAUAAUUUUCAGUGACCAUUGUCGAUUGUUAUUCGGUGACCAUUGUCGAUCAACUUUCUUUUAUCGUUUUUCGUGGUCAUUGCCUGUCAAAUUUUGUCGAUCAUUUUUCAACGACUGUUUUUCGAUAACUGUUUAUGGUUCACUUUCAUCUAUAGUUUUUCUUUAUUGCUAUUGGCAAACUACCAACAACCGUUUUUCGAGUAAUAUUCACUGUUUGACUUGCAAAGAUGUUGUUGCCAACCUCUGAUUAUCAUUUUACAAUGAUUAUUCUCGGUUACCUCCAACCGCCAGACUCGAUUAUCAUUAUCGAACUCAUAUCAAAAUCUCCACCAACAAAUUAUUUUAUUGUAAUUUGAAACUAUAUAAAAAAUACAUUUAGAAAAAAAAAUUACAAAGGCAGUGUUUUUUCUUAUAAAGAAUGUUUAAAAGAAAUAGUUUUGUUUGGAAAGCAUUAUUAUUCUUAGGCCAUACCAAAUAAGCCUACGAGGUAGACCGGUUCCGCGGACAUGUGUACACUAACUCGAUGAUUGAAGAAGCGGCCGAGGAGUGAGUGGCCAAACACAAAGUCAAGAAAAAAGAAGUUUAUAAGAAUUUUAUCCCAUCCCAUCUUCAAAGAAAAGUCUCUGAAUCGAGUUGUAAGAAAAUGGGGAAGAAGGCUGUUCUAAUCGGAUGCAAUUACCCGGGAACUAAGGCAGAACUCAGAGGUUGUAUCAACGACGUUAAACGGAUGCGUCAAUGUCUGAUCGAGCGUUAUGGUUUCUCGGAGGACGAUAUCGAAAUCCUGAUUGAUACCGAUGAAUCCUAUACCCAACCCACGGGCAAGAAUAUCCGCUCCGCCCUUGCUCGUCUAGUCAGAUCCGCCGAUCCAGGCGACUUUCUCUUUGUUCACUACAGUGGUCACGGCACCCGUCUCCCUGCCGAGACCGGCGAGGAUGACGACACCGGCUACGACGAAUGUAUUGUUCCCUCCGAUAUGAACCUCAUCACUGGUCUGUCUAUGUUUUCCCUCUACUUUCAUGUUUAUUAAUUCCCUAAAUUCAACGCAUCCAUCUUAAUUAUAUCCGAAUUUCCGAAUUCUGCGGUGCGAAUUUUGAAUCUGAUUUGUGGAUGCGUUUGCAGAUGAUGAUUUCAGGCAGUUGGUGGAUCAGGUUCCGGAAGGAUGCCGAUUAACAAUUGUAUCGGACUCUUGUCAUAGCGGUGGUCUUAUUGACGAUGCGGAGGAGCAAAUAGGAGAGAGCACAAACACCAAGCAAAAAGAAGAAGGGGGCAGCUCUCACUUCGGUUUCAGGAGCUUUCUUCAUCAAACCGUUGAAGGUGCUUUAGAAUCACGUGGGAUUCACGUUCCCUCAGCAUUUCAACACCACCGCCAUGAUCGUCCCUCUGACGGGGACGAAUCUCAAGAGAGAGAGUUGGAGCUUUCAUAUGGAGAGCGAGUCAAUGUGAAAAGCAGAUCUUUACCUCUAUCCACUCUUAUAGACAUUCUCAAGCAGAAAACAGGGAAAGAUGACAUUGAUGUGGGGAAACUGAGGCCAACCCUCUUUGAUAUUUUUGGAGAAGAUUCAAGCCCCAAGGUGAAGAAGUUUAUGAAGGUGAUCAUGGAAAAACUCCAGGGUGAUGAAAAUGGACAGUCUGGAGGAGGAUUCUUGGGAAUGGUUGGGAAUUUGGCACAAGAAUUUCUCAAACAAAAGCUGGAUGAGAAGGAUGAGGAAUAUGUGAAACCUGCUUUGAAAACUGAAGUGGGGAGUAAAACAGAAGCAUAUGCUGGAACAUCCAAGCGAGAACUUCCAGAUGGUGGAAUCCUCAUCAGUGGGUGCCAGACAGACCAAACAUCUGCUGAUGCUACGCCUUCAGGAAAUGCCAAUGCUGCAUAUGGGGCUCUCAGCAAUGCAAUUCAGACCAUACUUAGUGAAUGUGAUGGACAAAUUACCAACCACGAGCUUGUUAUGACGGCUCGGAAAAAGCUGAAAAGCCAAGGUUUCACUCAGAAACCUGGCCUCUAUUGCAGUGAUCAUCAUGCGGAUGCUCCCUUCGUUUGCUGAUUUUUUUGU
rnacentral:lncRNA from 1 species